rnacentral:lncRNA from 1 species
CAUUCUUCCCUUCCAACAUCCCGCGAUUACCGUCCACCACCACCCGCCGCCGUCCGCCGGUACGGCGAGCUCGCUAGGCCAGGGCGAGGUCUGGCGAGCUCAUCGGAGGCAAGCCCAGCCUUGCCCAGCCCCGGCGAGGCCGGCUUGGCCACCAGCGGGGCUAGGCGAGCCUCGCCAACAGUUGGGCGACGCUCGCCUGGCCCCGCCGAGGCUCGGCCUGGCUAGAUCGGGCGAGGCCGAGUCUCGCCGGUGGCCAGGUAGGCCUCGCCGGGCUCGCCUAGCCCCACCGGUGGCCAGGCCGGCCUCGUUGGGGCUGGGCGAGGCCGGCCUGACCACCGGCGAGGGUCGACCUCGCCGAGGGCUGGCUAUGCUCCGGUGAGCGUUGCCGGCCCUUGUCUGGCCGGUCAUCGGUCCGGGGACCGGCCAAAUGAAGAAGGAGAAGAAUAGGAGAUAAGGGGGAAAAAAAAGAAAAAAAAAAGAAAAAAAAGAAAAAAAAAGAAAAAAAAGGAAAAAAGGAAAAAAGAAAAGAAAAAAAGUAUUUAAAAAGUAUUUAAAAAUUAAAAGAAAUUAAUUUGGAAUAGAAUCAAUUAGUACGGUAUCAAACGCAAUUCUAUUCCAGAAUAAAAAAUUUUGAACAAUUACCAAACGCGUUUUUUUACUCAGAAUCAGUUCUCGGGAGUAGAAUAAAAAAUAAUCAUUUCUAGUUAGAAUCAGCUCCCGGGAACAGAAUUGUUACCAAAUGCGCCCUAAGUGUGCAUUGCUCAUUUAUUUAUUUAUUUUCAAUUUGACUUUUCAUCCCUCUUUUCCUUUUUUUUUUAAAACAUAAUGGGCCCCACCACUUCUUGAACUUUUAAAAAAGUCCCAAUAUUACAGUUACUUACUGGAGGGCACGUGUCGGUGGCUUUGAGGGCCCAAAGUGCUCUCUUCAGGCCAACAGCGUGGAGUGCAGCAGCGAGGACUUUGAUCAGCACUUGGUCUGGUUUGGGCUCUCAGGAGCAUCAACUUCUGCGUCCACCUUCAGUGCACUUGCUGGAGUUGGGAUCAAUCACUGGCUUCACUUCCCGCUCUCUAUGAAGGUAGGGCUUCAACUUCUCCCACUUUGCUCUGUAUAUCAGGAAGAAUCAAAACGUUAGCCGACGAAACAUUAACACCUUCUUCUUCACACUUUGUUCAGCAAAUGAACAGGUUUAUUCGCUUGACUGACACAACACAACCUACACAACAAUUCAUCCCGACCCUUGGUGAGAUAACGCGGAAUUUUGCGUAGCCUGUUGAAAGUUCAGAACAUCUAGGGAUGCUGCGGUUUAUGUUCGUACUUACUGAUAUCGAACUUUUCUGGAAGGUCUUUGAAGUUGUCCUUGGUGUACUCAAUGGCCAGAUUGGCACCCAGUCUCUUGAGCAGAUCUAGCUUAUCAGUGCUAGAUGUAGCUGCCACUAUUGACAGACGAAAAACUUCCUCAGCUAUUGCUGUGUCAUUGAAACAACUGAAUUCUCAACACUUAAUGCAAGUGGACGAGUGUUUUAGUCUCCUUUUAUGAGUGGUAAUUAAGUGGAAAUUCCUGCUUUUCAGCGAGAAUUAUGGACGGAUUGCCAUCGUAGAUGACUUAAAUCUUCACUUAAGGAGAAAAUAUUCCACGAUAUCACUAUCAUCAAAUGUGUUAAAUUAUGUCUCGAGUUUGAAUUCUUACGGAAUUCGAUUUGUAGGAUAAAUUUGGAUAAAUAUCCAAAGUGUGAUCACACAAAUUAAUUCAAGUUAUGAAUAUGUUGUGCAGUGGUUUAUAGAUAAUGAAGGAUUUGUUAUUCUGUUGAAGAUAAAAGAUAAAUCUCAAGAUUUAGUCAACAAGAUUUAUUUCUUCUUUAUCCAAGUUUGACCAAGAAGUGGACAUCUCUCUCUAUUUGUGAAUAUAAAAGUCAGAUAAGAAACGCAAAUAGGAGAGAGCUCUUCCGAAGCCGCACGUCCAAAAGAAGUGUCAAGCCGCAUGAAGCCUUGAAUGCGUGGAGCAAAAGAUGAACGUUGAAAAGAUGAAUGUUGGGGUUCUUGUUUUUUGGCGUACAUAGAGUGUUUUGUUUGAGCUUAAAUGCACAGUGAUUUUGUGCCAUGAGUUUAAUACAUCAAAGUGAGUUGUUUAUUUAUAAACACUUUGGGUUUGGGCUUAAAUCUAUGUACAGAAAACACUAUUUGAACAAUUGUAAAUUCUGAUUAUCUGAUUAUAAUGGAUUUUUUGCCACUAGCUCUCCUUAUGAAUGUAAGUAUCGAUACUCAGAUCGAAUCACGUAAAUCUCUUGUGUUCUUAUUAUUUCUUAUUUAUUUCUUUGGUGAUUUCACAUUAAUGUAAAUUGCAAUAUACUCUUAUUUUCGCAUAUUAUAUUUUAACAAUAUGGCUGUCUUUCUUUGAAUCAGGUACCUUCUCAACCAUUCCCUUGUGAUCAUUCAUGGAUAAAAAAUAGUAAAGGCCCACAUUUAACAAGAUUAAAUGUUAAUUACUUGAAUAACAAUUGUACCAACACCACUUGCACCGCACAGAACAAGGAGGGACUCGCUCGGACAGGCCUCCACUUUGAAGGCCUCCACGAGUAGUUUCCAUAGCUCAAGCUAUGUAGUACCGACGUGUUUGACACUCCAACACGUGUCCAACACAAGGUCAAUGACAGAAACUCGAAAACGUGGUCAAAUUUUCCUGACACGCGAGUCUGAAAUUUUGACAUGCUAUUCCAACACGCAUUGGGUCAAUUUUAAAAAUUUUCAAAACUUAAGGGGUUAAAAUAUAAAUAUAUGAAAGAAAAAGAAAAAAAAAAGGAUAGGGACUGUGGCUGGGCGCCGCUAUCGCUGCCACUGUUGGAGGGGGUUGGCGACCUCACUGACCCCAAGUAGUGAAGGGGGGAGGCGCUCGCCGGCUCGUGCAAGGCCAUCGUCAACCAAGCAAGGGCCAGUGAGGCUCGCCCAGAUCUAGGCGACGCCGCACCCUCGCUCGAGCCUAGUGAGAGUUGCUGGCCCUCACCUAGGGCCGGCAAGGCCUCACCUAGGGCCAACAAGGCCUCUCCUAAAGCUGGGAAGGCUCGCCAGCCAUAGGCGGGCUAGUGUCGCCCAAAUCUUGGGCAAGCUCGCCUGGGCCUUGCUUGGUUAGGUGAGGGCCACCCACCCUUUGUUGCCUAGGGUCGACGAUCUUGCCAACCCCCUACGAUGGCAGCAGUGGUAGCCGUGUGCCUAGCCACUCACAAGUCACAAAGACUCAUGACCUUAUCUUUUUUUUUCCUAGUUUUUUAAAGAAUUAUUUUAGCUUUUUAAAUUUUUUUACAAUUCUUUAAAUAACAAUUAAAGAAAAAAAGUAACAAAAAAUUGCCAUGUAGGCUAAAUAAAUAAAUUUAAAAAUACUAAUUCGGCAUUUUGCAUUAAAUAAAUUAAUUGUAGUAAUAGAAUGACUCGAUUGCACCAAUUUGAUAAAUUUUACAACUCAAUUGCAUUUUCGCAAUAAAUUUUAGGACUUGUAGUGCGUAUAUCCCUAAAUUUAAUAGUAGAAUGUUGAUUGCUCCUUUUUUUUCUUCAAAUUUUAUGGAUUAUUGCAAUGGAAUGUAAUUGAAUUUAUCAAAUUAAAAUAAUGAAUGAUAUUAAAAAAUAUUAGAUUAAUGUUUUUAGUGUAAAUUAAUUCUAGACUCUUUUUAUUAUUUAUUUAUUUAUGCAUUUAUAUAUAAAAAUAUAUUUAAUAUAUAACGUGUUAGGAUAUGUUGGAAUUCUUUAUUUUUUUAGGAAUAACGUGUCCACGUGUCGUGUUAUAUUAUAUCAUAUGUUGCGUGUUUGUGUCGGUACUACAUAGGUUAUGUAGGCAAAGAAGCUGCUUCACCAAAACUCUACUCCUUAGGCUUCAGGGCCGACACUCUUCUAAAUGCAGAGUGUGAUAAUGGGAGUCGGCCAUGAUGGAAUCGAGUCCGGCCAUGAUGACGUACGCCAUGAAACUCCACCUUUCAACUUCUUCACUCGAUCGCUGACGUACGUCAUGAUGCCGGCCACUUUGUACCCCGGCACGGUCUAGAUAUGAGGCUUAAGUAAUGGGAGUCGCAGGAACCCUGGUGUCGACCAUCUGAAGGGCGCUUGUUCUAAAUGCAGAGUGUGAUAAUUAAAGUCCUAGAACAUUACAUUUAACAUGGCCAAUAGCUAGCUGUCGCCAUUAUAAUCGUUCCGAAUCUAAUGGGAAUCAUCGUCAUCGUAAUCAUUUUUCUUUGCCAAUUGGUCAACAUAAUUGUAGGGAUAGUCAGAUGUAUCACCAUCGAAAUCUACUUUUGACAACAAACGCACAAUAUGGAGUCCUGGAAAGUUGAAAACUUCCAUCACGCUGACUCUCACCGCAGUAUGUCGAAUCGAGCCUACAAAGAGAAGCCGAAUAUACAGAGACAAAAACAAGCACGAUCGACUAACUAAUCAAGGACUCACGAGUAAGACAGAUCCAUGGGACGCUCUAUUUCUUUUGUUUGUGUUUCAUGGGACAGGGUGGAUCACGACUUUUCCGGUUGCCCGGCGGGUUUGAACAUACGAGAGGGCCUCGAUGGCCUGCGAAAAUGGGAACGGACUCUUGGGAUCGAUCACUGGCUUCACCUUCCUGCUCUCCAAGAAGGGCUUCAACUUCUCUAAGGUCAAACGGUCCGAUGUCCCUUGGAAAAAGAAAGCGGGCGGUGGUAAUUCCUUCUGGAAUUCUGCAAUCUCCACCACACUCCCUCCCGGCGCCACAGCCUUCACGGCCCGCUCACUUUGCCCUGCACAUUAGGAACAUCACCUGUUUAGCGCAGUGCCGAAUAGUUCAUCAUCAAUAAAGUUACCAGUCAGAGAAAAUCUUAUCGGCGAAAAUGGGCAUUUUUAGCACAUCGAUUGCUGGUGUACAAAAGAAACUUGCAUAGCAUCUAGACGGAUAGGUCAUGCAUGCACAUUAACCUAAUAUGAAAUGACCAAGAACAUUGAGGUUUCAUUUNNNNNNNNNNNNNNNNNNNNNNNNNNNNNNNNNNNNNNNNNNNNNNNNNNNNNNNNNNNNNNNNNNNNNNNNNNNNNNNNNNNNNNNNNNNNNNNNNNNNAAACUUUUCUGGGAGGUCUUCAAAGUUGACCUUGGUGGUAGUCAAUGGCCAGAUCAGCACCUAACUCUUCAACAAAUCUAGCUUUCCACUGCUAGAUGUAGCUGCUACUCUUGAUGCACCGAAUACUACCUUACCUAGCUGUGCAAUUGGACCAACCAAGAAAAAGAGUGAAAACAAUACCCCAAAAAAAAAUGGUAUAGAUUUUAACCGAACACGAAGAGUCAUCAGAUCGAACGGCUCCCACAUGAAAUCGAUUCAAUUCUUGAGACAUGAUUCUUGAGAAAACAGAGAAGUAAACAAAAAUGGUACCUGGAUUGCAAGUGUCCCGACACCACCAGCGCCGCCCAAGACAAGGAGGGACUCGCCUUGAGAGAGUCCAGCACUUUCAAGGCCUCCAUAGGCAGUCUGAAUGACUGCCGGCAAAGAAGCAGCCUCCUCGAAACUGAGGUUCUUGGGCUUCAAAGCCAAGAACGACUCUUCCACAGCCGCGUACUCAGCCAACGUCCCGUCUUUCUUGGCGUGCCUCAUAAAUCCAUAUACCUCGUCCCCGACCUUGAGCUCCUUCACUUUGCGACCCACCUCCACCACAACGCCGGCGAGAUCGUAACCUGGCACGGCCUAAUGCAUAAAGGUGGGGCAUAACGUUAAUAAUACGUGUUAUAAGAGGGGGGUGGGAUAGUGACCAUACAGUCCAUCUAAAAUAUCAACCAAAUUACCGGUAAAGAAUAGCCCGGGGGCUGGAAAACGCCGUUCACUCUCAUGGUGUCAGCCGGAUUGAGCGCCGCAGCGAGAACUUUAACCAGCACUUGGCCUUUUUACAAUUCAGGGACCUCGAGUUCCGGGUCCAAUCCCAAUACGUCGGCGACGUCUCCGUGCUCACGGUACACCCAAGCCUUCAUUUUGGUCGGAAUGGGAAAUUCGCAGCCAUUGGAGAAGAAUGGAUCGAUGGUAUCGGGAAAUUUUCUUUUUCCUCUGGAAUCUCUCGGUCGAUCUAUCUCAAGCUCCAAGCAUACAAAAGAGUUUGAGGACUUCGUUUGACUUUUACAAUGUGCGAUUAGUUAUAAGCUCCAAAGGGAGGCCGAUGACGUAUACGAUGACUUCAAUGACAAAGAUUCUCCGUUUUGAAGUCAUCGUAUACGUCAUCAGCUGCCCUUUGGAGCUUAUAACUAACUGCACAUUAUAAAAAUCAAACGAAGCCCUCAUACUCUCUUAUACGCUUGGAGCUUGAGAUAGAUCGACAGCCGAAACGAAUUAGAUACCNNNNNNNNNNNNNNNNNNNNNNNNNNNNNNNNNNNNNNNNNNNNNNNNNNNNNNNNNNNNNNNNNNNNNNNNNNNNNNNNNNNNNNNNNNNNNNNNNNNNCUGUCCUAUACACCACACGGGUCUUGAAAGUCGAGGCCAUGCCCAUCAUACUAUGUUGGGCUCGGUCAGCUGGUUCUAUCGUGAGUUAGACAUCCAAGCCGAAAAAAAAAUGUUCCUGAUACCCAUCGAUCCAUUCUUCUCCAGGAGGUGUAAAAUUUGUCAUUCCGACCAAAAUGAAGGCUUGGGUGUACCGUGAGCACGGAGACGUCGCCGACGUAUUGGGAUUGGACCCGGAACUCAAGGUCCCUGAAUUGCAAGAAGGCCAAGUGCUGGUUAAAGUUCUUGCCGCGGCGCUCAAUCCAAUCGACACCGCGAGAGUGAAGGGGGUUAUCAAACUCCCGGGCUUUUCUCUACCGGUAAUUUGGUUGAUAUUUUGGAUGGACUGUAUGGUCGCUUUUUUUCCCCCUCAUAACAUGUAUUAUUGACGUUAUGCCCCACCUUUAUGCAUUAGGCCGUGCCAGGUUACGAUCUCGCCGGCGUUGUGGUGAAGGUGGGUCGGGAAGUGAAGGAGCUCAAGGUCGGGGACGAUGUAUAUGGAUUUAUGUGGCACGCCAAGAAAGACGGGUCGCUGGCUGAGUAUGCAGCCGUGGAAGAGUCGUUCUUGGCUUUGAAGCCCAAGAAGCUGAGUUUCGAGGAGGCUGCUUCUCUGCCGGUGGUCAUUCAGACCGCCUAUGGAGGCCUUGAAAGAGCUGGCCUCUCUCAUGGCAAGUCCCUCCUCGUCUUAGGUGGUGCUGGUGGCGUCGGCACACUCGUAAUACAGGUACUGUUUUGUUUCCUUCUCUGUUUUCUCUCGAAUCAUGUCUUGCGAAUCUCACCGGCUUCUUGUGGAGCUUAUUUGAUAUGAGGACUCUACUUCCAUCAGUUUCUUUUUUGGUGGGGUUUCACUUUUUUUUUUGGUUGGUCCAAUUAUACAGCUAGCUAAGGAAGUUUUUGGUGCAUCAAGAGUAGCAGCUACAUCCAGCACUGGGAAGCUAGAGUUGUUGAAGAGCUUGGGUGCUGAUCUGGCCAUUGACUACACCAAAGUCAACUUUGAAGACCUCCCAGAAAAGUUUGAUGUUGUCUACGAUACAGUUGGUAAGUACGCGAACAUAAGCGAAACCUUGAUGCUUUCGACGUCCCAUGUUAUAUAGCUGUGUAUGCAUGACAUUACCAUCUGGAUGCUAUGCAAGUUUCUUUGUCCAUCAACAAUCAAUUCGCUAAAAAUGUCCAUUUUCAUUGAUAAAGAUUUUCCAUAUGAUCAGUUUCUUUCUUGACAAGGAACCAUUCGGCGCUGGGCUUAACAAUCAAUAUUCCUAAUCUGCAGGGCAAAGUGAGCGGGCAGCGAAGGCUGUGAAGCCAGGAGGGAGCAUGGUGACGAUCGUAGAACAUAACAAGACAUUACCCCCGCCUGCUUUCUUUUUCGCAGCAACUUCGGACCGUUUGACCUUGGAGAAGUUGAAGCCCUUCUUGGAGAGCGGGAAGGUGAAGCCGUUGAUCGAUCCCAAGAGCCCGUUCCCAUUUUCGCAAGCCAUUGAGGCCUUCUCGUAUCUUCAAACCGGCCGGGCAACCGGAAAAGUCGUGAUCCACCCCGUCCCAUGAUACACAAACGAGAAAGAAAUAGAGCGUCCACAUGGAUCUGUCUUAAUCACGAGUCCUUGAUUUGUAAUCGAUGGUGCGUAUUUUUUGUCUCCGUAUAUUCAGCUUCUCUUUGCAUAGUAGUCUCCACAUAGUGCGGUGAGAGUUAGCGUGAUUGAAGUUUCAACUUUCCUAGUCUCCAUGCUCCGCGUUUGUUGUCAAAUGUAAAAUUUCCAUGGUGAUAUAUCUGACUCCCUCCUAGCUUUAUAUCCCUAACUGCCCUCACUUUGCUCUGCGUUGUUAAAUUGCUAAAAGGGAGGAGAGAUGAGGCUGAAACUUCAUCUUACGUACUGAACAACCAAGUCUUUUACAAAAGACAAAAUACAUAACGUAAAACACACCAUAACUACACAUGUUCUCCAUAAAGUACUUGCCCCACUAACACCUAAAAACUAGGAUAACCAACACACAUGACUCCACUAACUCUAAUAACUGAAAAACCAAAUCAACAACACGUGCAAAAGGAAAUAACUAUUAUUUUAACAAUCCCUCCCUUAAACUGAUGUUUGCUAUCAUUCAGUUUAAAGCCUUGACUUUUUUCACCGUGCAAACACCUAGUAACCUCCUGAGCUUCACAAAUGACUCCAUCUUGAGGGCCUUGGUGAAUAUAUCAGCAACUUGAUCUUCACUCAUGCAGUAGAUUAGAUCAAUUGUUCCAUCAAUGCUAAGAUCUCUCAAGAAAUAAAACUUCACAUCAAUGUGCUUGCUUGUUCCAUGUAACACCUGAUUCUUGGAGGGUUUUAUUGCUGAGUUAUUGUCACAAAAUUUUUUAGUAGGUCCCGGUUGCUUGAAUUGUAACUCCUCAAGAAUUCUUCUUAGCCAAAUAGCUUGACAAGCACUAGCUGUUGCAUCAACAAAUUCAGCUUAUGUACUUGAUAAUGUGACAAUUGGUUGCUUCUUGGAUGAUCACGAAAUAGCAUAACAUAAAAGCAUAACCCGAAGUGCUCCUCCUAUCAUCUUGAUCUCUUGCAUAGUCACUAUCAGUAAAUCCCAACAAAUCAAACUUUUCACCCUUAUUGUAAAAUAGCCCAAAGUCUCUAGUUCCUUGCAAGUAAUGAAGGAUUCUCUUGGCAACUAACAAAUGCAUUUGUGUAGGAUUCUCCAUAUAUCUACUGAUUAAACUCACAGAAUACAUUAUGUUUGGUCUUGUUGCAGUUAAAUACAUCAAACAGCCCACAAUUUGUUUAUAAAGUGUGCUGUCAACCUUCCUCCCUUUACGAUCUUUGUAUAACUUUAAGCCAAACUCAACUGGAGUGUUUACAGGAUUACAAUCCUUCAUUUGAAACCUGUCCAAAAUUUCUUCCACAUAUUUCUUUUGAGAAAUAAAGAUCCCAUCAUCCGAUUGUACCACUUAUAUGCCAAGGAAGUAAUGCACCAUACCAAGAUCAGACAUUUCAAACUCAUCCAUCAUAGAUUUCUUGAAUUCUUCAAACAUGCCAUCACAACUUCCAGUAAAUAUAAGAUUGUCAACAUAUAAGCAGACAAUAAGCAUUUUCCUUUUAUCUCCAAUCUUGACAAAAAGCGUACGCUCAUAAAGACAUUUUGAAAAGCCAACUUUAAGAAAAUAAGUUUCAAUACGACUAUAUACCAAGCUCGAGGGGCUUGUUUUAGCCCAUAAAGAGCUUUCUUCAAUCUAUAAAUUUUAUGCUCAUUUCCAAUCUUGACAUAACCAGGGGGUUGCUCGACAAAUACCUGUUCCUCCAAGUACUAAUGCAAGAAUGCCGAUUUGACAUCUAGUUGGAAAAUAUGCCAAGAACUAUGUGCCGCCAAUGUAACCACCAAUCUAAUCGUGUCAUGUCUCGCAACUGGAGAAAAAAUCUCUAUAUAGUCGAUCCCAUAUUACUGCUUGUAUCCCUUGGCUACCAAACGUGCUUUGUAUUUGUCAACUUCACCAUUUUCUUUCAGUUUUGUUUUAAAGACCCACUUUACAGUAAUGGUUUUUUGUCCAUCUGGAAGAUCAGAUAACUCCCAAGUAUCAUUUCUUUCAAUGGAAUUAAUUUCAUCAUCCAUCGCUUUUCGCCAUUUUUCUUCUUUGACAGCACUCUAAAAAGUUGUAGGUCAUAAUAUGAAAAUAAGGUAAAGUGAGCAAUUGAAUCUCCAAUUCCAGUUAUCUCAUAUUCUUCCAUCCAAGUAGGCUUUCUUCUAACGCGGCGAAGAGAUUGGGCUUCUUCUUCAUUGACUUUAGCGCCUGUUGGUGAAAUUCCAGCAACCGUAGAAGUUGUAUUUGAUGAAUUUUGGGGCAUAUAAGGUGCUGAAAUUUGCUCAUGUUCAGCAUCAUUGCCAUAAAGAACUUGGGUAGGCUGCUGCCUAUUCCAAUCCCAAGUGUUCUCUUCAUUGAAAACAACAUCCCUGCUAGUCACAAUCUUCUUUGUUAGUGGAUUGAAUAAUUUAUAUGAUUUGGAUGCUUCACUUACACCAAGAAAGACACAUUUUUCAACCUUGUCAUCAAGUUUCUUCCUUUUCACAUCCAGGACAUGGGCAUAUGCGAUGCAUCCAAAAAUUCUGAGGUGAUCUAUAGCUGGUCUUCUCCCACUCCAAGCCUCUUCAGGUGUGUCAUAUUCUAAACAACAAAAGUUAGACUUCUGUUCAAAACAUGAAUACUCCAAUUUACUACUUUUGGCCAAAAAGUCUUUGGAACUCUUCCUCUUGCCAAUAAGCUUCUCACCAUGUUAAGAAUGGUUCUAUUUUUCCUCUCAGAUACACCAUUCUACUGUGGUGUAUAUGCAGCAGUAAGCUCUUUUCGAAUGCCAUACUCUGCACAAAAAACUUCAAAUUCUUUUGAGCAAUAUUCACCACCACGAUCUGUUUGAAGAGUCUUAAUGAUCUUUCUUGCUUCAUUUUAAACACGAGCUUUGAAGCUUUUAAAUGUGGGGAAAGUUUCUGAUUUUUCCUGUAAAAAAUAAACCCAAGUUUUUCUGGAGAAAUCAUCAAUGAAGGUAAUUAAGUAUCUUUUACCUCCAUUAGAAGAUGGGUUUAUAGGACCGUAAAUGUCCGAAUGCACCAGCUGCAAAACAUCCUUUGCUCUCAAUGACUUUUCUUUUGAAAAUUGAGAACGAUGAUGUUUGCUAACAACACAUUCUUCGCAGACUUGGGAAGGAAUAGUAAUUUGAGGAAGACCCGUCACCAUGUUUUCUGUUGGAGGGUCUUUAAUCCACCAAAACUCAAGUGACCAUAGCAAAAAUGCCACAGCCAUGAGGGAUCUUUCUUUUCAGCCAUCAAAUAAGAUUGAAUAUUUUCAAUCUUUAAUGGAAACAAUCUAUUUGAACUCAUAGGAACAACUGCAAUAGCACCUCUAACAGAAUCAUAAAUUUCACAGACACCCCCUCUGAAUGGUGAUUAUAUAACCAUUUUCUUGUAAUUGGGCAGCACUCAAUAGGUUACUUUUCAAGUCAGGAACAUAUAACACAUUAGAGAUCGUUUCCACAAAACCAUUCUUGGUUCUUAUCUUAAUAUCACAUUUUCCCAUCACUUUCACAGUAGAAUGAUCUCCAAAACUCACAGUGGAAUGAAAAUCUUCAUUUAGAUAAGAAAAAGAAGACUUACUUCCACUCAUGUGGUUACUGCAACCUGUAUCCGCAUACCAAAUAUCUGACUCGCCCUUGUUUUCAUCUUGAACAGCCAUCAACAACAUUUUUGCUUCAUAUUCUUCAAUAAAGUUUGAACUCUGCAUUUUCUUUAUUAUUAGGCAGCCUAGUAUAACAUUCAGAUGUAUAAUGACCAAAUUUAUGACAUCUAAAACACUCUACUUUGGCUUUGUUAGGAUCUCGUCCUCUGCCUUUGCCUUGAAAUUGGUCAUUAUUGGCUUUGAAAUUCUCACCAACAUCUCUAUUUCCUCGAUCUCCCAUUCCUCUACCUCUACCUUUACCCCUUCCUUUGAAAUUGUUCGAAUGGGUAUUGGUAGAAGCCUUCAACGCUUGCUCCUCUAAUGUUGAACUUUUGUUCAUCUUCUGUUCAUGGACCAAUAAGGAGCUUUGCAAUUCAUCAAGAGAGAGCGCAUCUAUGUCUUUCGACUCUUCAAUUGAGUAGACAAUAUAAUUAAACUUUGGUGUCAAGGAACGCAAAAUUUUCUCCACAAUGGUGAUGUCGUCCAUCUUCUCACCAUGGAAUCGCAUCUUGUUGCUGAUCUCCAUUGUUCUGGCACAAAAACUAGUGACGGAUUCUCCAUCCUUCAUCACCAGUGUCUCAAAAUCUCUUCUCAAGGCUUGAAGCUGUGCAUGCUUCACCCUAACAGAGCCUUGAUAUUCUUUAUAGAAUCCCAAAUAUCCUUGGAAGUUUCUUUGCAAAGAAUAGUCUCCAAGAUGGAACGAUCGAUAGCCUGAAAAAAAUAAUUUUUUUGCCUUCAAGUUCUUCAACUUUCUAGCUUCCAAUUCUGCUUUUUGGGGAUCUGUCAAAGCCAUGCCUGCUGGUGGCUCUUGAAUUCCAGAUUCGACAACCAACCAAUACUCCUUUGAUCGUAAAAAAUUCUCCAUCAGUAUACUCCAAUGGUCAUAGUGACCAUCAAAGCGUGUAAUUGCUGGUUGAACAAAAUUGUCGGUGGCCAUUGGAAAUAUUGCUGCUGCAAUUUUCUCACGAAAGUUUUUUUUUUUUUUUUUUAAACUCUCUCACGUUUUUCUCAGACUCUAAUACCACUGUUAAAUUGCUAAAAAGGCGAAGAGAUGAGGCUGAAACUUCAUCUUACUGAAAAACCAAAUCAACAACACGUGCAAAAGGAAAUAACUAUUAUAUUAACAUGCGUAUAAGAAAAAAUGAAACGUUAACCAAUGGCAUAUUAACACUCUCUUUUUCGCUUUUUGUUUUGCGGAUGAACAAGUUUAUUCACUUGAACGAUAUAGCACAGCCUCUACAACAGUUCAUCUUGACUCUUGGUAAGACGAUGGAGGAUCUCGCAUAGCCCAUGAAAAGUUAGGAACGUGAGGGUAUGCUGCGGUUUAUGUUCAUGCUUACCAAUAUUGAGCUUUUCGGGGAGGUCUUUGAAGUUUGUCGCAACCUACCCUCGGCGGAGGAAAUAUGUUUAGGGGUAUUGCCUAAAGGACGGGCCUAAGGCCCAUAAUUAGGCGUGGGCUCUCCCAAGCCCAUACCUCGCGUGACGUUGGGAUAUAUUUUAUGAAUUUUACACAAAUGAGUCGCCACUAGCCUAUUGGGGUCGGCUAGAAAUCAAGUGAGGCAUGAGAAUGUACCUCACUUCCUACACAACUAGAGAAUCUAUGAUCGGGGACUUAAUUACACUAAUUGACUAAUUAGUGCCCUUUCGGUACCUAAUUUUGUUCAUUUUAAGAGUAAAAAUUUUUGUUAGGCAGUUUGGAUUAAUUUUAUACUUAUCCAUUAACAUGCGAGGUGAUCAUGCGGGUACGCAAUCAUUAAAGUAACAAUCAUAGUUACUAAGAUCUUAAUUCCAAUAAAAUUAAACACGUGCAAUUAAACAUAAUUAGAAAGACAACUUAAACAUACGACAUAAUCAAAAUAUGAGCAAGUAAAUACCUAAUUACACUGAGAAUGCAAAUCGUAGCAAUUCCUAACCAAAUCCCAUCAUUUUUUAAUUUUCGAAAUUUUUAAUUUUUUUUAAUUUUAAUUUUUUUAAAGUCGAAUUUUUAAUAUUUUCUGAUUUUUUAAAUUUUUUAAUGUUCUCUUAAAGUUGUUUGACUUUUCGGAAGUUUUCUGAGUUUUUAUUAUUUUUCGAUUUUUAUUUUAUUUUUAUUUUAUUUUUUAAUUAUUAUUUUUUUGUCCUUUCCCUGUUUUGUCCUAUCUACUGCACUCUCCCUUCCCUAUUCAGUGACUUCUAUUCCCAAAGUCACUUUCUCUCUUUUCUUUUUCUCCUUUUUUUUAUUUCUUUUAUUUUCCUUUUAUUAUUCUUCUACCUUUUGGUCUUCUUCUUCUUCGUGCAUUCUCUGCACGUCGGACGUUCCUUCUACGCCUUCCCCCAAACUUCGCCCAGACAGUAACACCAGCAUAGCAACCAUCGACCUUUUCACCACCAAACCGCCACAGUCUAUCGGUUGUCCACUCCGACCAGCGAAGACCACCAUCAGCCACAAACGCUGGCGGCCAAACCAUUUUCGAGCACAAAAACCCCCUCGGCUCAAGAAUACACGAUUGCUCCACGAAAAUCGUAUGAAAUCACAAUGGAAACAUAAAAGGCGGGCACGGUCCGACGUAUAUAAGAGCAAGCACGAACCAAACCGAGAUUCAACCCGAUUGCUUCUUAGUUCUCUCCGGGACAUUUUGUCAAACACAUGAGGUACGCUACUAUAAUGAGGGGUUUUUGGCUCAACGAAGCUCGAACCAUCACCGGAUCUUUGACACACAACAAACAAGACGUCGGAAACAAAAAGUAAGGCGAUGCAGGCCGGAGCUCGCGUGAACUGAAUGGCCACGAGCUCUGGCCUGGUGUACCCGAGAAAGAGAGCACACACAAAGGCCCAGGGGACUUACUUGGUUCGGGUGGGGCGCGAUGGCGGACGGCGGCUCUCGGGCGGACGACUGAUGAUGGUGAAGCUUUCCUUCGAGCUCCCUCUCUCCCUUCGCAUCGUCCUCUCCUCUCUCGCUCUCAAUCCCUCUCGGUUUCUCUCUAGUUCCUCUCAGCUCCUCCUCAGCUCUCUUGGUUUCUCAAAGUUCCAGAAGAAUGCCGUCGGGGAGCCGGAUCCCGUGCAUAGUCAAGCCUCUCUUUGGCUCUCCACCCUCUCUCAAGUACUCGAACUCUCACUCUCGAGCACCUCUCUCGCUCAAGCCCUCUCCCUCUGAUUCUCCUGGUGCUUGUUCCUCCCCCUUUCACAUUUUUCUUUUGCAGGUUAUCAUGUGAAGACCAGCCAUGCCAGCUGCCGACCGGGCCGCUCCCGACCCGCGGAUCACGCUGGCCGUCUGUCACCCGAUCCUCUGCUGCUCCCGCUUUCGCUACUCGCUCUGUUCUUUGUCUUCUGCUUGUGCAGGUGCUGCAGCGAAGACCAACCGGAUGGAAGAAGACCUUCGUUCACAGGCUGGACUGAAAGGGAAAACGGGCUGGGCCGGGCCAACGCGGGAGGGGGGAAGAGAAAAGAAAAGGGACGCGGGCCGGGCCAAAGCCAGGUCAGGCCCAACCUGAUUUUUUUUGUUUUCGUUUCGUUUUUUUUUUAACCUCUAAUACUAUUUUUAACUAACUAAUUUAGGUGAAAUUUAUGUGUCAAUAGUUGCCCCUCUUUGGAUGGGAGCUCGAAGAGGUUCCAUUCAAAGACAAAAGACAUAUAUUUUAUUUUGGCGAUAGAGAGACCUUAAGUCCAUAGGCACAUAUCAGGUCGACGGAAAUUACUCAUAACUAUGGAAGCGCGUCUUGUCAAUAAGAGGAAGAAAGACCCCGGGUUACAGAAGCACGCCGUGUCAUAAGAAGAAAGAAAGACCCCGGGCUACAGAAGCACGCCGUGUCAUAAGAAGAAAGAAAGACCCCGGGCUACAAAAACAUACCGUGUCAUAAAGAGAAGGAAAGACCCUGAGCUACAGAAGCAUGCCCUGUCAUAAAAAUAAGAAAACCUCGGGCUACAAAAACACGCCGUGUCAUAAUAAGAAGGAUAAAUGUGGUCUCACAGUGUAACAAUGGGUUUCGACCGAGUUGGAAAUACAUGGUUUAAGGAAAACCAAUGAUCUUUUAUAGACGACAUGGUUUAAGGUUGACCAUGAACCAUUUGAAAAGUCGCAGUUUAAAGAUAGACUCAUGAACAUUUUAAAAGCGCGGUUUAAGGAUGACCCACGAACCGUGUGGUUUAAGGAUAGACCCACAAACCAUGUGGUUUAGGAAAAGCCACCAACCCCGUGGUUUAAGGAUAAACCCACCAACCUUGUGGUUUAAGGAUAGACUCACGAACCUUGUGGUUUAAGGAUAGACCCACGAACCAUGUGGUUUAGGAAAAACCACCAACCCCGUGGUUUAAGGAUAAACCCACCCACCUUGUGGUUUAAGGAUAGACCCACAAACCGUGUGGUUUAGGAAAAGCCACCAACUGCAUGGUUUAAGGAUAGAUUCACGAAACGUGUGGUUUAGGAAAAGCCACCAACCCGUGGUUUAAGGAUAAACCCACCAACCUUGUGGUUUAAGGAUAGACCCACGAACCGUGUCGUUUAAGGAUAGACCCACGAACCGUGUGGUUUCGGAAAAGCCACCAACCCCGUGGUUUAAGGAUAAACCCACCAACCUUGUUGUUUAAGGAUAGACCCAUAAACCAUGUGGUUUAAAGAUAGACCCACGAACCGUGUGGUUUAGGAAAAGCCACCAACCCCAUGGUUUAAGGAUAAACCCACCAACCUUGUAGUUUAAGGGUAGACCCAUGAACUGUGUGAUUUAAGGAUAGACCCACGAACCGUGUGGUUUAGGAAAAGUCACCAACCACGUGGUUUAAGGAUAAACACACCAACCUUGUGGUUUAAGGAUAGACCCACGAACCGUGUGGUUUAGGAAAAGCCACCAACCCCGUAGUUUAAGGAUAAACCCACCAACCUUGUGGUUUAAGGAUAGACCCAUGAACCGUGUGGUUUAAGGAUAAACCCACGAACUGUGUGGUUUAGGAAAAGCCACCAACCCCAUGUUUUAAGGAUAAACCCACCAACCUUGUGGUUUAAGGGUAGACCCACGAACCUGCCAACCGUGUGGUUUAAGGAUAGACUCACGAACCGUUGGAAAUGACAUGGUUUAAGGCUAACCAUGAACCUUUAGAGAUGGCAUGGUUUGAGGCUGACCACGAACCUUUGAUUUUUAGAGAAGCACCCGCUAACCCCUUGAAAACUGCAUGGCUUCACUGAGGAAUCCUAUCAAACUCAACUUGAGCAAAUGUAAUUAGAGACGUCAUCAAGAGACAUAUAGGAAAUAUUACAACAUUAAUUGAACAAGCUAAUCAAGCCAAGUCCGAUUGUUCUUUUUUUUUUUUUAAAUAUUCGAUGUCAAUCAGCAUUAUGUGGCGCAAAAUUGUCAUCUUGUUCACGGAUGUAUCAUUAAUAAUCAAAUUCUCUAGGAGUCAAGUUCUUAUCAGAAUGGAUAUGACUUGUGACAAAGGCUUAUUAAGCAUACCAAACUAGAGUUUCUUAGUCAGAAAGGGCUUCUCACACGCUCUCGAUAAAAUGGCUGCUUGAUCCCAUCCAUUCAUGUGGGAGGUAACUAAUUGCUGAGGAUAUCUCACAUAAACCAUAUCAAAGGCUUUCAGAAACAUUUGCUAUGAGCACAAUAUGAUCGAUCAAAAAUAUCUUUUUAAAGGACUGCAAUAUAGGUUUCGUCACGGGCUUACACAAAGGGAUUACUGUUUUGAGGCCAAUAGAGGAGUAUUUGUAGUUAUCUUCAUCGGGUUUACAAGUCGAGAACUUGGAAGAUAAGACGAGAUAUGAUUACUUCCACUUCUUCAUGGAAUAGCUUCUUUGUGGCAUUCUCAUUUUCACUCAAACCAUCCCAAUUAGAAGAGACUUCGGAAGAGGGUUGUAAUGUUGACUCGGGAAAGGCUUGAAAGGCUUAAAAUUUUUAAGAGGAUCUUUAAGAGUCGGUGAUCAUCAUGGCAUCGCGACCAGGUCACUUGAUUUUUCGAAGGCAUUUGGCUUUUGAAACAUUGCACAUCUCGAAAGUUUCAUGACUAAUCAUUUCUACAUGGGAGCUUUGCUCCUUUCUCUAAUUUUCUUUGCCCUUUUGCGAUGAUGAUUUUUUUCGUAGGCUCUUGGAUUUUGAUAAUUUUUCUUUCACAUAAAAUGUAACAUUUUGUCUCUUUUUUCUUGACAGGCAUUGCCUUGCUUUUACCAGACAGACUGUAUUUUCAUACUCCCUAGUUUGUUAAACUUUUUGCUUUUUGAACUUUGUUAGCUCUUAUGACUUUCGAGAUGCUUUUCACAUUUUCUCAUGACUGUCAAUUAUAUUUGGUCAAUUCUUAUGCCUUGCCCUAGUGAAGGGAGAUAAUCACCACUCGGGAUUCAGAAAUGAAUAAGCAGGCCCAAAUUGGUUAAAGCAAUGAGUAUCAAUGUUUGGAUAGAGAAUGAAAUGCUCUUCUUCACUUUGGGAUGAGUCAAGCUCUAAUGAGAACUCCUCUGAAGCUAUCACCAUAAGAUUAAUGCAAGUGAAAGUAAUAAAAUCUUUCUCAAUCUUUCACUCUACAACAUGAUCAUAACCCCUUGUGUUGCCCCAAUGUAAGGUCAUCCUCAAGAGGGUACUUUGAAGGAUCGUUUUUUUUUUUGGCCCAGACUGGUAGCAAGAGAUUAAUGCAAUGCUUGGGAUUGAUAAAGGGAACACCUUUAUCAUUUCGAUCUUUGCGCUCAAUGCGAAUGAAUCAUUUGUCCUAAGAGAAGGUCAAUUUUCACUCAACUCUCAAAAUUAUUUGAAGGAUGUGUCUAGAAAUGGGCUUACCUUUCUUCAUCCUAAGUACCUCUCGUUUGGCAUGGUUAACCUUUUCAUUUCACUCUGCCGAGAUCGUCUGAGUAAAUUAAUCUCCAUAGGGAAUUUUGAUUCAAAAUGAAUAAUCCCCAAAACGAGAAAACAAUUUUGAGAUGAAAAUGAUGUUCAAAAAGCUUGUAGAAACUUAUUCUUACCUUUUACCAAAAAAAAAAAAAAAAGCUUGUAGAAAGUUUUUUUUUCAAUUAUUCAUUUUUGUGCUUAUCUCUAGGAAAGUGCAAAAGGUUCAUUUUGUAAUGGAAAUUCUCCAUUUUUUCUUUUUACUUAAAAAAAAAAAAGAAAAAAGAUUGAGAAGAAGGGUACUUACUUGCGGCAUAGUGACCUGGUAACCCUGUAAAGAAUGUAAAUGAAUUUGAUAGUGCAAAGAUCUUUAGGGAUUGAAAUGUUGGAAACGAUACAUUAUUACCCUUCACUCGUUUUUAUCCUUUGAGGGCUAACAUCUCUUGGAUUCACCCUCAUGGAUAUUUGGUAACUUGGCAUUACCUUUCACUUACAUUUUGCCCUUAAGCGUUUGAUGUGUUCCUAUCAAAGGAAAGAAAGAAUCAUGUCAGAGACGCUAUCCAAAAUGAGCAAUUGGAAUCGACACCAUUUACCCUUCACAUGUUUUUGUUCUUCAGGUAUGAACUUUGCUUGAAGUUGCUAGAAUUGAUUGAAAAAUGGCUAUGUGACCCUGAUUUUAUCCAUAAAAAACACUUAUUUAUUGUAUACAACAAUUCACAAAGUUUGAUUCCUGUUUUUGUUUUUUUUAGAUUCUCCUUUUGUAGAGAUGUUUAGUUGACAAGGAGCUUGAAAAUUUUAUAUACGGAUCAUGAGAUGUUUUUUUUUUCAAGAUUUUGCUUUGAAAGGAGAGUGGGUGCUCCUUGUUUCCACAUCUGAGGAUAUUGAUCUUUAGAUGCUUUGCCCGUUUAUUGUCUUGAUGGAAGGUGCUGCUUCUAUGGUCAAGGUGCAACAUUUUUCCCAUUCAUCACCCUGUAAGAAGAGGAGAUGAAACAGGUUAUCUCCAUACUUAAUUAGGUUCAAUUUAGGAACGAUACAUCCUUCUUGAUGAAUCUGACAAUGUUGUUCCAGCACAUUUCAUUGGUGGGGAGAUGAGAGAUUUUUUCUAAAUCAAAUGUUGCUCUCCCACUCUUUAUUUGACAAUCCUUUGUUCUGUCCGAAUCCGUCCUGUAUCAAAGAAAAAGACAUGUCAUCUUUCAUGCUGAAGAGAAUCAAGCUUAAGAACGAGAUACAUCAUUUUCAAAGUUGGGCAAUCAACAUCCCAAGGUACCACUCAUGGAGGAAUAGAUAAUAUUGCCCCUUUGUUUCAUUUGAAUCUUUUUUUGUUAAAGAUGAACAAGACUUAAAAGUGCUCCAUCGCAUUUGUUGAAACAUUACAAAACUUGGUGCUCUUGAUGUCUCCUUGACAAUGAAAAGAAAAUCAAGUAAAAACGGUAUCAGAAAUGAAUAAUUUGAAUCGAUACAGUUUACUCUUCCUUUGAAUUUGCCCUUUUGGAUAUUUGACAACUCCUUUCAUUUGUCUCAUCAUGUAAAAUGAACGAGAUCGAUGGGUUGUUAAGGCAUUUGCGAAUAACAAAACUUCUCAGAAUGGAAUUCAACUUCAUUCCGCCUCUAUGGAAAAUUGGCGCCGACGAAACCUCAACGCAUGCAUGCUCCUCGAGUUUGAUGAGCUCGAGAAAACGACUACAUAAAGAGAGGGCCUUAAGCAAAGUUUUCUUGAAAUUCAUUUUGGAAGGUAGACGUAAAGGUUCGCCUAAAACACUUCUGAUUUUUUUUUUUGAAUUUUUUCUGUUUUGCUUUGCUUUGUUUUUUUUUUAAUAAAAAAUAAUGAUGAUUUUCAUGAAAUUGAAUUCCAUCAUUAAAAAUGUGAGUCGCACGAUUUGAAAAAGCAACAAUUGAAUAUGCAAUUAAAACUCAAAAUGGAAAACAUGAUUCUUAACAUGAAUAAGAACAUUAAUAAAAUACAAGAAGCUCUUGUAUAGAUAAGAGUAAAAGUCAACUCUUGUCCUAAUGUCAGAGCAUUGCACAUAACCAGCAAAAAAACGACAAUGUUAGUAUGUGAAUGAGAGAAAAUGAUAUUUUAAUGAGGUCACUUCUUACAAUAAAAUCGAGGUGACGAUACAUGCCCCACAAUCCUUAUUACGGGAUUUUAGUAUUUCGCCAAGAUUUUAUAGAGAAGACAUCAUUAAAAUUAUCAAUCUACGGCCAUCAAUCAAAUGUCCACUUUUAUUCCAAAAGUUUUGUAUGCAAAAGUGUCAUUGUUUUUGAAAGAUUGAUUUGUGAUUUUACUCCUAAAAAAAUGAAGUGAUUUCUAUUUUGAGGAAUUUGUACACAAAAUGAUUUGCAUUAUAGUCCCAAAACAUGAGAAUGAGAAAAUUUGAUAAAAAAAUUGCAAUUUCAAUUUUUGUGCCCCGAUAUAAAAUCACAACUUGAAUUUAUUUUUUUUUCAAAAAGAUUUCGAGCCCAUAACUAGAAAUUUAAACAAAACCACGUGUUCAAUAGGGCCAAAUCAAAGUGUUUAGAACUUGCCUUCAAUGUUCACUUAUCAAAAGUGACUGCCAAUUUUUUUUUAUUUAAUCAUAAGCCUAUAUCGCCGAGGGCAUUCGAUUGGUUUCCGCGAAUUUCAAGAUGAAAAUGCAAUACAAAAUGAGCAAAUAAAGAGAAACGACACUUACAAUGGGUGCCGACCUUUGUCUCUUUUUUUUUUAAAUUACACAAACAUGCACAUGGGAUGUGGUUCGAUUUCUACUCUAAACGGCUCAAAAUGAAGCCAUGGGAUCACUGGACUGAACCAACAAGCUCGCGGCUAGGUCGUGUUUCCCAUGACUCCGGUUUCAUCAAAGGACCGACCCGUGUCGCAUGCUCGCAGACCAGGAUGGGGACUUCUGACAUCAAGAAAGAAGUUUCGGAAAUGAGAUGGGCGACUCGUACUACAUGCUUGUAGUCGGAGUGGUAUCCACCUCAACACUAUCCUAAGUGAUCCUAUGUGACCCAGGUCCGGCGGCAGGUUGUAUGUGCUAAAGUGUAGUGCAAUGCAGGGGAUGCCGGCAUGACAAUUUAUGAGCAAUUAACACUUCAUACAUGAAAAAUAAACCAUACAUUCCUACACCUCCAUGCAAGACAAAGGUGAGCAAACACUUCCCCUUAUACCUCCCAUUCUGCAAAAAAACAUUUAACAUCUACAAUACUAGGGGCGUACCUAGAAUCCUUGCUACCAAACAAAAAUAUUUUUGAACAAGAUUAAUUUUGGCCUAAGUCCUCUAAGGUUUAAAACCAAGUCCCCAGCGGAGUCGCCAAGCUGUCGCGACUUACCCUCAGCGAAGGGAAUAGGUUUAGGGGUAUUGCCUAAAGGACGGGCCUAAGGCCCAUGAUUAGGCGUGGGCUCUCCCAAGCCCAUACCUCGUGUGACGUUGGGAUAUAUUUUAUAAAUUUUACACAAAAGGAGUUGCCACUAGCCUAUUGGGGUCGGCUAGAAACUGAGGCAUGGGAAUGUACCUCACUUCCUACGCAACCAGAAAAUUUAGGAUCGGAGACUUAAUUACACUAAUUUACUAAUUAGUACCAUUUGGGUACCUAAUCUUGUUUAUUUUAAGAGUAAAAAUUUUUGUCAGGCAAUUUGGAUUAAUUUUAUACUUAUCCACUAAUAUACGAGGUGAUCAUGUGGGUACGCAAUCAUUAAAGUAACAAUCAUAGUUACUAAGUUCUUAAUUGCAAUAAAAUUAAACACGUGCAAUUAAACAUAAUUAGAAAGACAACUUAAACAUACGACAUAAUCAAAAUAUGAGCAAGUAAAUACCUAAUUACACUAAGAAUGCAAAUCGUAGCAAUUCCUAACCAAAUCCCAUCAUUUUUUAAAUUUCGAAAUUUUUAAUUUUUUUUAAUUUUAAUUUUUUUAAAGUCAAAUUUUUAAUAUUUUCUGAUUUUUUUUAAUUUUUUAAUGUUCUCUUAAAGUUGUUUGAAUUUUCGGAAGUUUUAUGAGUUUUUAUUAUUUUUUGAUUUUUGAUUUUUGAUUUUGAUUUUGAUUUUUUGAUUUUUUUAGUUUUUUUAAUUAUUAUUUUUUUGUCCUUUCCCUGUUUUGUCCUAUCUACUGCACUCUCCCUCCCCUUUUCAGCGACUUCUAUUCCCGAAGUCACUUUCUUUCUUUUCUUUUUCUCUUUUUUUUUUUUAUUUCUUUUCUUUUCCUUUUAUUUUUCUUCUGCCUUUUGAUCUUCUUCUUCUUCGUGCGUUCUCUGCACGCCGGACGUUCCUUCUACGCCUUCCCCCAAACUUCGCCUAGACAGUAACACCAGCAUAGCAACCAAUGACCCUUUCACCACUGAAUCGCCACAGUCUAUCGGUUGUCCACUUCGACCGGCGACAACCACCAUCGGCCACAAACGUCGGCGGCCAAACCAUUUUCGAGCAUAAAAACCCCCUCGGCUCAAGAAUACACGAUUGCUCCACGAAAAACAUAUGAAAUCACAAUGGAAACAUAAAAGGCGGGCACGGUCCGACGUAUAUAAGAGCAAGCACGAACCAAACCGAGAUUCAACCCGAUUGCUUCUCAGUUCUCUCCGGGACAUUUUGUCAAACACAUGAGGAGGUACGCUACUAUAAUGAGGGGUUUUUGGCUCAACGAAGCUCGAACCAUAACGGGAUCUUCGACACACAACAAACAAGACGUCGGAAAAAAAAAGUAAGGCGAUGCAGGCCGGAGCUCGCGUGAACUGAAUGGCCACGAGCUCUGGCCUGGUGUACCCGAGAAAGAGAGCACACAUAAAGGCCCAGGGGACUUACCUGGUUCGGGUGGGGCGCGGUGGCGGAUGACGGCUCUCGGGUGGACGACUGACGAUGGCUAAGCUUUCCUUCGAGUUCCCUCUCUCCCUUCAGGUCAUCCUCUCCUCUCUCGCUCUCAAUCCCUCUCGGUUUCUCUCUAGUUCCUCUCAGCUCCUCCUCAGCUCUCUUGGUUUCUCAUAGUUCCAGAAGAAGGCCGUCAGGGAGCCGGAUCCCGUGCAUGGUCGAGCCUCUCUUUGGCUCUCCACCCUCUCUCAAGUACUCUAGCUCUCACUCUCGAGCACCUCUCUGCUCAAGCCCUCUCCCUCUGAUUCUCCUUGUGCUUGUUCCUCCCCCUUUCACAUUUUUCUUUUGCAGGUUAUCAUGCGAAGACCAGCCAUGCCGGCUGCCGACCGGGCCGCUCCCGACCCGCGGAUCACGCUGGCCAUCUGUCACCCGAUCCUCUGCUGCUCCGGCUUUCGCUGCUCGCUCUGUUCUCUGUCUUCUGCUUGUGCAGGUGCUACAGUGUGUGAAGUUGCAGAUACCAAAGAUGAAAUGUAUAUGAGGUAAAGAACUCUGUAUAUUGAUAGAACUGAACGAUCAACACAUCAAUCAAGAUCUCUUCUCUACUUCUCUCAAUCUAUACAAUCAACUGUAGUUCUAUUUCAAAGAAAAUAAAAGCACUUGAGAGAAUUGAGAGAAUCAUCUGUUCUUCUUUUCUUCUGCUACAACGACGAAGCUUUUAUAUCUUCGUUAAAACCUCUUUCCAAAACUGACUUAACAACAUUUAGUUACAAGAUUGAAUCAACAGACUAACUACUUGUUAUAUUGACACAUGUACGGCUCCUGGUGCAGCUUAAUCAACUUAUGUUUCUGGAUUGCCAACUCAGCUUCUCCACGGAUCACCAACUCAGCCUUUGUUUCUCUUCUUUGACUUCUUCAUAGAUUGCCAACUCAGUUUUUCCUUGUUUCGACCUCUGCUCUAUUUCUGCUUCAGCUUAUUUUGCUCUGUUUCUGCUUCAGCUUGUUUUGCCCUGUUUCUUUAUGUCCAUCGGUAUUUAUAGACUGUGGUUUUGAUCUUUGUUCUUUAACACAGCGAAGACCAACCGGAUGGAAGAAGACCUUCGUUCAAAGGCUGGACUGAAAGGGAAAACGGGUUGGGCCGGGCCCAGCACGGGAGAGGGGAAGAGAAAAGAAAAGGGGCGUGGGCCGGGCCAAAGCCAGGUCAAGCCCAACCCGAUUUUUUUCGUUUUCGUUUCGUUUUUUUUUUUAACCUCUAAUACUAUUUUUAACUAACUAAUUUAGGUGAAAUUUAGGUGUCAACAAAGUUGUCCUUGGUGUAUUCAAUGGCCAGAUCAGCGCCCAAUCUCUUGAGUAGAUCCAGGUUCCCAGUACCAGAUGUAGCUGCCACUCUUGAUGCACCAAAAACUUCCUUAGCUAGCUGUGCAAUUGGACCAACCGAGAAAAAAAAAUAUGAAGCACGACAAAAAAAAUGUUAGAAGUAGAGUUCUUACGUCGAGUGGAUCCCACGUGAAGCCGAUGCGAUUCGAGAAACAUAAUUAGCGAGAAAAUGGUACCUGAAUUGAGAGUGUGCCGACACCACCAGCACCACCCAAAACAAGGAGGGACUUGCCGAGAGAGAGGCCGGCUCUUUCAAGGCCCCCAUAGGCAGUCUGAAGGACCAACGGCAAAGAAGCUGCCUCCUUGAAAAUCAGCUUCUUGGGCUUCAAAGCCAAGAAUUACUCAUCCACGGCCGUGUCCCGUAUUUCUUGGCAUGCCGCGUAAAUCCAUAUACCUCGUCCCCAACCUUGAGCUCCUUCACUUCGCGACCCACCUUCACCACAAUGCCGGCGAGAUUUUAGCCCAGCUCGGCCUAAUGCAAAAUGGUGGGGCAUAAUGUUAAUAAUACAUGUUAUAAGGGGGAAAAAGCGACGAUACAGUCCAUCUAAAAUAUUUUUUAAAAUUACCGGUAAUGGAAAUCCCGGGGCUGGUAAACCUUAAUCACUCUCAUGGUGUCUACUGGAUUGUGCGCCGCAGCAACGACCUUCACCAGCACCUGCCCUUCUUGCACUUCAGGGACCUCGAACUCGGGGUCCACUCUCAACGCUGGUGACGUCUCCAUGCUCACGAUAAACCCAAGCCUUCGUUGUAGUUGGAAUGGCGAAAUUCGUGGCCAUGGAGAAGAACGGAUGAAUUGGUAGGAGGAAAUUCUCCUUUCUUUCUUUUUUUCUGGGUUCUCUCGGUCGAUCUAUCUCAAGCUCAAAGCACACGAGAGAGUGGGAUGACUUCGUUUGCUUUUAUAAAGUGCAAUGGUCAUAAGCUCCAAGGGGAGUCUAAUGACAGAUACGAUGAUUUCAUAUCGGACAUGCUUUCAACAAAUCUAUUGUAUUUUGAAUUAUCAUAAAUACAAUAGAUUUAGAACUUUUUUUAUUUAUUUAUAAUUUUCCCGUUAAAAGCAUGUUGAUCCUAGAUAAACCUUAGCUUCAAUGGAGACAAAUUCCUGCCAAGUGAUAGGACUGUUAUGACAGCCUCAAAUUUGUUAAAACUGAUCCCACGAGGGUGAUUUUAUAAUCACUAAACUCACUUGCAUAGGGCAAAAUUUCAGUGACUGAGCAUAUUCACUCUUUUCCUUUUGCAAUGCUUCGAUCAAAUAGUACAACUUUAGAGGCGGCUCUUAUGAAGUUAUGUGAUCGUGUAGCACUUAGUUCUUUACUAUACAUGUUAUCAUUAGUUUCUUAACCCAAAACAUAUAAUCUUCCAAGAGUUAUCUCGUAAAUCAACUAUUCAAAGUAGUACGCAUAACCUUUUAGGAAAGGUUUGUCAAACCAUCGCACAAUAACUCAAAAGUGCCAAACACUCCAUACAACUUUGUUUAACAAGUAUGUUCUUCCUGUUGGAUAUAUUAUUAAUAUAAUCCAAAAUAAUAUGUUCACAUACAAGCCCAAUAGGUGAAAGCAUGGUUAUUUGGGUCCAUAUGGGUCGGAGCCCAAUGACUUGCAUAUAAAAACGUUAGGGUUCUCCUACGUUGGAGGUAACACUAUUGAGCGUUUCAAACUUGACGUCUCUUGGUAUAAUACUUCAAACAGCCGCUUCUUCUCUCUUAAACAUAUAACCUCCAACAAUCUUGAAGUAUUAUGUUCGUGCGUUGGAUUUGAGCGAGUAAGGUGUCUUCUUGAAGAUUUCGUCAAGACGAACUCACAGGUGUAAUUUACUUUCGAUUUCAACGGUGGUAUUGACUGGGAUCUGAGUUUGAAAAUUCGGGUGACCAAAAUCUUUGAUUCAAAAACCCAAAAAUUAUAGCCAAUUUUAGAGGGUGAAACCACUUGGGCUUUGUUCUACUCGUUGAUACGAACGUUUUGAGUGGUUACUCACGUCGAUUGGAGGUCGGACGAAGUACUUAUGGCACCCGGAAGUUUCCAUCUGAAUUUCUAGCGAAUUUCGGCAACGAAAUUCGUGGCGAAAAUUUCCAGCGAGUUUCGACGACAAGGGCAGUCCAUCUCAAGGUUUUUGGGCGCUCCAUAUUUGUUUUUGGGGUUUGUUUUGGUAAAUUCCAUCUCUACAAAGCAAUUUGAUCAAGUUAGGGGAGUUAUUCGACUUUGUGGCUCCAAGGACUCCAAGGUGCACUAUUUUUAACACUCUGCUCUAAUUAAAAUGGCAAAGCGUUCCUAUGAUAUUAUAAAGUUGCAAUCAUUUGAUGUUACUAAAUUUCAUGGCUGGAAAUUACAUGUUUAAUUUGACAUGAAAGAACGUGACAUAUUUUAUAUUGUAUUAAGUGAUUUUGCAUCUACCACUGAAGAUGUUGAUAAAUAUCAAUGGAACAAAGAUGGGGAUUUUUGUAGAGAUUACUUGUUGAACUCUCUAAAUCCUAAUCUGGCUAUGACUUAUAGUGAGUAUAUGAUGGCGAAAGAGAUAUGGGAUCACUUGAAUGCUCAGUUCCAAAAACAAGAGGGGCUUACUAAAACUCUCUUAGCGGAGAAAUUCUUUGACUUUAAAUUUACUAUGAAUUCAAGUAUCACCUCUCAGUUAGUUGAAUUUGAGAACAUGAGGAACAAGCUGAAAGAUGAUAACUCUGAUAUGUCCGAUAAUCUCUUCGUCGAUCUUGUGUUAAACAAAUUACCAACUGAAUGAAGUUCUUUCAAGAUUGAAAUGCACAGACUAAAGGUAUAGAUGGGACUGGAUGAAUUAAAGAGGUAUAUUCACAUUGAGGAUCAAAACAUUACUAGGAAGAGUUUGGAACAAGUAGGACAACAAAAGUCAGUUGCCAACUAAAUUUCACACUCCAAUAAACCUUAGAAAAAGUCUAAGUCACCAAAAGGUGAAUCAUCUUUACAGUUAGAGGCCAAAAAGACUAUAUUCAAAAAGAAGAAGAAUGGCAAGUGCCAUAACUGUGGAAAGUAGAGUCACUGGGCAGCAAAGUAUAAAUUGCCGAAGAAGCCAAAGAAUGACACAUCAUAAAAUGAGGCCAAUAUAUUAAUUAGAGAAUAUGAGCCUCAAGCCUUCAUUGGAAUGAUGAAUAAUGGAAAAGCCAACGUCUCUUCUGAGUGGUGGUUGGACAGUGACACUACUUGUCAUGCUACAAAUGACAAGAACUUACUCACUGAAGUCACAGAAGUGAAAGACACUGUGGAAACUUGUAAUGGUGGUGAGGCAAAGGUGACUCAUGCUGGAACUGCAAAUUUGGUGCUUUCUUCGAGUAAAUUACUAACUCUGAAACAUGUUAGAGUAAUACCUUUACUGAAAAAGAAUUUGAUAUAUAUGAGUUUACUUGAUAAAGCUGGUAUGUUUUUUUCAACUAUGAAUGGUAGAGUAACUUUAUCUGUUAACUCAUAUUAUUUCGGUUGUGCAUUCAUAAUGGUAUGUAUAGGUUGAGUUUAAAUACUGAUAGUAUAAAUCAUGUGAAUUCUACUUUGAUUGAUCCAAAGCUGCUACACAAUAGACUUGGACAUGUGAAUUAUAGGAAAAUGCAACAUCUAGCUAAAACUCAUAACAUUCCAUUAGAUACUUCUAUUUGAUUUGACUAGUGUGAAAUGUGUGCACAAGCUAAAAUCACUAAAAAAAACCCUUUAAGUUGGUUUCUAAAAGUACAAGUACCUAAGAUGUGACAUCUUAAAUUUGACAAAGUGGUAAAGAGUUAUGGCUUUCAGUCUAGUUAUUUAGAUAAAUGCAUUUAUCAUCGUUCUAUGUCAAAUAAGAUAGUCAUCAUUUGCUUAUAUGUUGAUGACAUAUUAAUUCUUGGUUCAGAUCAUUCUGUACUGAGUGACAUGAAAACUACUUUAGCUAAAGAAUUUGACAUAAAAGAUCUUGGUAUUACUAAUACCAUUCUUGGUAUGAAAGUAAGCUUUAAAUGGCAAGUCAUCUCCCUUAGCUACACUCGUUAUAUUGAGUGGCUACUUUCUACUUGGGGAUAUGAUAAGUGUAAACCAAGUGAGACAUCAUGUGAUUAUAAUAACAGAUUGAGUCCUAAUGAAGGGACCAUCGUGGAUCAAUUAAAGUACUUAAAACUGCUUGGUAGUCUUAUGUAUUCUAUGAGUUGCACUAGACCCAACAUAGUCUUUACAGUUGGCAUGCUGAGUCAUUUUACUAGUAAUCCUAGUAAAGAGCAUUAGGAUGCCCUUAAUAGCCUAAUGAGAUACCUUAAAGGUAUUAAAGAUUAUGCUUUAUAUUAUUCUAGUUAUCCUCCAACCGUGGAUAAAUAUUCCGAUGCCUCAUAAUGCUUUGAUAUUGGAAAUAGUAAGUUCACUAGUGGAUAUGUAUUCAGUUUGGGUGGAGCUGCUAUUACUUGGAAAUCCAAAUGACAGACUUGUAUUGCAUUGUCGUAUAUGGAAUCAGAACUUUUUGUUUUAGCCUCAACUAGUGAAGAGGCAAAGUGGAUAAAUAAUAUGAUUAUAGAUAUUCCUUUGACUCGACUAAAGAUUAAUUCUUUAAGUCUAUUCUGUGAUAAUCAAGCAAUUGUCCAAAUUGUUAAGAAUGCUCUCUUUAAUUCAAAGUAAAGAUAUGUGAGACUAAGACAUGCGUUGUUGAAUUAUCUGAGAGAACAGGGGUUAUCACCUUGAUCGAUGUGAGAUCGAAUGAUAACUUAGCCGAUAUAGGCGCGCAGCACUAGGAUAGUAGGCGAAGUGGGUGUCGGGUGCCGAUGCAAGUUGCUAUAGUGUCGGCGACGGUCGGAGAGCAGCUCGGUUAUUGCAGGCGAAACUCGGAGGUAGCAGCAGAGGCGGUGAUCGGGGUGACGGUGGUGCUGUUGCGGGUGUCAGGCGCGACCACUGGAUUAGAGGUGCUGCCGGCAUGGUGGCGGGUGUUCGCGGGAAGGAAGCACAAGCGAGCAACAAAUCGUGAGUUGACGGGUGAGAGGGGGAGCAGCGCCGAGAGGAGGUGACCAAGAGGUGUUGGUGUGGCGGCCGACGCAGAAUCGGCGAAGGUAAUAUUGAUGCUCUGGGCAGCAGUGGACGGCAGGUAGAGGCUCAACUGUUGCGAGGCGUCGCUGGUGACGCGCGAUGGUGGGCUCGCGGCAGAGGUCUUGCAUGCGGCGAGAGGAAGCAUCAGUGAAGGGAGAGCAGCAGCAGCGGAGGUGUCGUGUAGAGUGACAGCAAUGGUGGUGAGUGUCGGGGUCAUCACAGCCGCAGUAGACGUAAGGCGUCGACUGAGUCGCAACGGAGGUUGAACGUCGGGGGGUCUGGUAUCCGGUGCUGCGGUGCUCGUGGGUUGCAAAGGGGGUCACCGGAGGUACUGUUGCGGGUCUUGAGCACCGGAGUAGUGGCGGCGUGCGGCAGUUCAGGCAACAUGGGGAAUCACCGGAGUAGGAAUGGCAGGGGGCGAGGAUGCCCACGCGAAGAAGAAGACCUGUUUGCCUCUUUUUUUUUUCUCUCUCUCUCCCUUCUUUUGGCCUAUCGUACGUCUCUUCCUUUGUUGUUGUUGACUUUUUCUUUUGUUCCUUGCAAUUUGUCAGAAAGGAAGGGACAAGACUUUCCUUGGACGAGAAAGAGGGGAGGGGGCUUCCUCCUCUUUUCCUUUUUCACGAAUUCUCUCCUUUGCACGAAUUUUUUGCACGAAUUUUCCUCCACAAACUCACUCCCUUUGUCACGAAAAUUGUGGCCAUUUUUAUAGUGUUUCAAACGGCCGCUUUCUAUGGUAUUUUCUGAGUUUCCAUUUUCUGUUGCAUUGAUAUAUGGCUACAAAUCGAGCGUGAUUUCACAAUCAGCUCGAUUUUCUAUAAUUCAUUUCCCUUUUAUCAUAAUCUUUGCCAUUUAUUCACCUGAUCUUCUAAUUGCUUCCACAUUUAUCAAAAUCUAAAUAUUCAUCAAAAUUUCUGACUUCCAUGGAUAAUCAAUCUGAUUGAUUUUCCCCAUUUUUCUCUUUUAUUUGUUCUAAUGCAAUUUUUAUUUAUUUCUUUUUUUGAGAGGUUAAAAUUAAUCCCUAAUUUCUAUGCCAUAAAUCAAUGACUAGGUUGUUAAAAUUUAGGUGUCAACAUUAUAUAAAACUAUUUUUGGUGUUAAAACCCGACAUUCGAGAUUUUCUGAAUAAAUAUUGAAAUUCACAAUUUUUUGAAUAAUUGAUCAAAUUUCCAAUCAACAUUGACAUUCAAUUGCAUAAACUGAACACACCAUUGCAAUCAGUAUGAAAUUCCGGUUAAUGGCUAUCUCGAUCUAAUUUUCGAAAAAUAUUUAAUAAUUAAAUAAUUAUCAAAAUUAAUUAAAUAAUUCAAUUUAAAUUCUAAAAAUACUAACUUAGGUCGGAAAUACCUAAUUAAAUACCAAAACGGAUUUGGAAAAUUACCAAACUAAUCUAGAUAAAUAAUACAGCUUAUCUAGUCCCUAACUAAGCCGUUCUAACCACCUAACAUGCACAAUUAACUAAUUAAAUAACUAAUCUAAUCUAACUAACCACCUAAUCCCUAAUUAACUUAAACUAAAAAUCCCUUAAACUUUAUUAGACUACUAAGUAGAGUUUAGUACAUAAACUCACUGGUUUAGCACGAAAACCGGUUCACUGCGACGGUAGCACGAAGGGGGCUGAAACCCAAACUUUCAACGACGUCAAUGAACACUUGGACCUAGCCAAAAAAGCCUUGCAAGCCCACAGCAAAUUGCUAGUCUUGGUUCUGGGCUUGAGCUAAGGCUGACUUGCUUCGUGGGCCUCAAGUGAGCUGGAUUCAAGGCUGAAGAUGGGCUGCUGGAAUGGACCGAAUGUUGGGCUGAGCUUGCGGGCUGAAAUCCACUGGACUGAGUUGAAUCUAACCAACUGUGGGCUGGGCUUGCACAGAGGUGGGCUGAACAAAUAAGCAGCAAGGGGGAUGCUGGGCUUCGGGCUUCGCUGCUGGGGUCAACUGGGCUUUGCUGGUUGACCGUUGAAGACGCGUGGACGAGGAUGGACGGCAGCUGCAGCAGCUUCGGUCGCUGCUUCAGUCGAAGGGUGGAGGAGCUUGGGACGAAGGGAGAGAAAGAGAUCUUCGUGACAGCUGGAUGAAGGAAGGAGCUGCUUCGGUCGCUGCUGCUGGGUGUUGACCAAACAAGAUGAAGACGUGGACAUGUGGCAGACCAAGCUCGCUGAUGGAGGCGUGCGGGCCACAAAAAUGGAAGAAGAAACAACUGAGGUCUUCGGACGUGGCAGCUGCAGCUUCGGUUGGCGAGAAGACAAACAAUGGUGGAAGGCUGGCAGGGGACGUCGACUGCUGGCAGCUGGGGAAGAAUUCGGUGGAGUCAACAAAUGGGAAAGAGUUCGCUGGUGGUGGACUUGCUUGGGGACGCGGCAGCCGAAGGAGAGAGAGCUUGCGAGGAAAUGAAAGUGAAGCAAGAACAGAAGCAAGGCAGAAUUGGACGAACUCUUCGGCUGAGAUAAGAAUUGCACGAAGAAGAUGGAGGCCGGCCAAGCAUGUCCAAGAAGCCAUGGAAAAAGGGGCUUUUAAGUCAACACAAUUAUCCUUUCAAUUUAAUGCUUGUCCCCUAUUACUUAGAAUAAUGCCGCAAUAAAUCAAUUUGAAUCCAACUGUUGCACCCCCUCAUCUUAGGCUCCGAAUUUAGCUCAUAUUGAACUUCAAUUUCCUCACUCAAUUUCCUCAAAUCGAUGUCCAAAUUUUUCAAGGAAAAAGCCCAUGAAAUUUCUGCAAGUCCCCAUCACCUAAAGACUCAGUAAGGAGGCCAAAAUUUCCUUCAAUUUGGCCCAUCCGAAUUUUCGCUAUUUUUUCGAAUUGUCCGAAAUGAUUUUCCAUAAAAUCUCGAACUCUCCGAAAAUUUUUCAAAGAAUUUUUCAAAGGAUGAGUUGACGUUCCUAAUAUGAAUCAUGACAUGACAGAACUUUCAAUUUUUGAAAUCGAGUUCAAUUUUGCUGUUAAUUUCAAUCUAACGUGAUUUUAGCAUGACCUAGACUACCGAAUAGCUUUUAGAAAUUUUUAGUACAAUUGACCCGUGGUCGAUUAUUUUCGAGUCACUUUGUACAUCUUCAACACAUUUGCGACUUUCGGUUAUCAUGAAAAUCCCGAAAUUUCAAAUACGGACAUCGGGUACAGAAAUGACAAAAAAAUCGGUCUAGUGCCGUUCGACGAGAAUUUUGCAAUUAGGUGGAAUCACCUACACAUUGAUUACAUAUCUCAAUCAAAUCAACCUAUCUCCGGUUUCUAAUCGAUUUUUGACGAUGCCAUAAUGACCCUUGUAGGACAAUACGGUCAAACAGUCGAUUCCUAGUCGAAUUCUCAAGUUCAUUGCAUUAAAAUCCCCUAAUGGCUUCCCCAGAUAGUCUAGUUAUCUCGUGAGUGAUCAGCUCAGAAAGUAGCACUAUAGGCGCGUUGAUGAAAUGCUCGAUUUAUUUAAUCGAAAAUAAAAUCUGAAAAUUCAGAAUGUCACAGUUGCCAUUGCCACCAUUGAAGGGGGCUGACAACCUCAUCGGCCCCAAGUAGCGAAGUGGGGGAGGCACUCGUCGGCCUGUGCGAGGCCAUCGUUAGCCAAGCAAGGGCCAGCGAGGCUCGCCUAGAUUUAGGCAACGCCGUGCCCUUGCUCGAGCCUAGUGAGAGUUGCUAGCCCUCACUUAGGGCUCGCAAGGCCUCCCCUUAUAGCUGGGAAGGCUCGCCAGCCAUAAGCGGGCUAGCGUCGCCCAAAUCUUGGGCAAGCCUCACCCGGGCCUUGCUUGGGCAGGUGAGGGCCAACCACCCUUCGUUGCCCAGGGUCAAUGACCUCGCCAACCCCCUACGACUAUAGCAGCAGCAGUCACGUGCCUAACCACUCACAGGUCACAAGACUCAUGACCUUACCUUCUUCUUUUUUCUAGUUUUUUUAAGAAUUAUUUUAGCUUUUUUAAAAGUUUUUUUACAAUUCUUUAAGCUUUUUUUUUAAAUAACAAUUCUUUAAAUAAGAUUUAAAGAAAAAAAGUAACAAAAAUUGCCACGUAGGAUAAAUAAAUUAAUUGAAAAAUAUUAAUUCAGCAUUUUGCAUUAAAUAAAUUAAUUGUAGUAACGAAAAGACUCGAUUACACUAAUUUGAUAAAUUUUAGGACUUGUAGUGCAUAUAUCCAUAAAUUUAAUAGAAGAAUGUGGAUUGCUCCUUUUUUUCUUCAAGUUUUUAUGGAUUAUUGCAAUAGAAUGUAAUUGAAUUUGUCAAAUUAAAAUAAUGAAUGAUAUUGACAAAUAUUAGAUUAAUGUUUUUACUGUAAAUUAAUUCUAGGCUCUUUUUAUUAUUUAUUUAUUUAUGCAUUUAUAUAUAAAAAUAUAUUUAAUAUAUAACUUGUUGGAACAUGUUAGAAUUUUCUAUCUUUUGAGUAAUAAAGUGCCGGUGUGUCGUGUCAUGUUAUAUCAUAGAUUGCGUGUUUGUGUCGAUACUACAUAGGCUGCAAGCAAAGAAACUGCUUCACCAAAGCUCUGCUCCUUGGGCUUCAGGGCCAACACUAAAUGCAGUGUGAUAAUGGGAGUCGGCCAUGAUGCAAUCGAGUCCGGCCAUGAUGACGUACGCCAUGAAGACGUACGUCAUGAUGCUGGCCACUUUGUACCCCGGCACGGUCUAGAUAUGAGGCUUAAGUAAUGGGAGUCGCAGGAACCCUGGUGUCGACCAUCUGAAGGGCGCUUGUUCUAAAUGCAGAGUGCGAUAAUUAGUUCUAAAUGCAGAGUGCGAUAAUUAAAGUCCUAGAACAGUACAUUUAACAUGGCCAAUAGCUAGCUGUCGCCAUUAUAAUCGUUCCGAAUCUAAUGGGAAUCAUCGUCAUCGUAAUCAUUUUUCUUUGCCAAUUGGCCAACAUAAUUGUAAGGAUAGUCAGAUGUAUCACCAUCGAAAUUUACUUUUGACAACAAAUGCACAAUAUGGAGUCCUGGAAAGUUGAAAACUUCCAUCACGCUGACUCUCACCGCUGUAUGUCGAAUCGAAUCUACAAAGAGAAGCCGAAUAUACAGAGACAAAAACAAGCACGAUCGACUAACUAAUCAAGGACUCACGAGUAAGACAGAUACAUGGGGACGCUCUAUUUCUUUCGUUUGUGUUUCAUGGGACAGGGUGGAUCAUGACUUUUCCAGUUGCCCGGCGGGUUUGAACAUACGAGAGGGCCUCGAUGGCCUGCGAAAAUGGGAACGGGCUCUUGGGAUCGAUCACUGGCUUCACCUUCCUGCUCUCCAAGAAGGGCUUCAACUUCUCUAAGGUCAAACGGUCCGAUGUCUCUUGGAAAAAGAAAGCGGGCGGCGGUAAUUCCUUCUGGUAUUCUGCAAUCUCCACCACACUCCCUCCUGGCGCCACAGUCUUCACCGCCCGCUCACUUUGCCCUGCACGUUAGGAACAUCACCUGUUUAGCGCAAUGCCGAAUAGUUCAUCAUCAAGAAAGUUACCAGUCACAGAGAAAAUCUUAUAGGCGAAAAUGGGAUUUUUAGCACAUCGAUUGCUGGUGUACAAAAGAAACUUGCAUAGCAUCUAGACGGAUAGGUCAUGCAUGCACACUAACUAAUANNNNNNNNNNNNNNNNNNNNNNNNNNNNNNNNNNNNNNNNNNNNNNNNNNNNNNNNNNNNNNNNNNNNNNNNNNNNNNNNNNNNNNNNNNNNNNNNNNNNNNNNNNNNNNNNNNNNNNNNNNNNNNNNNNNNNNNNNNNNNNNNNNNNNNNNNNNNNNNNNNNNNNNNNNNNNNNNNNNNNNNNNNNNNNNNNNNNNNNNNNNNNNNNNNNNNNNNNNNNNNNNNNNNNNNNNNNNNNNNNNNNNNNNNNNNNNNNNNNNNNNNNNNNNNNNNNNNNNNNNNNNNNNNNNNNNNNNNNNNNNNNNNNNNNNNNNNNNNNNNNNNNNNNNNNNNNNNNNNNNNNNNNNNNNNNNNNNNNNNNNNNNNNNNNNNNNNNNNNNNNNNNNNNNNNNNNNNNNNNNNNNNNNNNNNNNNNNNNNNNNNNNNNNNNNNNNNNNNNNNNNNNNNNNNNNNNNNNNNNNNNNNNNNNNNNNNNNNNNNNNNNNNNNNNNNNNNNNNNNNNNNNNNNNNNNNNNNNNNNNNNNNNNNNNNNNNNNNNNNNNNNNNNNNNNNNNNNNNNNNNNNNNNNNNNNNNNNNNNNNNNNNNNNNNNNNNNNNNNNNNNNNNNNNNNNNNNNNNNNNNNNNNNNNNNNNNNNNNNNNNNNNNNNNNNNNNNNNNNNNNNNNNNNNNNNNNNNNNNNNNNNNNNNNNNNNNNNNNNNNNNNNNNNNNNNNNNNNNNNNNNNNNNNNNNNNNNNNNNNNNNNNNNNNNNNNNNNNNNNNNNNNNNNNNNNNNNNNNNNNNNNNNNNNNNNNNNNNNNNNNNNNNNNNNNNNNNNNNNNNNNNNNNNNNNNNNNNNNNNNNNNNNNNNNNNNNNNNNNNNNNNNNNNNNNNNNNNNNNNNNNNNNNNNNNNNNNNNNNNNNNNNNNNNNNNNNNNNNNNNNNNNNNNNNNNNNNNNNNNNNNNNNNNNNNNNNNNNNNNNNNNNNNNNNNNNNNNNNNNNNNNNNNNNNNNNNNNNNNNNNNNNNNNNNNNNNNNNNNNNNNNNNNNNNNNNNNNNNAGAAAAUAAAGAAGGGAAAAGGAAAGAGAAAAAAAUAGAAGAAAUAGAUAAGAGAAAUAAAGAAUAAAAAAAAAGGAAAGGAGGGAAGAAUAAUAAUAAAAGAAUAAAGAAAAAAAAAAAAUAAAAAAGGGGGGAAAGAGCUCAUACAGACCAUGUAAAAUACCAAACAAAGAACAGGGCGUUAGGGGGGGGGGGGGGGAGGGGGAGGGAAAGUGACCAUACAGUCCAUCUAAAAUACCAACCAAAUUACGUGUUAUAGGGGGAGGGGGAGGGAAAGCGACCAUACAGUCCAUCUAAAAUAUCAACCAAAUUACCGGUAAAGAAAAGCUCGGGGGCUGGAAAACACGGUUCACUCUCAUGGUGUCAGCCGGAUUAAGCGCCGCAGCGAGAACUUUAACCAGCACUUGGCCUUUUUGCAAUUCAGGGACCUCGAGUUCCGGGUCCAAUCCCAAUACGUCGGCAACGUCUCCGUGCUCACGGUGCACUCAAGCCUUCAUUUUGGUCGGAAUGAGGAAAUUCGCAGCCAUCGGAGAAUAGUGUGCGAUCAUUUUGAUCGAUGGUAUCUGGAAAUUUUGAUCGAUGGUAUCCGGAAAUUUUCUUUUUCCUCUGGGAUCUCUCGGUCGAUCUACCUCAAGCUCCAAGCAUACAAUAGAGCAUGAGUACUCCGUUUGACUUUUAUAAUGUGCGAUUAGGGGUGAGCAUCGGUCUAGGGUCAAGCUUGGACCAACCUUAGACCGGCCCAACCCUAUCGAUCCUAAUCUAGUUUCUAGGGAGAUCGGGUUGGUCCUUGGUUCUAGAAUUUCUAGACCAACACUGUGUGGGUUAGUCCUCGGUUCUAAGAGUUUAAGAUCGGUCCAACCCGAACCAACCCUAAUUGUAUUAUAUCUAAUAUAUUAUUUAUAAUUUUUUAUAUAGAGAAAACCCUAAAAUAAACGGCAUCAACAACAUUAAAUAGCUCCUUAGUGAGGAGUUCAAGUAAUUUUACACUAUUUUUUAAUAACUUAGAUCUUUUAAUGUUUUUUACGGCGUUAAUAGCCAUAAUUUACAAAUGAGAAAAAUGUUUUCGUGAGAGUUCUCACAACAUUCAAAAUGACAUAAAUAGCUCCUCACGGCAUCCUCCUCUAGUACUCAUUUUCUUCUGUCUUAUUUGUUUUCUUAAUCUUUAAUUUGACAAAAUCGAAAGAAACAACUUCUUUGCUCGCCACUCGACAUUCUCCUCCCUCAUUUUAGGUCACUCGUGCUACUCAUUGUUCAUUGCUCACUUGGCUUGUUGCUCCCUGCUUGACGAUCAACGCUCACCCCACUCAACACACAUCGCUCACCUCUCUUAGUUGACCUUGCUUGUCACUAAACUCAUAGGGUCGGUCCGAUUCUCGCUUGCAUUUUCACGAAGUAUAAAAAAUGAAAUAAAAAAUUAUCAGUUGGUCACGGUUGACCUUAGAACCGGACCAAAUUCAUUUGGUCGGUCCAAUCAUUGGUUGCCUUUUCAGAGAGUACAAAAAAUGAAAUAAAUAAAUUAUCGAUUGGUCUCGGGUUAACCUUGGAACCAGACCAAACCCAUUGGGUCGGUCCGGUCCUCGUUCUCAAAAAUUAAGGACCAGCACUAUGCGGGUUGAUCUUAGGGUUAGGGGGUGGGUUGGCCUAACCCGGACCAUGCUCACCCUUAUGUGCAAUUAGUUAUAAGCUACAAAGGGAGGCGGAACACAUCGUCCUUGAAUGCCAUAAUAUCUUGCACCAAUGGGCCAGCACUGGUUAGGUCAUAAAGAUCGAAACCGUGUCAGUUUUAUCUUAAAUACCUUCGAAAAUUAGGAACAAUCAUCAUGCAUCUAGGAUAUGGAUUGAGAGGAACUAAACGAUUGAGAACGCUAGAUCCUUUUGGUCUCAGCGUUGGUAUCUUCCACACACCAACUAAUCCUCACCAGAUGUCGAAACCACUUCUACUCAUUGUAAGCUCANNNNNNNNNNNNNNNNNNNNNNNNNNNNNNNNNNNNNNNNNNNNNNNNNNNNNNNNNNNNNNNNNNNNNNNNNNNNNNNNNNNNNNNNNNNNNNNNNNNNGCGCUCAAUCCAAUCGACACGCGAGAGUGAAGGGGGUAUCAAGCUCCCGGGCUUUUCUCUACCGGUAAUUUGGUUGAUAUUUAGAUGGACUGUAUGGCCGCUUUUUUUUCCCCUUAUAACAUGUAUUAUUAACGUUAUGCCCCACCUUUAUGCAUUAGGCCGUGCCAGGUUACGAUCUCGCAGGCGUUGUGGUGAAGGUGGGCCGCGAAGUGAAGGAGCUCAAGGUCGGGGACGAGGUAUAUGGAUUUAUGUUUCACGCCAAGAAAGACGGGACGCUGGCUGAGUACGCAGCCGUGGAAGAGUCGUUCUUGGCUUUGAAGCCCAAGAAGCUGCGUUUCGGGGAGGCUGCUUCUCUGCCGGUGGUCAUUCAGACCGCCUAUGGAGGCCUUGAAAGAGCUGGCCUCUCUCAUGGCAAGUCCCUCCUCGUCUUAGGUGGUGCUGGUGGCGUCGGCACACUCAUAAUACAGGUACUGUUUUGUUUCCUUCUCUGUUUUCUCGCGAAUCAUGUCUUACGAUUCUCACCGGAUUCUCGUGGGGCUUAUUUGAUAUGACGACUCUACUUCCAUCAUUUUUUUUUUUGUGGGGUUUCACUUUUUUUUUUUUUGGUGGUCCAAUUGCACAGCUAGCUAAGGAAGUUUUUGGUGCAUCAAGAGUAGCAGCUACAUCCAGCACUGGGAAGCUAGAGUUGUUGAAGAGCUUGGGUGCUGAUCUGGCCAUUGACUACACCAAAGUCAACUUUGAAGACCUCCCAGAAAAGUUUGAUGUUGUCUACGAUACAGUUGGUAAGUACGAGAACAUAAACGACACCUUGAUUCUUUCGACGUCCCGUGUUAUAUAGCUGUGUAUGCAUGACAUUACCAUCUGGAUGCUAUGCAAGUUUCUUUGUUCACCAACAAUCAAUUCGCUAAAAAUGUCCAUUUUCAUCGAUAAAGAUUUUCCAUGUGAUCAGUUUCUUUCCGGACAACGAACCAUUCGGCGCCGGGCUUAACAAUCAAUAUUCCUAAUCUGCAGGGGAAAUUGAGCGGGCAGCGAAGGCUGUGAAGCCAGGAGGGAGCAUCGUGACGAUCGUAAAACAAAACAAGACAUUACCCCCGCCUGCUUUCUUUUUUGCAGUAACUUCGAACCGUUCGACCUUGGAGAAGUUGAAGCCCUUCUUGGAGAGCGGGAAGGUGAAGCCGGUGAUCGACCCCAAGAGCCCGUUCCCAUUUUCGCAAGCCAUUGAGGCCUUCUCGUAUCUUCAAACCCGCCGGGCAACUGGAAAACUCGUGAUUCACCCCGUCCCAUGAUACACAAACGAGAAAGAAAUAAAGCGUCCACAUGGAUCUGCCUUAAUCACGAGUCCUUAAUUAGUAGUCGAUGGUGCUUGCUGUUUGUCUCCGUACAUUCAGCUUCUCUUUGCAUAGUAGUUUCUACAUAGUGCGUGUAGAGAAGCAAGUGGAUGUACAAGUAAAAUAAUUACUUUUUCUAUAAACAAUAUUACAAACUCACUAUACUAUCACACUCUCGCAACUACUCACUUUACUUGCUCACCGACUCACUUCACAAACCACACACGAACACAACUCUCUGUGCACACACCCACUCACUCUCUAUCACCCUACACUUACACUGUUAAAGCUCAUAAAAACAACAAUCAAAACAGAAAAAUUUCUGUUGUUUGAGAGAGAGAAAAGAUAAAAAAUAAUAAUAAAAAAAAUAGAGCAUAGCACUUCAUACGUCUUGUGCUUAAAGAAAAAAAACUGUUGAGUACAAUCAUUAAAUACAAAGCAGAAACUGCUCACGUACGUGCAACACAUAAUUGCACAUAAACGUGCUAUUAACUUCCUAGAAAAUAGCAAAAACACUAAAUGCAUAACUAAAUGAACUUAGCUGUUUUUUAAUAAAUAAAUAAAAAAACAAAGUAAAACAAAGGAAAACAUGACAGAAAACAGCAGCUGAACAAUUCCAACAAACUCCUCCUUGGAUCAGUUGCUGCUGUAGAUUCCUAUUUUCUCUCUUAAUAGCUCAAAUCUUCCAGCCUGAAGUGGUUUUGUGAACAUAUCUGCAAGCUAAUCUUCAGAUUUGCAAUAGACCAACUUAACUUCGCCACUUUGUUGCACCUCACGCAGAAAGAAAAAUUUGACUUUGAAAUGCUUGGUUUUGCCAUGGAAAACUGGAUUAUGAGAUAUUGCUAAAGCAGUCUGAUUAUCCACAUUAACUUCAAUGCAAUCACUAGAAUUCAAUCACAGAUCCUUCAUUAUCUUUUUCAGCCACAAAGCUUGAUUUGCAGCUACAGUAGCUGCUAUAAACUCAGCCUCUGCUGUGGACUAAGCUACAAUCUCUUGCUUUUNNNNNNNNNNNNNNNNNNNNNNNNNNNNNNNNNNNNNNNNNNNNNNNNNNNNNNNNNNNNNNNNNNNNNNNNNNNNNNNNNNNNNNNNNNNNNNNNNNNNNNNNNNNNNNNNNNNNNNNNNNNNNNNNNNNNNNNNNNNNNNNNNNNNNNNNNNNNNNNNNNNNNNNNNNNNNNNNNNNNNNNNNNNNNNNNNNNNNNNNNNNNNNNNNNNNNNNNNNNNNNNNNNNNNNNNNNNNNNNNNNNNNNNNNNNNNNNNNNNNNNNNNNNNNNNNNNNNNNNNNNNNNNNNNNNNNNNNNNNNNNNNNNNNNNNNNNNNNNNNNNNNNNNNNNNNNNNNNNNNNNNNNNNNNNNNNNNNNNNNNNNNNNNNNNNNNNNNNNNNNNNNNNNNNNNNNNNNNNNNNNNNNNNNNNNNNNNNNNNNNNNNNNNNNNNNNNNNNNNNNNNNNNNNNNNNNNUUUGACUUCCAGACCCAAAAAAUAAGCCAUCUUUCCCAAGUUUGACAUCUCAAAAACUGCAAAUAGAUAUUGCUUCACCUUCUCUAUCAAUUCCAUAUCAUUUCUCAUCAUAAUAGAUCAUCUACAUAAAGUGACAGAAUUACAACACUGUGAUUCACCUUCUUGCAUAAAGAGUGAACUCACUUAAGCUUUUUACAAAGCCAAAAUCCUGCAAAUAUCGAUCUAUCUUCCCAUACCAAGCUCUUGGAGCCUGCUUCAGUCCAUAUAGAGCUUUCUUCAACCUGUAUACACUCUCUUCUUGCCCUUUGAUACUGAAGCCUUCAGGUUGUUCAACAAAAAUCUCCUCCUCAAGCUCUCCAUUCAGAAAUGCAGACUUGACAUCUAACUGAAAUAUAUGCCACUCAUUCUCUACUGCAAUAACUAAUAGUAACCUUAUUAUAUCAAGUCGUGCAACAUGAGCAAAUGUUUCAGAAUAGUCUACUCUCCAUACUUGUGCAUAGCCUUUCACCACCAGUCUAACUUUGUGUUUAUUGACAGAACCAUCAGGAUUAAGUUUUGUUCUAAACACCCACUUAACCCCAAUCACAUUCUUAUCAGAUGGUCUGUCAACAAGCUCCCAUGUGUGGUUUUUCUGGAUCAUUGCAAUCUCCUCCUGCAUUGCUGCAAUCCACCUUUGAUCCUCCUUAGCUUCCACAAAGUUAGAUGGUUCGAGCAUUGCCACAUUGCUUCUUUCAUAGAUUUUAGCAAGUGACCUUGUGCCUCUCACUGGUAAAUCAUCCACUCCGUCUUCCAAUCCAUCUAUAACUUCAUCAACCUUUACAUCUGUUGCAGGUUGUUUUUCGAACCGUUGCUGUUCUGCACUCUUUCCUUCCAUCCAAUUCCACUCAUCUUCCUCUAGAAAAACAACAUAUCUGCUUACAGUCACCUUCCCUGUCAUAGGGUGAAAAAUUCUGUAAGCUUUUGAUUGGAGACUAUACCCAAUGAAGAUUCCAAACUCUACUUUCUUAUCCAGCUUGUCCCUCUUAACCUCAGGAACAUGAGUGUAACACAAACACCCAAAAACCUUCAAAUUUUUCACAGAAGGUUUAACACCAUACUAGUUUUCAAAAGGUGUUGACCUCUCUAAAGCCUUUGUGGGCAAUCUGUUCAACAGGAACACUGCAGUAUUAGUUGCUUCAGCCCAGAACUUCUUAGGUAACUUCUUCUCCUGCAUCAUGCAUCUAGCCAUCUCCAUAAUGCUUCUGUUUUUCCUCUCACUGACCCCAUUCUGUUGAGGUGAAUAUGGAGCAGUGAACUACUGCACAAUUCCUGCUUGCUCACAAUUCAACUUAAACUUGUGAGCAGUAUACUCAGAACCAUUAUCAGACUUGAGCAUUUUAAUUUUCUUCCCACUCUGAUUCUCAACUAGGGCUUUGAACUUCACAAACACAUCAGCAACUUCAGACUUGGCUUGCAGAAAAUAAAUCCAACUCAUUCUAGUCAUAUCAUCAGUGAAGGUAAUGAAAUACCUGCUACCAUUGAGAGAAGACUCAGACAUAGGUCCACAUAGAUCUGUGUGGACUAAUUGCAGCUUCUCACAUGCUCUCUAGCCUCCUCCUUUGAAAGGAAAUCCGGCUUGCUUACCAAGAAGACAAGUUCUGCACUGUGGAAAUUCCUCCUCCAAACUUGGCAAGUCAUCUACCAAGCUAUUUCUCUGCAUAAACUACAUGCUCUUCCUAUGAACAUGCCCAAGUCUUUUAUGACAUAGCUCUGCAUUUUAUUCUUUGCACUUUAAAGCCAUUUGUUGCAUCUCUUAUGGCUUGAACAUGAAACUCUUGUCCCUCAUUGGGAUUCUUAGCACUUCUUUGCUAUCUGCAUUAUUAAUAAGACAUUCCUUCCCUUCGAACUUCACUUUGUAGCCCUUCUCAACUAAUUGACCAACACUUAACAUAUUUUGGUCAAUGUUUGGCACAAAAAGAACAUCACUCAUCAGCUUCACCUCCUGAUUUCCUUCAAUAGCCACUGUACCCUUCCCUUGCACUUUGAUAUACUAUCCGUUGCCAAUUCUGACUCUGGACUUGACUGACCUGUCUAGACUCCUAAACAGCUUCGAAUUGCCAGUCAUAUGAUUGGUAUAGCCACUAUCCACCAGCCAUGCAUCAUUCCCAACAGAGGAUUCAGAAAAAGAAGCUACAAACAAGUGCUUUUCCUCAGUUUCAUUCAUCGCUACCUAUGCUUUUCCUGCUUGCUGGUAAUUUUUUUCUUUGCAGAUGGCUUCCAUGUGACCCAACUUGUGACAUCUUCUGCAUCUAGCAUCAGGCUUUCUCCAACAUCUAAAAAAACUGAUGAUUAGUUCCACCACAGUAUUGACAAGGAUUUUUGUUCAUCUUCCAUUUGCUAGACCCACCAUAAUUUCCUUCUUUUGCUACAAACUUGGAGUCACCAGCAUUUUUUCUGGACUGAAUCCAUUUCUUCCCUUUGCCUCCAUCAUUUGACUUCACUUUAGCUUGCAGCGCACCCUCUACAAACUCUUCUCUUCUCAUCAGUCUUUUGUGCUCCUGUGCCUGCAGAGCAUUUAACAAUUCUGCAAGCUAUAUAUCAGCUAAGUCUCUUGUAUUUUCCAGAGAAGCUAUGGUGGCUUCGAACUUCUCUGGAAGAGACACCAGGAUCUUCUGAACAAGCCUUUCAUCCUUCAAGUCAAUCCCUAAAACUCUUAUUUUUUCAGCUAUCCCAACCAGCCUAUCAGAGUACUCAUUCACUGACUCUGAAUCCUUCAUCUGUUGUCUCUCAAACUCCCUCAAGAGAUUCAGCACCUUCAUGCCUCUUAUGUUCUCAUCUCCCUCGUAUUCAUCCUUCAAGAAAUCCCAUAUUGCCUUUGCAGAAUCACAUCUCAUGAGCCUUGUGAAGAUAGUAGGUGAAACAGCAGCAUACAUGCAAGACUUUGCCUUGGCCUUCAUUGUGAUUCUCUCUUUAUGGUACUUUAUUUGAUUCAAUGUUAGAUUGUCUGGAAGUGGAACAACCUCAUAAUCAUUCUCCACAGCCUCCCAUAAAUCAUGACCCUCCAAGAAUGCCAUCAUCUUGAUAGCCCAAGCCCGAUAAUUUUCCCCAGUAAAGACUGGAGCAGCCAUUGCAGAGAAUCCACUCGAUCCUGCCUCCAUCAGCUUUUUCUUUGCAGAUUGGAAGCAAUUUUCACUCACUUACCCUCACUUCACAGUCCCUUAAAAUCCCACAAACGCUUUGAUACCGAUGUUAAAGCUCAUAAAAACAACAAUCAAAACAGAAAAAUUUCUGUUGUUUGAGAGAGAGAAAAGAUUAAAAAAAAAAAAAAACAGAGCAGCACUUCAUACGUCUUGUGCUUAAAGAAAAAAACUGUCGAGUACAACCACUAAAUACAAAGCACAAACUGCUCACGUACGUGUAACACAUAACUUCACACAAACAUGCUAUUAACUUCCUAGAAAAUAGCAAAAACACUAAAUGCAUAACUAAAUGAACUUGGCUGUUUUUUAAUUAAAAAAACAGAGUAAAACAGAGGAAAACAUCACAGAAAACAGCAGCUGAACAAUUCCAACAUACGCUACACACGCCUCACACGCCUCACACUCCUCACCACUACACACUUUUCUACACAAUCACCCUACCACUCACACUACACGCACAAGACACACUUCCUCUUAUUUAUAGGCUGCAAAGUCAGUGGAGUCCUCAAGCUCUCAACUUGCCGACUUCAAGUAGUCAACAAUUUUGGCUACUUGUCCAGCAAGAUUUUGACCAAAGAAACAAAGAUGUGGUCGAGAAAAACCUGGAGAGAGAGAGAGAAAGAGAGAAACCUGGAGGAGAGAGAGAGAGAGAGAUAGGCGGUGCUUUUUCUAACGCAACACGAUGAAAGUUUCAACUUUCCUAGUCUCCAUGCUCUGCGUUUGUUGUAGAUGUAAAAUUUCGAUGGUGAUAUAUCUGACUCCCUCCGAGCUUUAUAGCCCUAACUGCCCUCACUUUUCUCUGCGUAACGGAAAAAACGAAACGUUAACCAAUGGCAUAUUAACACUUUCUUCUUCGCUUUUUGUUCCACGGAGGAACAAGUUUAUUCACUUGAAUGACACAACACAACCUCUACAACAGUUCAUCCUGACUCUUGGUAAGACAAUGCAGAAUUUCGCAUAGCCCGUGAAAAGUUAGGAACGUCAAGGGAUGCUGCGGUUUAUGUUCAUGUUUACCAACAACGAACUUUUCGGAGAGGUCUUUGAAGUUGUCCUUGGUGUAAUCAAUGGCCAGAUCAGCGCCCAACCUCUUGAGUAGAUCCAGGUUCCCAGUACCAGAUGUAGCUGCCACUCUUGAUAAACCAAAAACUUCCUUAGCUAGCUGUGCAAUUGGACCAACCGAGAAAAAAUAAAAAUAUGAAGCACCACAAAAAAAAAUGUCAGAAGUAGAGUUCUUAUGUCGAGUGGAUCCCACGUGAAGCCGAUGCAAUUCGAGAGACAUGAUUAGCGAGAAAAUGGUACCUGAAUUGAGAGUGUGCCGACACCACCAGCACCACCCAAAACAAGGAGGGACUUGCCGAGAGAGAGGCCGGCUCUUUCAAGGCCCCCAUAGGCAGUCUGAAGGACCAACGGCAAAGAAGCUGCCUCCUUGAAAAUCAGCUUCUUGGGCUUCAAAGCCAAGAAUUACUCAUCCACGGCCGUGUCCCGUAUUUCUUGGCAUGCCGCGUAAAUCCAUAUACCUCGUCCCCAACCUUGAGCUCCUUCACUUCGCGACCCACCUUCACCACAAUGCCGGCGAGAUUUUAGCCCAGCUCGGCCUAAUGCAAAAUGGUGGGGCAUAAUGUUAAUAAUACAUGUUAUAAGGGGGAAAAAGCGACGAUACAGUCCAUCUAAAAUAUUUUUUAAAAUUACCGGUAAUGGAAAUCCCGGGGCUGGUAAACCUUAAUCACUCUCAUGGUGUCUACUGGAUUGUGCGCCGCAGCAACGACCUUCACCAGCACCUGGCCUUCUUGCACUUCAGGGACCUCGAACUCCGGGUCCACUCUCAACACUGGUGACGUCUCCAUGCUCACGAUACACCCAAGCUUUCGUUGUAGUUGGAAUGGCCAAUUUCGUGGCCAUGGAGAAGAAUGGAUGAAUUAGUAGAAGGAAAUUCUCCUUCUUUCUUUCUUUUUUUCUGGGAUCUCUCGGUCCAUCUAUCUCAAGCUCAAAGAGUGGGAUGACUUCGUUUGCUUUUAUAGAGUGCAAUGGUCAUAAGCUCCAAGGGGAGUCUAAUGACAGAUACGAUGAUUUCAUAUCGGACAUGCUUUCAACAAAUCUAUUGUAUUUUGAAUUAGCAUAAAUACAAUAGAUUUAGAACCCUUUUUAUAAUUUCCCCGUUAAAAGCAUGUUGGUCCUAGAUAAACCUUUAGCUUCAAUGGAGACAAUUCCUGCCAAGUGAUAGGACUGUAUGACAGCCUCAAAUUUNNNNNNNNNNNNNNNNNNNNNNNNNNNNNNNNNNNNNNNNNNNNNNNNNNNNNNNNNNNNNNNNNNNNNNNNNNNNNNNNNNNNNNNNNNNNNNNNNNNNNNNNNNNNNNNNNNNNNNNNNNNNNNNNNNNNNNNNNNNNNNNNNNNNNNNNNNNNNNNNNNNNNNNNNNNNNNNNNNNNNNNNNNNNNNNNNNNNNNNNNNNNNNNNNNNNNNNNNNNNNNNNNNNNNNNNNNNNNNNNNNNNNNNNNNNNNNNNNNNNNNNNNNNNNNNNNNNNNNNNNNNNNNNNNNNNNNNNNNNNNNNNNNNNNNNNNNGCCACUAUGCCUAAGCCAUGGGCGGUAUCUUCCAAUGAAAUGUUGCCCCGAUAUGAUGGGUAACCUUAAUCUCUUCAUCCAAACACUGUCCACCGGGGAAGCCGCACCUCUUCUAAAUUUUCUAAUCUCGAACCAACCCAAGUCCUGAUCUCAUACGCCAAUUAUCAGGCCCUAUUCUCCUAUUCCUUCCACCCUAGAAAAAAAAGGAAAUCUGCGGCCACCCAUUUCACUUGAAAACAUCAGUCCCAGAAGUUACGGUAAUCAACAAAAAGUGUUGCAGAUUCUCCCCCCCUCUUACUGUCACCACCGCCAGCCUAUAAACCAAUUUUCUCCAAUAGUUACACCGGCAUGUGCUGCCGUUGACGCAGGUAUAUCACCUUGCUGGGUGGAAUUCACCAUUCCAUCUAGUAAGACCCCGGAGAAAACAUUAGAAGAUAUGUUCAAGCAGGAAGCAAGAUGCGGUCUAGGCGGAAAAGAGGAAGCUGAAGAAGAACAAAUCAGAGGGAUAUAGAGAAGAAGGACAAGAAGCAUAAGGUGAAGAAGGAGGAGAAGAAGGAGAAGAAGGAGGAGAAGGAGGAGAAGGAGAAGGAGGAGAAGAAGAAGAAUAGGAGAAAAAAGAAAAAAUAAUUAUAAAAAUUAUUUAAAAAUUAAAAGAAAUUAAUUUGGAACAGAAUUAAUGAGCACGGUACCAAACACAAUUCUAUUCCAGAAUAAAAUAAUUUGGACAGUUAUCAAAUGGUUUAAAAUACUUAGAAUUAGUUCCCGAGAACAGAAUAAAAAAAAAUCAUUUCUAAUCAGAAUUUACUUCCAAAAACAGAAUCAUUACCAAACGUGCCAUAAUUAUCCUAUCGAAUCCCAUUUUAUACGUACUUAAAAGCCCUUUUAAUGUUCUACCAAAAAAAAAAAAAAACCCCACUUCACCAUACCAAAAUCAAGCCGAAAACCAAUUAAAUAUGGCCCUGAAGUUACUGAACGUGCACUGUUCAUUAUGCGCAAGAACUUUCAAAAAUUUGUUUUUGGCAAACUAUAAACUCAAAUCAAGUUUUGUAAAAUGUUACGGCUACAAAACACCAUAAACUAACAUUUCUAUACAUAUGCGUAGUUCAACGACUCAAUUGGACUUUGCGACUCAAAUUUCCCAAAAUUCUGAAUUUAAGCCUUCAUCUCGAAAACUAAUCUAAUUGAAAGAACCAGGGUGCGAGCACUUACCGGUUAUUGCACUACGUAGUCAAGUUGGCUUGGUGAAGUUUCAUUAACGUGUACAUGCAAAACCCCCUUUACUUUCUUCCUUCUCUUCUCCUUCUCCUCCUUUCCUUCUUUUCCUUUGUCUCUCUUUCUUUGCUGUCCCUUUUUCUCUAACUGCUUCGGCUCCUACAGAAGAGUAAGUGUGCACUGCUCACUUCUUUUUCCCUUUCAAUUUGACUUUUCAUCCCUCUUUCCCUUUUUCUUUUUUCUUUAAACAGAGUGGGCCCACCACUUCUUUGACUUUAAAAAAGUCCCAAUAUUACAGUUACUUACUGGGGGGCAAGUGUCGGUCGCUUUGAGGAACCAAAGUGCCCUGUUCAGGUCAACAGCGUGGAGUGCAGCAGCGAGGACUUUGAUCAGUACUUGGUCUGGUUUGGGCUCUCAAGAGCAUCAACUUCUGCGUCCACCUUCAGUGCACUUGUUGGAGUUGGGAUCAAUCACUGGCUUCACUUCCCCGCUCUCUGUGAAGGUAGGGCUUCAACUUCUCCCACUUUGCUCUGUAUAUAAGGAAGAAUCAAAACGUUAGCCGACGGAACAUCAACACCUUCUUCACACUUUGUUCAGCAAAUGAACAGGUUAUUCGCUUGAAUGACACAACACAACCUUCACAACAAUUCAUCCCAACCCUUGGUGAGAUAACGCGGAAUUUCGCAUAGCCUGUUGAAAGUUCGGAACAUCUAGGGAUGCCCCAAUUUAUGUUCGUACUUACUGAUAUCGAACUUUUCUGGAAGGUCUUUGAAGUUGUCCUUGGUGUACUCAAUGGCCAGAUUGGCACCCAGUCUCUUGUGCAGAUCCAGCUUCUCAGUGCUAGAUGUAGUUGCCACUCUUGACAGACGAAAAACUUCCUCGGCUAUUGCUGUGUCAUUGAAACAAUUGAAUUCUCAACACUUAAUGCAAGUUAUAAAAUAUGGGUUUUGACCCAGUCAAAAAUAAAAAGGAGAAAGAAGAAGGAGAGAGACCGAGAGUCUCUGGGAGAGAAGAAGAAAAAGAAGAGAGAGAGAGAAGGAAAGAAAAGAAAGAAAGAAAAAAAAAGGGGGGGGGGGAGGGGGGAGGAGGAGAUAAAAGGGAAAGAGAGAGAAAGGGAGCUCAGAGUGCUCACACUCAAAGAAAGGAAGAAGUAGAAGAAGAAAGAGGGUUUCAUGCGUUUUCAUUGUGGAGCCUUGCGAAGCUACCUCAACUAUGUAAUGCAAUGCCUGAUAAGCGCUCGUGCCACCUGUUCGUUCAAUCGGAGUAAUUUCGGACCUAGGGCUUGAAAUUCGGAAUUUUGGAAACAUCAAGUGGUGAAAUAUGAUUUUUUGAGUCAUUGAGCUACGUAUUUUUGUAGAAAUAAUAGAUGUUGUGGAACUGUAGGAUUUUACGGAUCAUGAUUUGAUCUUACGGUUUGCCCGAAACAAAAUUUUGAAGUUUAUCGCACAUGAUGAACAGUGCACGACUAGAACUUCAGGGCCAUAUUUUGUUGAUUUUUGGCUUGAUUUUGGGUUGGCUAAAUUGGGGUUCUUGUAGUAUGUUGGAUGGGCUUUCCAUCGACUAUAAGUACGCUUGAAAUGGAUUUCAAUAGAGAGAAUUAUAGCAUGAUGAAGUUUCAUGCUCAAGCUUCACUAUGGACGGCUUUGAGUAAUUGUUUUGGUUGAGCGAUUUAUUAGCGCAUAGGUGUCGUUUUAUUGAUGAAUAAGCAUAAUUAAGUCGAAUCAUUAGUUGGAGAGUAGCAUAUUACCUAGUUUUAAUAUCGUUUUUGAUUUACUAAUAGGAAUACGAGUGCGUUGGCUCAAGUAAUCACAUAAGUUGACUUUCGGCUUUACCAGGUGACUGGCACUAUCUCUUCUAAGAAUUUAUAAGUUCAUGUUUUUAAAAUGAUAAAUAUGAAUUAUGAAUAAGUAUAUUUGUUGCAAAAAAUUUAGAUCAAGCAUUUACUACAUUUUGGCAUUUAAGAAUAGCGCGAGAACUUUUUGGUGGAAAUACAUAUUUUGUUUGAUGAACAAAGUUGAAAAAUAUUUGCAUGUUUUGGGUUCGUGAUACUUUUUUUUACGAAGUUCUCGACUUUGAGAUGGUUUAUGGAAGGCUACAUAUAAGCUUUUUGAAAUGUAUUUGAUUUGAAAUUGAUUUAUGAGACGAGUCUUGAAAAUUAAUUGAGAAUGUUUUGUGAAAAGUAAUUUUGGCGAGUGAGUUGAGUUGCAAAAUCUUUUGGUGAUAUAUGAAAUGAUUUAUGAAUUUGGUUUGUGAAUUGUGGAUGGUAUUGUUUUGGUUUGAUAUUGAUACUCAAUAUCGCUACGAGCCCAACAAAGGGCUUGUGGGUAUGCGCAUACUAGUUUAGGAUUUUUUGUGAGUCGAGCCAUCGGCUAAUAAUAAGUGGAGAUUUUGUUAAGGGGGAAUAUUGAUCACCUCAUCACUAGGCCUUGAGCAACAAAUUGGUUAAUGGAGUAGACCAUUAAGAUGUGAUAUGAGUUUGGUCGAUAGAAUGAGUUAUUGACGUGUAAUUUGAGUUUAGUCGAUGGAAUAGACCAUCAACAUAUGAUUUGAGAUUAGUCGUUGGAAUAAACCAUCGACGUAUAAUUUCAUUAAAUCAUUGAUAUGUGGUAUGAGAUUAAUCAAUGGAAUAGACCAUUGGCGUGUGAAUUAAUGAGAUUAAUCAAUGGAAUAGACCAUUGGCGUGUGAAUUAAUGAGAUUAAUUAAUGGAUUAGACCAUUUAUUUUAUUUUAUUUUUGUAAAGGUAAGAAAUAGACCAUUGAUGUUUUUUUUCCUUUAUCUUGAUAUUAUUGUGAAAUGAUUAUUUUUGCUAUAAGUAUAGCUGUGUUGAAGCGUGUGUACUUAUUAUUUUACUAUAUUGUUAUAUUAUAGAUUUGAGUUAAAAGAAUUGUAGUUUGGUUUUGUAAAUAUGUAUAAUGGGUGCUCAAUCUGCUUGGAAAAAAUGCACUACUCAUUGAGUUGUGCUUACUCACCCCUCUAUUUUCUAAUCUUUUUCAAUUUCCUCGACUAACAAGAUAAGUGGGUACGAAAGCAAUAUGAAAGUGGGGAAUUUUAGGAGUUGGAUUUUGGGAGCUUUGAGACUGUGUCCUUUGAGUGGAAGGACGCCUAUGUCAUCCCCCAUUCAUGAUGGGUUUGGGGUGUGACACGAGUGAACAGGUGUUUUGGUCACCUUAUACGAGUAUUAAGUGGGAAUUCCUGCUUUUUAGCAAGAAUUAUGGAUGGAUUGCCAUCGUAGAUGACUUAAAUCUUCACUUGAGGAGAAAAUACUCCACAAUAUUACUAUCAUCAUAUGUGUUAAAUUAUGUGUCGAGUUUGAAUUCUUAUGGAAUCGAUCUAUAGGAUAAAUUUGGAUAAAUAUCCAAAGUGUGAUCACACAAAUUAAUUCAAGUUGUGAAUAUCUUAUGCAGUGGUUUAUGGAUAAUGGAGGAUUUGUUAUUUUGUUGAAGAUAAAGAUAAAUCUCAUGAUUUAGUCAACAAGAUUUAUUUCUUCUUUAUCCAAGUGUGACCAAGAAGCGGACGUCUCUCUCUAUUUGUGAAUAUAAAAGUUAGAUAAGAAACACAAAUAGGAGAGAGUUAUCGCGACCAAAUUUUCGGGUGUGAACCAUCUAGGGUUUAGCUAAUGGAUUGUUAAGCCUAAACUUAAUUCGGGCUCUCCCAAUGCCAUACUAAUUUGCGACUUAAGUUUAAAUUUCUUAACAUGUAAAUUGAUUUUAUUUAAGAGUCGUCACUAAUCAGUUUAUGGUAGGUCGAUUAAACACCUAAGUAAAAUAGUGAGAUGAUUAUUUUAUUCCUACGAACUAGAGAUUUUGGUACGGGGACUUGAUUACAUUUGACUUCUCUAAUGCCCUUUCGGCACCAUUUCUUUUUAUUUUCAAAAAAAAUUUCCAGGCAGUUUGGAUUGAUUUUAAAUCUAUUUCCCUAACAUGUGAGUUGAUCAUGCGGAUACACAAACCACAAAUUUAAUACCCAAUAAAGCAAUGAAUAAAAAACAUGACUUACCUCAUAGCAACGAAAGUAUCUAUAAUGUUAAAUCAGAAUUCACAUGGACAGUCCUAGAUAUGAUUUCUAAUUAACAUGCAAUUUUUUUUUUUCGUUUUCACUUAAUUAAUGAGAAUAUAAUCCAUAUGCAAUGCAAUACUUCUAUUCUAACAUGAAAUGAUAUAACAUAGCAAUAUAAUCUAAAUUAUAUGACAUGAGUAAAAAAGUGCAAUAAUUAAAUAUGCAAUCUAAAUUAAUCUAAUGACUUAACUCUAUGACGAGUAAUUUCUAAUUAAAUUGACCUAACAACAGUCAUACAAGCAUUUUCAUGAACCUAAUUCUAUAUGAUGUGCACAUGAUUUUUUAUUUUCUUAAUAAGCAUGCAAUCUAUCCUAAUAUGCAAUGAUAUGCCCUAAUUCUAAUUUUUUUUAUGUUUUUUUAAUAAAAUUCGAAAUUAAAAAUGGCAAAUAAUUAAACGUGCAAUUUAAACCUUAAAAAAAGCUAACAUCCUAAAUAAAUGCAUUUUUUUAACAAAUUCGAAAUAAAAUCCCUAUUCUAAAUAUGCAAGAUAACAAGAGAUAUUCUAAAACCAACAUAAUCCUAAUUCAAAUAUUUUUUGGAUUUUUCCUUUUACAAAAAUAAAAUUGACUCAACCAACACCAUAGCAAAUCAGAUAAGAUAGGAUUGAUAUCCAUAAAUUGGUGAACCAUAUUUCGCUUAUAAGAUCGGAUUGGCCAAUUUUUAAAUCAAAUCCCGGAUUGAUGAUUUUUGUAAGCGAUUACGAAUCAGAUUUCGGACGCGAAAAUCGGACUGUCAAUCCCUAAUUUGAGAGGCUAUUCAUGUCAGAAUCCCAACCAUACAUUUGGGAAUAAUUCUACUAAAAAAAAGUAAAUAAAUAAAAUAACAUAAAAAAUAGAAUAAAGUAAAUAAAAAAUACUACCUAAUUGGUUUUCCUUUUUUUGUUUUGCUUUCCAACCAAGGGUGGUGCUCGUGGUGGCUGGUCAUCGUUGGUCCAGCAAGGGCGUCGCGAUCGGAGCUCUGGCGAAGGUCCGGCGAGGGGUAGCAGUGUGUGGCAAGGGAGUAGCAACCGGCGUUUGAGCACCAGCGAAGGGGGCGUCGCGAGCGUUGCUGGCGACGAGCAAACCACCAGAUCUGCAGCAAAGACUGGUGGAGACGGCUCGGUGGAAGGUUGCUGUGUCAAAGGGGUGUAGAUGAACGGGCUGAGAGACAGCAGAGGCGGCGUCGCGACUGGGGGCAAAGACACGGCGAAGUCGGUCUGCUGCUGGUCGGUGGCGGCACGGUGAAGGGCUCGGAUCUGCUGGCGUAGGGGUACCACUGCACAACGGUGGCUUCGUCGGGUCGUGGAGUAGCGGUGCGAGGGCUAGCUGAAGAGGCUCGAGUCCUGUUCUGGAGGAGGCUCAGCGAAGCAGAGGUGCGAUCGACCGGAGGGUGGAGCCGCAACAGCUUGGGUCGUAGUGUCGAAUCGGAACGCUCGAGCAGCAGGGGACCGGCGUUCAAAUUGGGCCGCGAGCGGCGAACGAGAAAAGCCGGGGUCGCACCGGUCGUCGCAGGGGGAUGGAGCAAAAGCAGAGCCGGCGCGAGAUCGUCGCAAUCGAAUCAACAGGGCAGCAAUGGUGCGCGGUGGGGCUGCAUGUCGCGGCGCGAUCGGCGAAACGGCAGUGAUUGGCGGCUCGGCUACCUGGGGUUGAGUCUGCAAACUGUAGAUGCUGACACGCAACCCCACCGGCGAAACGGUAGUGACUGGCGGCUUGACUACCUGGGGCUGAGCCUGCAAACUGCGGACGCUGACACGUAGCCCUAUCGGCGAAAUGGCAGUGACUGGCGGCUCGGCUACCUGGGGCUAAGCCUGCAAACUGCGGACGCGAGCAAGAGCGACUCCGGCGUCGGGCUUCACAGACAGCGACCGGCGAGGCAGAGCUUCGAGCGACUGGUGGAACGGUGGCGGUGGCGCAAGUGCGGUGUGCAGGAGCAGCAGCGGCAGCUCAGCGGCACAGAGGAGGUGGGCUGAAGGGGCACCGGACGGAAACUCACGAGGAAGAUGAACAGUUGUUCAUCUUUUUUUUUUUUCCCUGCUCUCACCUUUGACGUCUCCCUCCGCUAUACUUUCAGCUUCUGCCUUCUCACUAGGGGUGUCAAUGGUUUAGUUCGGUUCGAUUUUUUUGAAAAAGCAAACCGAACCGAACCAAACCGAAUACGAACCGAACCAAAAUUUCAGUUCGGUUCGGUUUUUCAGUUUUCAACUUUUGGUCUUCAAUUUUUGGUUUUCGGGGUUUUUUUUUUGUAAACUCAAAAUAUUGAGAACUUGCCUCAACAUUUCACACCACCAACUUUUUCUUAGAUUCAACCAGAGUCCAGCUCAACAUAGAAACCUCGAUUUUUAAUUUGAAGAGAGAAGACCUUCAUGCUUUUCUUCUCCAUCAUAAUCAUAGAAGAGGAAAAAGGCAUGUCGAUCGACAUCUUUCCGGAGCAUGAUAUCAGAGCAUAAGAAAGCAAAAGGUGUUCAAAAGGGGAACACCCAAAAAAGUUCAACGAGGGGAAAGUGAAAAGAGCAUGUGGGAUAAAUAGCUUCACUUGGGUAUUUCAACCAACUACGAAGAUAAAAAGAAUUAUCUCGAUGCAGAAACCACAAGACCCAUCGUUGAAUUCCUGCUAAGAAGACAGGGGACCAAACCAAACGAGUAAGGAAGCUCUCCGCCAUAAAGAACAACAAGACCCUUCUCGGGAAUUUCAUCAAGCACCUGGUGUGCAGCAUGCGGUGAUCAAUUUCCAGUUGAUUUGGCGCUCCACUAUCGCCAAAGUGUAGCUGCACAAACAUCAUGGAUAUAUUCAGAGAAAACUCAAUGUCUCUGGUUCUUUGUUUAACAGAGUAAACAAAUAUGAUUGUCCUUGAAAUCACUAAAGACUAGCAUGACCAAAAAAACAUAUUCUUGAAUCAUGACCUACUCCGCAAUAUCUAGAACUUAAAGCUCAUUUAUGGCUCUUUCCACUAGGGGAAAAACAAUCACAACAUUAAAAGCUGCUAUAUAGAUCAUCUAGUAUCUCAAUCAACUAUUUUAGCUGAGAUGAAAGAAUCAAGGCAACCUUUCGACGGCCGUAAUAAAUAAAACACACAAAACCCAACAGAAGUUUCGCUCAGCAACUCAAUUUACUAACACCAUAAACUACCUGAAAUCAAUAACGGGAAAAACCAACCCUUUUCACUUCCCACACUGGAAUCAACCAAGCAAGAGAUCACCAACACCAGAUGAAAACACAAGCAUAGCCAGCAUACUCAAAUCCCAUAAUUCCAAAAUCAACUCCUCGCCCAGGGGACCAAAAAGCAAUUUUUACAAAACGAAAGUAGAGCCAGUUCAUCCAAUCAGUCCAGUUGAAUGUCAAGCCAAACUCCACCCACAAAAUUCAUCAAUCUAACGACCCUCUGACACACCUGAUCCGCACAAAUUGCAUGCGAGAAUCACCAUCAACCAAGAUUCGAGAGAAAGAGAGAGAGGGGGGUCGCGCUACGGUUUCUCAAGGUAGCAGAAGACGAGGAUGAGGAGGUUUUUGUCUCCUGGGGUGUAUAAGGCUAAAACGACGAGAAAUUUACUUCGGACCGUGGUUCUUUGUCUGGUCUUAGCCAAACAGCGUGUAAAGUGAUGAAGGAGAGACUUUGGCCACCCCCCAGUCCAGAGUAGAGCGCGCGCCGUCGCAGAAGGAAGAGGGGCUCUGUCCCUCAAUCGAUUGUUGUUGUCGUUGCAGUCGUCGUCCCUGCAAUUGUCGCCAUUGCUGUCCCUGCCGCUAUCGCCGUCGCAGUCGCCGUCACUGCUGGCAUCGCCGUUGCACCUCCAAGCCGACCAAGAGGAGACACGAGACGAGAGGAGAGGGCUAGAGUCGGGAGAGAAUAAAACCUAGAGUCGGGACGGGAGAGAAUAAACCGAACCGAUAAAAGAGAUUUUAUUGGUUCAUGGUUCGGUUCGGUUCGGUUAACCGAUAAAAGAGAUUUCGGUUUUUAAUGAGAACCGAACCAAAUCGAAAAAACCAAUUUUUUCGGUUCGGUUCCUGACACCCCUACUUCUCACGUCCCUUCUCUCUACUUUUUUAUUUUUUUUGAAUUUUGUGUUCUUUUUCUUCAACGAAGAGAAGCCCCCGUUCCAUUGAACUCCGUACACUCCUUUUAUAGGCAAAACAAACGUAACCUUUUUGAAAAUUUCUUCUCGGAAAGAUUACCUAUAACCUCCCGGUCACAAAAAUCAUUUUUAAUUUUCUCAUAUCCUGACUAUUCUCUUUUGAUUUUAUCGCUUAAAAAUAAGAUUGCAACCCGAUUUUCUUAAAUUCCAAAAAUUCACCUUAAUAUCAUUUCAAAUCUCCAUUUAGGUAAUUUUUGUUAUUAAAAGGAAAUGGAUUUGGGUCAAUUUGCUUGUUUCAUGGGCUUAGUCCGGCCUACCAAGUUAAUGCUCAAAGCCAUUAAUUUGAACCUAUCCACCACAGAUCCAAUAAAAUGCAAAAAAUGUAAAUUAAAAAUAAAUGCACCUAAAUCUAUAUGCAAUUAAUAUUUUUUUAGGGAUAAAAUUGACCUAUAAUUUUAUAUACAAUAAAUAAAUGACAAAAUCACCAAAAUUUAAGUGUCAACAAAAGCUCUUCUGAAGCCGCAUGUCCAAAAGAAGUGUCAAGCCACAUGAAACUGUGAACAAGAAUGCAGCAAAAGAUGAAAAAGAUGAACGCUGGAGUUCUAUGUGCAGAAAAUACUCGAGUGUGUGAACAAUUGUAAAUUAUGAUUAUCUUAUUAUGGUGGAUUAUUUGCCGCUAGCUCUAUCUGUGAAUGUAAGUACCGAUACUCAAAUCAAAUCACGUAAAUCUCUGGUGUCAUUAUUAUUCCUUAUUUAUUUCUUCGGUGAUUUCGCAUUGAUGUAAAUUGCAAGAUACUCUCGUUUUCGCAUAUUAUAUUUUAACAAUAUGUCUGUCUUUUUUAUCAAAAUAUUUCCAAAAGGGAAGAAAAAGGCUGAUACUGUUCACGGAAUGCUCUCCACCGGGCGAUUUCCUCACUGUUCCUGCGCAUCCGUUUGUUGGUGGCUCCGCGAGAGUUGAUCGUCGUUUUGGCCCGAUCUUCCGCGCCAAGAAGCACCUUUCUCAGCUCUCCAAACCCUGCUGUAUUGUAGCCUGGUACGUCUUCUUUCCGGGGAAUUCUUGCUGUGCGAUGGAUUAGGGUUUCUCUGGUUCUGUCAUUCAGGUCUGCUGUUAUGGAGUCAGUGGUUGUUCGGGGUCAUUCAGGUGAUGAAGGGCCGAGUAAACGAACGUAUUCCCAUCCUAUUAUAGCUGGUCCCUCGGCUAUUGUUAAUCUACGCAAUGAUCAGUCUCGUAAUCCCCUGAUCCCUUCGUCUGGAGCUGCGGGUUCGCGACAGCAGUCGGGCCCUGUGCGAAGUCGCGAUAUCAGUAGGGGCCGGUCUAGAUCAAAGCGGAAUGCCUCUAGGGGUGUCUCGAUUAAGCCUCCAGUCCACACCUGGGUAGCUGUUGCGAGCGGUGCCACCAGGGGCUAUGAUCUGGAACAUACUCCUAAGCAUUAUGACAUUAACCCUGUUAUUCAGAUGGACGAAUCUGACCUAGAGGCUGCCGAUCCUAAACUUUAUGAUUGCUUGGUGGGGUAUUUCAUAGGAAAGAAACUUCCGUUCAAGGUUGUUGAUGAGUCGCUCAAGAGAGCGUGGGGGGCUGCAUUGCUGGACGUGAUGUCUAAUGGCAGGGGAUUGUUCUUGCUGCGGAUUGCUGACCCAGAAUUUAGGAGGAAAAUCCUAGAGGGAGGGAAUGUUACGGUGGCCAGAAUUCCCCUAAUGCUACAGCAAUGGAAGCCAGGGAUUGAGUUGAACAAAGAGUCCCUCCAAUCGGUGCCGAUCUAGGUAAGGUUGAGAAAUCUUCCAUGCUCCUUCUGGUCAGCUCACUCUAUUGGCAAGGUAGCCAGUGCUCUCGGGAAGCCGCUCUAUGUGGACCAGAGGACUGAGCAGAUGGCCAUGCUUACCUUUGCUCGUGUAUGUGUUGAAAUCACAGUGCAGCAACCUAUCCAUGACUUUCUUCAAUUGGAACUUAUGGGAAAACUGGUUGUGGUGGAUGUUGAAUACGAAUGGAAGCCUCUUGCUUGCAGGAAGUGUGGAAUCUUCGGACACAAUUACAGUGACGCUAUUAAGGUAUCAGAACCAUCCCUGCCAACUGACCGGAAUGUCGAGGCCGAAGUUCCGCCUAGAGCAGAGGCUCCCUUAUUGGAAAAAGGCAAAGGGGUGGCUAUUCAGCCUACCUUAGGGAGGGAGGACACGAAUGAAGCGCCCCUCGAUCUGCAUAAUUGCAUCAGAUCUGAGCAGGUAGGGGAGCCGAGCUCCCCAAAAAGGAACACGGGGAUCCUCCAUGAAUCCUCUAUGCCCAGUCCGGCUAAUCUUCCCAUUGCUGAAUCUGAAUCUGUAUCAGGAGAUCUGGAAUGGAAACAGGUGAAGCGCACAAAUAAAAGGAAUAAAAGGAAAGCAGCAAAGCAAGCUGCUAUUGCUGCUGCUGCUGCGGCUGCAGCUGCUUCCUCUGGCCUAUCUCCUCCUACCAAUGAAGGUCAUGUGUUGAAACGCAGGGAUGUUCAGCAAAAGGAGCAGUUUGAAUCUCCCCAACCUUCGUGUGAAGGAAAUCCUAUUCCUCUGCCCUUAUCAGAAAGUUCGGAGGAUAUCUCGAACUCUAAUAUCCGCAAUGCCCCCAGUGAUGAUGAAGUUCAGUCUGCAAAUAAUUCUACCAUGAAAGGGAAGCCUCCCGCAAAGGUUCCUAACCUCCAAGAUCAGGUUCUGCGUCUCCUUCCUGACCCCCCUCCUGAUGUAGUCCCGAAAGCAUCGGCUAUGGGGAAGAGGACCUCCAGGAAGAGGUAAUCCCGGUCUAUUUUGGUUUUUUGGAUGAUUAUCGAUUUUUGGAAUAUUCGAGGCAUUUUGGAUCCCCUUAGGCGGGCUGAAGUCAGGCGGUUUGCUAUUAGUAAUAAUUUGUGUUUCAUUGGCCUCGUUGAAACUAAGGUGCUUGAGGACCGUUUUGAAUCUAUCUCUUCCACCCUUAUUAGGGGUUGGAAUUGGCUCUCGAACUAUGAGUUCUUGCCGCGCGGCAGGAUUUGGGUUGGAUGGAACCCAAACUUCGUCUCCUACUCUGCUAUUUCAAUCAGUGAUCAGGUGUUGCAUGGCAUGCUUAAGUUUAACAGUUCUGGCAUAUCUUGCUAUGUGUCUGCUGUAUACGGGGAGCACUCUUUCUCCCGUCGGCGGCCUCUAUGGGAAGACCUGUGUCAUUAUAGUGAUACCUUCCGUCAUUCUCCCUGGUUGGUGGCUGGCGACUUCAACACAAUCAAGGAACCUUCGGAUCGCAUUGGUGGUUCCACAAACUGGAUUCCCUAUUUCGACGAAUUUCCCCAAUGCUUGUCCCGAGUGGAGUUGGUGGACCUCAGGUAUGUUGGUUGCCGCUUCACUUGGUCCACUUCAUCUAAUGAGGCGAGCAAAAUGAGGAAAAUUGAUUGUAUUCUAGUCAAUGGUGAAUGGAGUCUUCACUUCUCUUAUUCUGAGGCUAACUUCCUAAAUCCUGGAAUAUCGGAUCAUAGUCCUAUGACCGUUAGAGUGUUGCAGCCCUCCAAUAGGAGAAAGUCGUUUAAAUUCUUCGAAUUCUGGACUCAUCAUCCAAAUUUUAAGGCCACCGUCCAGCAGGCUUGGAGUACUCCUAUUGUAGGUGUUCCUAUGUUUCAAUUGGUCUCGAAACUCAAAAGGGCGAAGUCUCUCCUUAAAUCUCUCAACCGGGACGCCUUCUCUGACAUUUUGAUCAAGGUUGCGGAGGCUAGAAAAGCUCUGGCAACUGCCCAGAUUCAGCUCCAAGCGUAUCCGGCUAGCUCUACUCUUACUCAAGAAGAAAGGGAGUGUCGCCGUGUAUUUGUUGAGUUGAGAUCCCAUGAGGAAUCGUUCUAUAGGCAGAAGUCUAGAGUUAAAUGGCUAAAAGAGGGUGAUAGGAACACCAAGUUCUUUCAUCAAUCUAUGAAGAGAAGACACCUAUUAAACCGAAUCCUUUCGGUUAAAGAUCCUUCUGGAAGUGUCACUACUGAUCCGCUCUUGGUUCCCCAGGUGUUUGUCGAUUAUUUUUCUGACCUUUUAUCCCCGAAGGAAGGUCUCGUUAGGCCAUCCCUUGAGGAGGUGCGACGUUAUGUCCGCAAGCCUUUGUCUCAAGACCAAGCUGGCGUGCUUGGUCUUCCGGUUUCCGACUCUGAAAUCAAGAACACGUUAUUUUCGCUGGCAAAAGGUAAGGCCCCCGGGCCUGAUGGCUUCCCUGUUGAAUUUUAUAAAUCUUGCUGGGAUUCCGUUGGUUCUUCUGUGCUUGAAUCAGUGCAUGACUUCUUUCAAAAUGGUCGGCUUCUAAAAGAGGUAAAUGCCACCAUUUUGGCGCUUGUUCCGAAGGUCUCCAAUGCUAAUGCAGUAACGGAUUACAGACCAAUUGCAUGCUGUAACACGAUUUAUAAGGUGAUCACUAAGAUUCUAGCCAAUAGAAUUGUUGGGGCUUUAGGGGACUUGAUUAAUCAUUCCCAGAACGCCUUUGUUAAGGGCAGGAGAAUGAGAGAUAACAUUCUCUUGGCUCAGGAAUUGUUUGCAGGAUUCCACCUCUCUCCCUACCUGCCUAAGUGCGCAAUCAAGGUGGAUUUUCAUAAGGCCUACGACACCGUUGACUGGGAGUUUUUAGAGCUUGUUUUGCAGGCUUUUCAGUUCCCCCCCCCCCAUUUUAUAAAGCUUAUCAUGGCUUGUGUGCAAUCUCCGAGUUUCUCUAUAUCUAUCAAUGGGGAUCUUCAUGGUUUCUUUCCGGGGGGUAGAGGCCUAAGGCAAGGAGAUCCGAUGUCCCCAUACCUCUUCACCUUGGUGAUGGAAGUAUUCUCCGAUAUAUUGAUGUCUCGCACCUCCAAUCCGGACUUCAAAUUCUUUUGGAGGUGCAAGCCAAUUCAGCUUUCCCAUUUGUUUUUUGCUGAUGACGUGUUCUUGUUCUACCAAGCGAACUGGCGUUCGGUAGUUAUGCUGAAAAAAGGGCUUGAUUUGUUCUCCGCUUGGAGCGGCUUACUCCCUAACAAGCACAAGAGUGAAACCUUCUUGGCCGGUGGCGACUCUUCUAUGAGGAACAAAAUCCUUUGGGCGUUUGGUUUCCAGGAGGGGAAAUUACCAGUCUGUUACCUUGGUGUUCCCAUCAUUUCUUCCAGAUUGAAUAGAGCGGACUGCAUUACACUGACGGAUCGCAUUACUGCCAGAAUCCAAUCUUGGACGCAUAGAUUUUUAUCUUUCACAAGUAGAUUGCAGCUCAUAAGAUCUGUCCUUCACUCCAUCCAAGCCUUUUGGACAAGUGUCUUCACUCUUCCAUCUUCAGUCCUGGAGGAUGUUGAGCGGAUAAUGAGACAAUUCCUGUGGAAAGGAACAUCUCUUGGUCGAGGAGGCGCCAAGGUGGCUUGGGAAGAUGUUUGUUGCCCGAAAGCUGAAGAGGGCCUAGGCAUCCGGAAUAUUAAGCAGGGUAAUAGGGCUUCCAUGGUCAAAUACAUAUGGAUUCUGUUUUCUGAUAAACAAUCCUUAUGGUGCCGUUGGAUUCAUUCCAUUUUUCUGAAGAAGAAGAAUUUCUGGAUUGCCAACAGGCCAAGGACUUGCUCCUAGAUGUGGAAGAAGUUCUUGCAACUCAGACCCUACUUCCGCUCAUCAUUCAGGUGGAUCGUUGGCAAUGGGUAUUCUAUCUCACUAUGGCAUGACUAUUGGUUACCGUGUGGCCCUCUGGAUGGUUUUGUUCCCUCAUCGUUUAGGGAUUCUAUAGGCCUUCCGGACUUUGCAGUAGUUGUUGAUCUUUAUACUCCGAUUGGUGCAGCACUUAGAUCUCUUCUGGAUAGUUGGUCAAUUGCUUUGCCGUUAUUAUCAUCUGUGCAGGACAAAUUCAUUUGGAGCUGUGACUCCUCAAGUGUAUACUUGGUUGCCUCGGCUUGGGAAUCCAUCAGAACUAAGAGGAAUCCGGUCCAAUGGGCCUCCCUAGUUUGGGAUAAUGCCCUUGCGCCUCGUUAUCAAUUUAUUUUGUGGCUUAUAACUAAAGGCCGCCUCCCCACUCAGUCGAUGCUCCUAUCUAAUGGCAGAAUUGAUUAUUGUGUUUGCGCCUUUUGUAAUGAAGACCCGGACUCUGUUGAUCAUCUCUUCUUUGGGUGUCGCACCUUGGCUUCUCUGGCCUUCUUUUGGGCCGCCAGGUGCAACAUCCCCUGGAAGAACAGAACCUGGAAGGAGCUGCUUACCUGGGCUACGAAGUUUUUUAUUGGUAAGGACUUCUAUCACAGGAUGGUUCGGUUCUCCUUUGGGGCCUUAUGUCAUCUGAUCUGGAAGAUGAGGAAUGCUGCCAUCUUCCGGGGUGAGGCGAUAGCUAUCCCUGCCCUUAAAAAUCAUCUUAUUAAGGCGGUCAGGGACAAAGCUAUCUCCUUCUCCAAGGUCCCGCCUUCUCCAAGGAAUCAAAGGCUCCAAAGAUGUUGGGGAUCCGAUCCGGUGGUAUUCUCUACUCACUAAUCGUCCAGCCACUCACUUUGCCUUUCGUUCUCCGUUCUUUGCCUUCUUGCUGAUUUCGGAGGGUCGCCGUUGCUGUAUGGUGUCCCGCCAGUUUGCUGGUUGUUUGUUUUCUUGUUUCUUCUUGUUCUCUUUUACAUCGGAUCCCCUUCACUCUUCGUUUUAGAGUGUAGGUUUGGUUUCAAUCUUUUGUAUUGGCCUUUCUCUUUCUAUAUAAUUACCUUUUACCAAAAAAACAAAAAUAUGUCUGUCUUUCUUUAAAUCAAGAACCUUGUCAACCAUUCCCUUAUGAUCAUUCAUGGAUAAAAAAUAGUAAAGGCCCACAUAUAACAUGAUUAAAUGUUAAUUACUUGAAUAAUAAUUGUACCAGCACAUAACAAGGAGGGACUCGCUUGGACAAGCCUCCACGAGUAAUUUUCAUAGCUCAAGCUAUGUAGCAUCGACACUUUUCAGGAGCCUCCAUAUCGUAUUCGACACUCCGACAUGUGUCCAACACAAGGUCAACGAGUGUCAGAAAAUCGAACACGUGGUCAAAUCUUCUUGACACGCGAGUUCGGAAUUUUGACACGCCAUUCCAACAUGUACAGGGUCAAUUUUAAAAAUGUUCAAAACUUAAUGGGUUAAAAUAUAAAUAUAUGAAAGAAAAGAAAAAAAAAAAAGGAUAGAGAUUAUGACUGGGCACCGCUGCCAUUGCAACCGUUGGAGGGGGCCAAUGACCUCACCGGCCCCAAGUAGCGAAGUGGGGGAGGUGCUUGCCGGCCCGUGCGAGACCAUCGUCAGCCAAGCAAGGGCCAGCGAGGCUCACCCAGAUCUAGGCAACGUCGUGCCCUUGCUCGAGCCUAGUGAGAGUUGCUAGCCCUCACCUAGGGCUAGCAAGGCCUCCCCUAGAGCUGGGAAGGCUCGCCAACCAUAGGCGGGCUAGCAUCGCCCAAAUCUUGGGCAAGCCUCACCUGAGCCUUGCUUGGGCAGGUGAGGGCCACCCACCUUUCGUUGCCCAGGGUCAAUGCCCUCACCAACCCCAUACGACCGUAUCUGCAACAAUUGCGUGCUUAGUCACUCACAAGUCACAAGACUCAUGACCUUACCUUCUUCUUUUUUCUAGUUUUUUUAAGAAUUAUUUUAGCUUUUAAAAAAAAUUACAAUUCUUUAAAUAAGAUUUAAAGAAAAAAAAAGUAACAAAAAAUUGCCACGUAGGAUAAAAAAAUUAAUUGAAAAAUACUAAAUCAGCAUUUUGCAUUAAAUAAAUUAACUAUAGUAACGGAAGGACUCAAUUACACCAAUUUGAUGAACUUUAGAAUUUAAUUGCACUUUUAUAAUAAAUUUUAAGACUUAUAGUGCAUAUAUCCAUAAAUUUAAUAGUAAAAUGUGGAUUGCUCGUUCUUUUCUUCAAGUUUUAUGGAUUAUUGCAAUAGAAUGUAAUUGAAUUUGUCAAAUUAAAAUAAUGAAUGAUAUUAACAAAUAUUAGAUUAAUGUUUUUAGUGUAAAUUAAUUCUAGACUCUUUUUAUUAUUUAUUUAUUUAUAUAUAAAAAUAAUUCAUAUAUAAAUUGUUAGAACAUGUUUGAAUUCUCUAUAUUUUGAGGAAUAACAUGUCGAUGUAUCGUGUCGUGUUACAUCAUAUAUUGUGUAUUUGUGUUGGUACUACAUAGGCUGCAAGCAAAGAAACUGCUUCACCAAAGCUCUGCUCCUUGGGCUUCAGGGCCAACACUCUUCUAAAUGCAGAGUGUGAUAAUGGGAGUGGGCCAUGAUGCAAUCCAGUCCGGCCAUGAUGACGUGCGCCAUGAAACUCCACCUUUCAACUUCUUCACUCGAUCGCUGACGUACGCCACGAUGCCGGCCACUUUGUACCCCGGCACGGUCUAGAUAUGAGGCUCAAGUAAUGGGAGUCGCAGGAACCCUGGUAUCGAGGGGCGCUUGUUCUAAAUGCAGGGUGUGAUAAUUAAAGUCCUAGAACAUUACAUUUAACAUGGCCAAUAACUAGCUGUCGCCAUUAUAAUCGUUCCGAAUCUAAUGGGAAUCAUCGUCAUCGUAAUCAUUUUUCUUUGCCAAUUGGCCAGCAUAAUUGUAAGGGUAGUCAGAUGUAUCACCAUCGAAAUUCACUUUUGACAACAAACGCACAAUAUGGAGUCCUGGAAAGUUGAAAACUUCCAUCACGCUGACUCUCACCGCAGUGUGUCGAAUCGAAUCUACAAAGAGAAGCCGAAUAUACAGAAACAAAAACAAGCACGAUCGACUAACUAAUCGAGGACUCACGAGUAAGACAGAUCCAUGGGGACGCUCUAUUUCUUUCGUUUGUGUUUCAUGGGACAGGGUGGAUCAUGACUUUUCCAGUUGCCCGGCGGGUUUGAACAUACGAGAGGGCCUCGAUGGCCUGGAAAAUGGGAACGGGCUCUUGGGAUCGAUCACUGGCUUCACCUUCCUGCUCUCCAAGAAGGGCUUCAACUUCUUUAAGGUCAAACGGUCCGAUGUCGCUUGGAAAAAGAAAGCGGGCGGCGGUAAUUCCUUCUGGUAUUCUGCAAUCUCCACCACACUCCCUCCCGGCGCCACAGCCUUUACUGCCCGCUCACUUUGCCCUGCACAUUAGGAACAUCACCUGUUUAGCGCAGUGCCGAAUAGUUCAUCAUCAAGAAAGUUACCAGUCACGUAGAAAAUCUUAUUGGCUAAAAUGGGCAUUUUUAGCACAUCGAUCGCUGGUGUACAAAAGAAACUUGCAUAGCAUCUAGACGGAUAGGUCAUGCAUGCACAAUUAACUAAUAUGAAAUGACAAGAACAUUGAGGUUUCAUUUAUGUUCCUUUACUUACCAACGGCAUCAUAGACAACAUCAAACUUUUCCGGGAGGUCUUCAAAGUUUACCUUGGUGUAGUCAAUGCCCAGAUCAGCACCUAAAAUAAAGGUGGGGCAUAACAUUAUGCGUUAUAGGGGGGGAGGGGUGAGGGGGAGGGAAAGCGACCAUACAGUCCAUCUAAAAUAUCAAUUAAAUUACCGGUAAAGAAAAGCCCGGGGGUUGGAAAACGCCAUUCACUCUCAUGGUGUCAGCCGGAUUAAGCACUGCAGCGAGAACUUUAACCAGCACUUGGCCUUUUCGCAAUUCAGGGACCUCGAGUUCCGGGUCCAAUCCCAAUAUGUCGGUGACGUCUCCGUGCUCACGGUACACCCAAGCCUUCAUUUUGGUCGGAAUGAGGAAAUUCGCAGCCAUCGGAGAACAAUGGAUCGAUGGUAUCCGGAAAUUUUCUUUUUGCUCUGGGAUCUCUCGGUUGAUCUCUCUCAAGCUCCAAGCAUACAAGAGAGCGUGAGUACUUCAUUUGACUUUUAUAAUGUGCGAUUAGGGGUGAGCAUCGGUCUAGGGUCAAGCUUGGACCAACCUUAGACCGGCCCAACCCUAUCGAUCCUAAUCUAGUUCCCAGGGAGAUCAAGUCGGUCCUUAGUUCUGGGAUUCCUGGACCAGCACUAUACGGGUUAGUCCUCGGUCCUAAGAGUUUAGGAUCGGUCCAACCAGACUAACCCUAAUUCUAUAUAUCUAAUAUAUUAUUUAUAAUUUUUUUAUAUAGAAAAAACCCUAAAAUAAACGACGUCAACAACAUUAAAUAGCUCCUUAGUGAGGAGUUCAAGUAAUUUUACACUAUUUUUUAAUAACUUAGAUCUUUUAAUGUUUUUUACGGCGUUAAUAGCCAUAAUUUACAAAUGAGAAAAAUGUUUUCGUGAGAGUUCUCACAACAUUCAAAAUGACAUAAAUAGCUCCUCACGGCAUCCUCCUCUAGUACUCAUUUUCUUCUAUCUUAUUUGUUUUCUUAAUCUUUAAUUUGGCAAAAUUGAAAGAAACAAUUUCUCUGCUCGCCACUCAACAUUUGCCUCACUCGUUUUGGGUCACUCGUGCUGCUCAUCGUUCGAUGCUCAUCUGGCUUGUUGUUGCCUGCUUGACGAUCAACGCUCACCCCACUCGACACUUGUCGCUCACCUCUCUUAGUUGAUCUCGCUCGUCACUGAACUCAUAGGGUCGGUCCAAUCCUCGCUCGCAUUUUCAGAAAGUACAAAAAAUGAAAUAAAAAAUUAUCGGUUGGUCACGAGUUGAUCUUAGAACUAGACCAAAUUCAUUGGGUUGGUCCAAUCAUUGGUUGCCUUUUCAGAGAGUAUAAAAAUGAAAUAAAUAAAUUAUCAGUUGGUUCUAGGUUGACCCUAGAACUGGACCAAACCCAUUGGGUCGGUUCGAUUCUCGGUCCCAAGCUCAAUAAGAUUGGUCAUCGGUCCCAAAAAUUAAGGACUAGCACUAUGUGGGUUGAUCUUAGGGUUAGGGGGUGGGUCAGCCUAACCCGAACCAUGCUCACCCUUAUGUGCAAUUAGUUAUAAGCUCCAAAGGGAGGCUGAUUAUGUAUGGAAUUCAUGAAUUUUCUNNNNNNNNNNNNNNNNNNNNNNNNNNNNNNNNNNNNNNNNNNNNNNNNNNNNNNNNNNNNNNNNNNNNNNNNNNNNNNNNNNNNNNNNNNNNNNNNNNNNNNNNNNNNNNNNNNNNNNNNNNNNNNNNNNNNNNNNNNNNNNNNNNNNNNNNNNNNNNNNNNNNNNNNNNNNNNNNNNNNNNNNNNNNNNNNNNNNNNNNNNNNNNNNNNNNNNNNCCCUUUGGAGCCUUAUAACUAAUCGCACAUUAUAAAAGUCAAACGAAGUACUCACGCUCUCUUGUAUGCUUGGAGAUUGAGAUAGAUCGACCGAGAGAUCCUAGUGGAAAUAGAAGAUUUCCUGAUACCAUCGAUCCAUUCUUUUCCAAUGGCUGUGAAUUUUGUCAUUCCGACCAAAAUGAAGGCUUGGGUGUACCGUGAGCACGGAAACGUCGCCGACGUAUUGGGAUUGGACCCAGAACUCGAGGUCCCCAAAUUGCAAGAAGGCCAAGUGCUGGUUAAAGUUCUCGCUGCGACACUCAAUCCAGCUGACGCCGCGAGAGUGAAGGGGGUUUUCCAGCUCCCGGGCUUUUCUUUACCGGUAAUUUGGUUGAUAUUUGAGAUGGACAGUAUGGUCGCUUUUUUUCCCCUUAUAACAUGCAUUAUUAACGUUAUGCCCCACCUUUAUGCAUUAGGCCGUGCCAGGUUACGAUCUCGCCGGCGUUGUGGUGAAGGUGGGUCGCGAAGUGAAGGAGCUCAAGGUCGGGGACGAGGUAUAUGGAUUUAUGUGGCACGCCAAGAAAGACGGGACGCUGGCUGAGUACGCAGCCGUGGAAGAGUCGUUCUUGGCUUUGAAGCCCAAGAAGCUGCGUUUCGGGGAGGCUGCAUCUCUGCCGGUGGUCAUUCAGACCGCCUAUGGAGGCCUUGAAAGAGCUGGCCUCUCUCAUGGCAAGUCCCUCCUCGUCUUAGGUGGUGCUGGUGGCGUCGGCACACUCAUAAUACAGGUACUGUUUUGUUUCCUUCUCUGUUUUCUCGCGAAUCAUGUCUUACGAAUCUCACCGGCUUCUCGUGGGGCUUAUUUGAUAUGAGGACUCUAAUUCCAUCAAUUUUUUUUUUUUUUUUGUGGGGUUUCACUUUUUUUUUUUGGUUGGUCCAAUUGCACAGCUAGCUAAGGAAGUUUUUGGUGCAUCAAGAGUAGCAGCUACAUCCAGCACUGGGAAGCUAGAUUUGUUGAAGAGCUUGGGUGCUGAUCUGGCCAUUGACUACACCAAAGUCAACUUUGAAGACCUCCCAGAAAAGUUUGAUGUUGUCUACGAUACAGUUGGUAAGUACGAGAACAUAAACGACACCUUGAUUCUUUCGAAGUCCCAUGUUAUAUAGCUCUGUAUGCAUGACAUUACCAUCUGGAUGCUAUGCAUGUUUCUUUGUUCACCAACAAUCAAUUCGCUAAAAAUGUCCAUUUUCAUCGAUAAAGAUUUUCCAUGUGAUCAGAGUCUUUCCCGAAAACGAACCAUUCGGCGCCGGGCUUAACAAUCAAUAUUCCUAAUCUGCAGGGGAAAUUGAGCGGGCAGCGAAGGCUGUGAAGCCAGGAGGGAGCAUCGUGACGAUCGUAAAACAAAACAAGACAUUACCCCCGCCUGCUUUCUUUUUUGCAGUAACUUCGAACCGUUCGACUUUGGAGAAGUUAAAGCCCUUCUUGGAGAGCGGGAAGGUGAAGCCGGUGAUCGAUCCCAAGAGCCCGUUCCCAUUUUCGCAAGCCAUUGAGGCCUUCUCGUAUCUUCAAACCCGCCGGGCAACUGGAAAAGUCGUGAUUCACCCCAUCCCAUGAUUACACAAACGAGAAAGAAAUAAAGCGUCCACAUGGAUCUGCCUUAAUCACGAGUCCUUAAUUAAUAGUCGAUGGUGCUUGUUUUUUGUCUCCGUACUUUUUUUUUUAUAAACAAUAUUACAAACUCUCUAUAUUAUCACACUUUCACAACUACUCACUUACUUGCUCACCCACUCACUUCACAAACCACACACGAACACAACUCUCUAUGCACACACCCACUCACUCCCUAUCGCCCUACACUUACACUACACACACCUCACACGCCUCACACUCCACACCACUACACACACUUUUCUACACAAGACCCCUAUCACCCUACCACUCACACUACACGCACAAGAUACACUUCCUCCUAUUUAUAGGCUGCAAAGUCGGUGGAGUCCUUCAUAGGGGUGUGCAAUGGAAACCGCCCGAACCGGGACCAGACCGGACCGAACCAGCCAGUUUUGGGCGGUUCCCACGGUCGGCGGUCUGGUUCCCGAUUCCAAGGUGGAACCGGACCAACCGGACCGACCGGACCGGACCAAUUUUUUUAUAUAUAAUUUAUAUACAUAUAAUAUAUUAACACAUAUAAUAUAUGAAUACUAUAUAUGAAAUUUGUUGCAAUCGGAAUUGCAAUUGAGGUAACAACCUCUUAUGUGGCCAAGAGACCACCAAAGCUCUUAGAAAACUUAUUUAUUAGUUUUAUUUUCUACUCGAUGUGGGAUAAGGCUCUAGGAGUUCUCACUCUCUCUCUUGCUCCCCUCACUUGCAAACGACAAGGCACUUCAAGCCUCAAAGAGUCCGACAUCAACUAAACAUUUAAAGCAUAGAAGAGAGAUUGUCUAUAAAACCUAAGCCAAGCACAGUUAUGCUUAAAAUUAAUAGUGAAACACAUAAAUUAUUAUUAAUAUUUAUGCAAGUGAAGUUUGAAUAUUUUGCACGUGAAAACACGUGUGAGUAGUUUUAUUAGAUCGCCCGGGAACCGAAUUGAAUUGAUCGGUCCGGAGCAUGGUCUUUUUUUUUAAUGAAUGGUUGUUAUUUAGUGAAAAAAAAGAAAGUGCCGAUCCUAUUGGACCGAACCGGACCGGAUCGGAACCGAUGGUCCGGUCCACGGUUCCCAAAAUUGGGAACCGGUUUUCCCGGUCCGGUUCCCGGUUCCACCUUGGAACUGGACCGGACCGAACCGGGAACCGAUCACCCCUAGUCCUUCAAGCUCUCAACUUGCCGACUUCAAGUAGUCAACAAUUUCGGCUACUUGUCCAGCAAGGAUUUUGACCAAAGAAACAAAGACGUGGUUGAGAAAAACCUGGAGGAGUAGAGAGAGAUCUAGAGAAAUCUAGAGAGAGAUAGGCGGUGCUUUCUCUAACAGUGCGACGAGACUUAGUGCGAUGAAAGCUUGGUCUACAUGCUCUACGUUUGUUGCCAAUGUAAAAUUUCGAUGGGGAUAUAUCUGACUCCCUCCGAGCUUUAUAGCCCUAACUGCCCUCACUCUUCUCUGCGGAAAAAACGAAACGUUAACCAAUGGCAUAUUAACACUUUCUUCUUCGCUUUUUUUUCCGCGGAUGAACAAAAAACGAACGUCUCAUAUUUCUUGGUGAUAUGGCUAGUAUAAGUACCUAGAGGGGGGUGAAUAGGUAUAACGAGUAAUUUCUAAUGAUAAUCACACAAUACUAGACAGUUGAUAGAAAUGAGACAAACAACAAUCAAAGUAAGACUGAGAGUAGGGAAGAGAAAAUUGAACACGAGGUUUAUAGUGGUUCGGCUUAUUUUAAGCCUAUGUCCACUCUUCUGCACUGACAACCCACUAGCUGGAUUCCACUAUGAACAAAGAGAUAUCACAAUGCUGUUCUUCCUUGAUUUCUUGGUGUAGAAGAUCUACUACACUCUCUCAAGGUAUCACUAAGUAUAGACUCUCUUUGUGUGUACAGUUUCGCUCAAUAUGAAUCGACUAAUAAUCAAGGAGCUUCAGACUCUGGAAUUUCUCUAUCGAGCACACUUUAGAAUAACUGGAAUGUCUUCUUUUUAUACUCCUUUAUGCCAUCAUACCCGUUGGUACUUACCAAAGGAAUUCUUACAAUCUACCCGUUAGACUGAAUCAAUUAAGAAGGUCAUUCGAGCUAUUAAAGAAACAUGUCGAUAGCCCAUCAAUCUUGUUCGCCCAUACAAUCAGGAUCUUGGUUUCCAAGAAUAGAACCUUCCAAGAAUAUUUCGUCAAUCAUCGGAUCUUCAAACGAUCUUGAUUUCGAAUAAAUAAUCCGUUAUAUCAAAUCCAGCCAAGAGAUCUUCUCCAGUCGAUAAGACCAAAUCCUUAACCAAACACUUUAGCUAUGGAUCGCCUUCAUCGCUAGAUUGGAAACUGUCAAUGAGAAUAGUCUUGAGUCUUGAGUCUUGAGUCUUGUGUGCUGAGUCUGGUGAUCUGAAAUUCUUCAGACUCAAGGGUCUGCACAGCUCCCAGACUAGACUGAUAGAAACGUUUUGUCAGCUUCAAAACACUCUAAAAAAAUUUCUCCAACACUUGGCACGCCGUGUAAAUCCAUAUACCUCAUCCCCAACCUUGAGCUCCUUCACUUCACGACCCACCUUCACCACAAUGCUGGCGAGAUCGUAGCCUGGCAUGGCCUAAUGCAAAAUGGUGGGGCAUAAUGUUAAUAAUACAUGUUAUAAGGGGGAAAAAAGCGACGACACAGUCCAUCUAACAUAUUUUUUAAAAUUACCGGUAAAGAAAAUCCAGGGGGCUGGUAAACCUUAAUCACUCUCAUGGUGUCUACUGCAUUGAGCGCCGCAGCACUGCCCUUGUUGCACUUCAGGGACCUCAAACUCCGGGUCCACUCGUAACUAGACCUGUUAAACGGGUGGGUCGGGUUGGGUUAUAAAUGGUCCGACCCAAAUCGACCCAUUUAACCAGUUUAUGACCCGUUUAUUGCAAUGCAAAAAUUUUGAUCCAUACCCGACCCGACCCAUACCUAAUCCAUACCCGACCCAUUUAACUAAACUUAAUUUCUUAUAUAUAUUAAAAAAUGGUAUUGCUAAAAUAAUUUUAUACAACACAAAUUUAAUGGAAUAUUUUUAUAAUUUUUAAAAUAAUUAUUUUAAAAAAUUGAAUUUUAAUUAUUUUUUUAAAUAUACUUUUUCUUUUUCUUUUUUAUUUUUUCUUCUUCUUCUUUGGCCGGCCACCGGCCAUGAUGACGUUGGCGGCCAGCCACAGGCGAGCCUCAAGCUUGCCCGGUCGUCGAUGCUGGCGAGUCUCACCAAGCGAGCUUGAGCUCGCCCCUCGCAGGAUCUGGCAAGCCUCGAGCCUUGCUAGAUCCGACGAGCUCGAGCCUUGCCAACAUCGAGCGAGCUCAAGCUCGCCCCUCGCCGGAUCUGGCAAGGCUUGAGCCUCGCCUGACGUCAACGAGUUCGAGUCUCGCCAGAUCGGCAAGGCUCGAGCCUCAUUGGGCGUCGGCGAGGCCAGAUCCGGCGAGCUUGAGCUUGCCCGAUGUCGGCGAGCUUGAGGCUCGCCUGGCUGAUAGCCGGCCAUUGCUGUGCCGACGACCGGAGGAAGAAGAAAGGAAAAGAAAAGAAGGAAAGAAAAACGAAAAAAGAAAAGAAAAGAAAAGAAUAAUUAUAAUUAUAAUUAUAAUUUCGGUUUUUAUUAAAAAAAAAGUUUUAUAAAGUUAAAGAGAGAAGAGAGAUUGUGAGGUCUUAGGUGAUAAUGGGUUUUAAAUCCAACCCAUUUAAGACUCACUUAAGACCCACCUACUUUAAGUCUUUACUUGUUAAACCCAUUUAACUAACUUUUUCAAAAGACAAGUGACCCAUAUAUGAUCCAUUUAUGAUUUAAAUGGGUCAUAUAUGGGUUUAUGACCCAUUUUAACACCUAUAUUCUCAACGCUAGUGACGUCUCCAUGCUCACGAUACACCCAAGCCUUCGUUGUAGUUGGAAUGGCGAAAUUUGUGGCCAUCGAGAAGAAUGGAUGAAUUAGUAGAAGGAAAUUCUCCUUCUUCUUUCUUUCUUUUUUUCUGGGAUCUCUCGGUCGAUCUAUCUCAAGCUCAAAGCACACGAGAGAGUGGGAUGACUUCGUUCGCUUUUGUAGAGUGCAAUGGUCAUAAGCUCCAAGGGGAGUCUAAUGACCUGUCAUUAAUGACGCAAAGCCAAAAAGGUUUGACAAGUUGGAAUGUGACUUUCUGGUCUUGGUCAAACUAAAAAAUGUGCUUGAGAAGAAAGUGAUUAACAGCGUCAACCCCAAAUGGUUGACCCAAUAGCUCGUAAGAAGUCAAUCCGUUUUUUUUUUUUUUUGUCAGUCAUACUCUAUUCAUACACUAUACUCACUCUCAGACUUUUGACAUGUCUCUUGCAGGGCGUGGGAGUCGAAACCCACUCCUAAAACUUACGCGUCCCCAUCCCAUCCCCCUAAGAAGUCAAUCCGUUUAAUCACUCAAAAAAGAUCACUAGUUCAAAUUUUUUUGGCUGGUAUAUUUCAUUUGUAAUGUACUUUUUGACCGAAAGGUUGGCAGGAUAAAUUUUAUUUACAUCAAGCGUGGUAAUUGAUCUUGGCUCAUGAUAUAAAUUUCAUCCAUGGAGUAUAUUAUUUUUUAUAUGGGCUACUUUCAUGGUUUUAGAUUAGAGCAGUUUAGAAAUAUCACCGAUAUAUGAAUUUUGAAUUAAUAAACAAUGGGGAAUAUUGUUCAAUAAGUCAUGAACUUAUUGUAUAACGGUCAAUUAAAUCUUAAAAUUUUCAAUUCAAUUAAUUUAGUCCUAAACCUUUCAACAAUUUUCCAAUAUAAUUAUUCCGGCCAAAUUUAACCCUUAUUGCUUAAGUGAAUGCCGGCUAUCAUUGGUAAAUUGUCAAAAAAUUUGAGACUAAAUUGAUCAAAUUGAAAAGUCUAAAACAAAAUUAAUCGUCAUAUAAUAAAUUUAUGACUUUUUGGAUAAUUAUUCCCUAAACAAUGCCCCGGCUUCAAUGGUUAUUAGAGAAAUAAACUCAAAGCAAGGACGAUAGUAGAAUUGCUCUGACAAUGAAUACCCAACAUUUAUUUAGUAAACCAAGUUCCAUAUACUUUCUCUGGUGCUUAUAGGGUCCCAUAAAUUUCCAAAUUUGUCGUCAUUUACCUAAAAUUAUCGUAAGAUCGGUUGCACUCGUAGUAAUUUAGGGAUAAGGAUAGCGCAAGUUCAUAAAACCAAGAAUCUCAUAAUCCACUAGUGAUAAUGACCAAAAAACACGGACUGUUAUAAUUGUUAGGAAGAGGGGUUGCAAAAUGGUCGACCUAGGGCAAGUGAUGAGGCCAUAAUCGUUGAGUAGCAAGUCUUUUUUUGUAAUUGUUUGAAAAUACAUGUUAUUGCGAAAAGCGAGCGAUCAAACAAUAAAAUAGAUAGAAUAAAAAAAUAAAUCGGACAUUAGAUUUACGAGAUUGAAUCAUAGUGAUUUACGUCCACGGGAAGAGUAGAGAUGAAUUUCACUAUAGAUCAAACAAUACAAUGGAAAUUACACAUUCGAGUCACUUAACAGUGUUUCCCAAACUCAAUUUAUACUUAAUAAUGCAUGCAAUGUUUAGCCUAAUAUUUUCUCGCGAAAUAAUAUCUUAAUCUUACAAAAGAAUUAAUAAUUCUUGAACGUGUAAGAUUUGAUCAAUUUGAAUACUAAAUCUUUUGGGUGUAAUCGCAUGAAUGAAAUUAAGGAAGAAACCCACGGCCAAACACUCACUUUGAAACAGGGCAUCAAGAUUGCAUGCAUCAACAAUAGCAACGUGACGAUCAGUCCAACUUCUAAUCAGAAAAGGAAUUCGUGUGCUUCGGUCAAAGCCAAAGUUCAACUUGGACUUUUCCUUUCUUAACCGUGAUGGAAUGUAGAACAGGAAAGUGGAGAUUUAAUCUUUAAUUUCUUUUAUUCAUUUAUUGACCCCAACUUUCCUUUUUUCUUUUCUUCCUCGGCCAACUUCAGAAGCAAGGGCGAAAUUACAUGCCCAUCUUCCUUUGCCCAAUAUUUCGAACGUCCACAUAAAUAAUAAUUCAUCUCGGAUUUGCUUUGUUCGCGAGCUUAAAUUCAAGAUAUAUUUUAACACAAAUUGCUAAAUUUUAGAACUGUUGUAUUUUUAUUUAUUUUUUUUGUAAUUGGGGUUAACCGUUGCUAGUUACUAUAAAUAUCAUGAUCAUAAUUCGAAUCAAGGACCAACAAUCAAUCAAUAAACACCUAUUGUUUAAUUUUAUGUUCCUGUUAUCUUUACAUUCCGAUAUCUUUUUACAUGAUAUGGUUGCUUCCAGUUUUCAUAUCUUUAAUUUUCUCAUCAAUCCGUGUUUCCUAUCCUAGAAUGAAUAAAUGACCUUUCAGAUCCUUCACCGAUUUCCAUAUUGCUUUACAUUUUGUACAGUGCUUUAUCAACAAUUUUAGAUGAGUUUGGGACACCUGGAAUGCCAAAACUUGGCAUGGGGGACACUUAAGUGCCAAAAUUUCGAAAAUGUACAUUUAAGCGCUAGUUUCGAAAUUAAAUGGAAUACUUAGGUGCCACUCCGGUGAAAAUUCGGCCAAAUGGUUGACAUGGCGAGAAAAUGCAAAAAUGACGCCAUUUUGUGUACAAUGUGUAAAUAAUAAUGUAAAAAUUAAUUAAAUUAAAUUUAAACUUAAUUUUAUUUAAAAUAUUCUAAAAAUUUAAAAACUAAAAAAAAAAAGGGAGGCCGAAGGGGGUUGCUAAGGGCUGAGCCCUUGCCGCUGCCGCCUCCUCGCCGUCGCCGGGAAGGGCCAACAACGGAGGGGGGAGGGUCGGUAUCGUUAUAAAUAGUUUUUUUUUUUUUUUGCUCAGAAACUCAUUCAGAACUAGAAAUAGAAAAAUCUAUUCUCUUCCAGCAAUCAGUUUCUGACCAAAAGGGUUAUCAUUCGGCGCCCUAAGUAUAUGACUCNNNNNNNNNNNNNNNNNNNNNNNNNNNNNNNNNNNNNNNNNNNNNNNNNNNNNNNNNNNNNNNNNNNNNNNNNNNNNNNNNNNNNNNNNNNNNNNNNNNNNNNNNNNNNNNNNNNNNNNNNNNNNNNNNNNNNNNNNNNNNNNNNNNNNNNNNNNNNNNNNNNNNNNNNNNNNNNNNNNNNNNNNNNNNNNNNNNNNNNNNNNNNNNNNNNNNNNNNNNNNNNNNNNNNNNNNNNNNNNNNNNNNNNNNNNNNNNNNNNNNNNNNNNNNNNNNNNNNNNNNNNNNNNNNNNNNNNNNNNNNNNNNNNNNNNNNNNNNNNNNNNNNNNNNNNNNNNNNNNNNNNNNNNNNNNNNNNNNNNNNNNNNNNNNNNNNNNNNNNNNNNNNNNNNNNNNNNNNNNNNNNNNNNNNNNNNNNNNNNNNNNNNNNNNNNNNNNNNNNNNNNNNNNNNNNNNNNNNNNNNNNNNNNNNNNNNNNNNNNNNNNNNNNNNNNNNNNNNNNNNNNNNNNNNNNNNNNNNNNNNNNNNNNNNNNNNNNNNNNNNNNNNNNNNNNNNNNNNNNNNNNNNNNNNNNNNNNNNNNNNNNNNNNNNNNNNNNNNNNNNNNNNNNNNNNNNNNNNNNNNNNNNNNNNNNNNNNNNNNNNNNNNNNNNNNNNNNNNNNNNNNNNNNNNNNNNNNNNNNNNNNNNNNNNNNNNNNNNNNNNNNNNNNNNNNNNNNNNNNNNNNNNNNNNNNNNNNNNNNNNNNNNNNNNNNNNNNNNNNNNNNNNNNNNNNNNNNNNNNNNNNNNNNNNNNNNNNNNNNNNNNNNNNNNNNNNNNNNNNNNNNNNNNNNNNNNNNNNNNNNNNNNGAAUGGUACCAAUGACAACAUUAGAAGAAUCACAUUGAACGUCAAAGAUCGAUUCAGGUAAAGAAGAGCUUCAGUGAAUUUUUGUUUCGAGUUCAAAAGUCUUUUGCACCUUUUCGUUUCAUUGAAAGCUCUUCCAAGUUGAGUAUGUGGUAAUUGGGAUAGUUUAACGGUUGUAUUGCCAUGCCAGUCCAUGUAGUACAUCCCAGGCAUUCGUCGGAAUUACAACCGCCUUGCCAAGCUGCCACGCCUGCAGGUCGACUCUAGAGGUUCCCCGAGGCUCAAUUAGGCGGUUGGGGGCCGAGCCCUCGGCCCCUCCCCCCCCCCUCCGUCGCCAGCCAUUCCCAGCGACGGCGGGGAGGCGGCGGUGACGAGGGCUCAGCCCUCAACCGCCCCCUUCAGCCUCCCUUUUUUUUUAGAAUAUUUUAAAUAAAAUUAAGUUUAAAUUUAAUUUAAUUAAUUUUUAUAUUAUUAUUUACACAUCAAACACGAAACGGCGUCGUUUUUGCAUUUUCUCGCCACAUCAGCGGGCAAAACGACGUCAUCUUGGACCAAACUUGCCGGAAAAUUGCCACAUCAACCAUUUGGCUGGAUUUUUGCUAGAGUGGCACUUAAGUGUUCCAUUUAACUUCGAAACUAGCACUUAAGUGUAUAUUUUCGAAGUUUUGGCACUUAAGUAUCCCCCCGUGCCAAGUUUUGACACUUAGGCUAUUUUUCUGCCAAUUUUAGACAGAAUAGUAACCAUUUCAAGACUUAAGAGUUGCAUACUCCCCCCUGACAAGAAAAAAAGAGCAUCCACCCAACAUGCUUAAGAAAAGAUAUCACUAAACUCCAUGUUUCAUGGGACAGGGUAUAUUCCAACUUUCCUAGUUGCUCUACUAGCUUGAAGUUGCGAGAAGGCCUCAAUGGCUUGUGACAAUGGGAAUGGGUCUUUGGGAUCAGUCACUGGCUUCACUCUUCCACUCUUUAUGAAAGUAGGGCUUCAACUUUUUCUAACAUUUUUUUUUCUGGCGAGUCAACUUCUCUAUGAUUGAGCCAUCUAAACUGGCAAUGUAAACGAAACAAAGCGGCCUCGACGCCUUGCGAUAAUCGACUGUGGUUGCCCCUCUCCCCGCUGGCUUUAUAGCUCUCAAUUUGCUCUGCAUAUCCCAAAAAAAAACAAAACGUUACCCAAGAAAAUGUUGACACUUUAUUUGUCACUCCCCAAAAUCACAAAAAUAAUGAAUAUGACACGGCCGUCCUUCCACACAAAAGACGCAGUCUCAAAUAUAACCAACAACCUGAUAUCAACAUAUAUAUUAGAUAAACCAACAUGUUGAUCACAACAUCAGAGUUUCUAUAAAUCCACCAAAAAGAUUAUUUACAACUAGAACUCAGCCAACCCAACAACUAGCAAUAACCAAGUACACCACUUCCUUAAGCCAUACCCAAAAAUAGCACUCCCAAAAAUUUCUCACUAACGGCGCUCUCGCUCUAUUCGCCACUAACAAAGGAACCUGAAAAAAUUAGAAGGACAAGUGGAAUGAGUAAUAAUAGCUUAGUGAGUAGUAUAUAUCUUCUAAGUAGAUCGAACAACCAUUAUACAUAUAUACAAAGCAAUGCCAAACUUCAUAACUAGAACUCAAUAUAUAAAAUACAUAUUGAAUCAUAUAAAAGUUAUUUUUUAUCAUCAUAGAUUUAUACUAAUAUGGAAAACUCAUUUGAAUGACCAUCACAAUUUAAGUAUCAAUGGUCAAGUUCAUUUGAUAAUUUCCAUCAAAUAUCACAUAUUAAUGGUCCAUCAAUUAACUAAUCUAAUGCUCAAUGCUUUACCAUGGGUAUGACAUAACGCCUAUUGAUAAGGUGACUAAGAUUCUUCCCUUGAUAAGGUAUCCACUUACAAAGCUAGUGGUUCGGCCCAAAAGGAUAUUCUAAACUUGGUAUUGUUGAUACAUAAUUUUUUACCUAAAUUAAUUAAUUUAAAUUAGCGUUAAAGGUUAGGAAUUAGUCGCAAAAAAUUAUUUAAAAAAAACGAGUUAAUUUUUUAUUAUUAUUUAACAAAAAAAUGAAAAAUGGUCGGGUCGAGCCGGAUUCGACCUUGGCCCAACCUGCCCCCUUUUUUUUUCUUCUCCUUGAGCUGGGCCUGGCCCAGACUCCUUUCUCCUUCGGCGGCCCAGCCCUUCUUUCUUCUCUUCUGCUAGUCUUCGCUCGAAGACUUGAAGAACUUGCAAAAAAACAAAGGGGAUGAGGGGCAACAGAGAGCAAGGGGAUCGAUGGUGGCCAAGUGGCAUGAUCCGCGGGUCGAGGGCAGUCCAGCCGGCAAGCUAGCAGCUGCAGAGGCCAUGCGCGCUUGCUGGCCGAGCAUAAAACCGGAGGAGAGGACAGAAAAUGAGAGGGAUCGACAUAAAAAUAAAAACAAAAACAAAAACACCAAGCCAAGAGUGAGCGAGAGAGAACACACGAAGCACAGAGAUAAACACAAAAGGAAGAGGCGGAGAAAACCCACCUUUAGCCGUCAAUCGUUGUGGUCGAUCGCCACUGGAGGUGUCGACUGUCUCCAACUCCACCGAAACACCAAGAGGUAGAACAAAUAAAACAGGGGAGAAUCGAAGAUAGAGAGAGGCGAAGAGGGAGUUCAAAGGGGAGAGCGAAAUCGCGGUCGACCGGUUCACGUGAGCUCUGGCCCACGUCGCCUUUGUUCUUUGCUCUCGUGUUCAUUAUACGUUGUACCUCAAGACCCUUGAAGCGUAUUUGGCGCUCGAUUGAGCUGGAAUCCUUCGAGUUCGGUAGUGCAGACAAUGUGUUCGACAAAAUUCUUCAAAGAAAAUCGAGGAGUAGCUUGCGUUUUAACACCGAACCCAUUCAUUUUUGCCCCCAUGCUUGUUGAAUCCUUGUUGCUUUGCCCAUAUUCGUUGUGUUUUCGAAUGGUUUGCGCAAGAUAUUGGCAUGUAGUUGGAUCGAAGACUUGUUCCGUCGGAAAUAGAUUAGUGGUUGACAUAAUAGGUAACCAGCACCGGUCGAGGGGGACAACCGGUGAGAGGUAGUGAUCCGGCGACUUCCUUAGGGCAGUCAGAACUCGUGGCGUUGUCGACGUCGGACCAGCGGAGGAGCUGCAGAAGCUUCGGCGUGCUGCGGAUGUGGGAGAAGAAGACCGAAGGAGACGACCUAAAAAAAAGCACAAAAAGAUUUUAAAAAAAUAGGAAAAGAUAAAUGGGCUUAGUUUGGGGCUGGUUUUUAUUCUAUGGGCUGUUUAGGUUGGGCUGAAAAUAGAAAGCUAAAAAUUGACCCUCAAAUGGGCUAGAAAAUUGAAAAUGGGCUUUGGGCCGAGAAUCAUCCCUAUUUUUUUUUUAAAGAUUCAUGUGGUUUUUUUUUAGUGUGUUGAACCCGGGUCCGGUUGGAGACCAGACCUGACCCGAUCCGACCCCUAAAAAAAUCAUGAUUUUGAAAAAAUAUAAAUAUUUUUUUCCGAAAUUUUUUUUAAAAUUAAAAAUUUUAAAAAUUAAAUUAAAAUUUUAAAAAUAAUUAAAAAAUUUAAAAACCAAAACAAUAAAAAAAUAAUUAAAUAAUUAAAUUUAAAGAAAAUUUAAAAAAAUUUCCAAAAUUCCAAAAUUGUUGGGUUGGUUGGAAAUUGCUAUGUAUUUCCCUUUUAAGUGUAAUUAUGCAUUUAUUUGCUCGUAUGUUGAUUACAUCGCAUGUUUAGUUUGUAUAUCUUGUUAUGUUUAAUGGUAUAUGUGUAGUCUUAUGGCAAUUAGGACAUUAUUAGUUAUGAUUGUUGGUUUAAUGAUUGCACACCCACAUAAUCACCUCACAUGUUAGUGGAUAGGUAUAAAAUCUACUCAAACUACCUGCUAAAAAUCAUUUUUUUUAAAUGAACAAGAUUAGGUAUCGAAAUGGCACUAAUUGGUCAAUUAGUGUAAUCAAGUCCCCAACCCUAGAUUCUUUGGUUGCGUAGGAAGUGAGGUACACUCCCAUAUCUCACUUGGUUUCUAGCCGACCCCAAUAGGCUAGUGGCGACUCAUUUUGUGCAAAAUUUCUUAUGAAUAUCCCAACGUCACGCGGGGUAUGGGCUUGGGAGAGCGCUUAAUCAUGGGUCUUCGGUCCGUCCUUUAGGCAAUACCCUUAGACCUGUUCCCUCCCCCUGAGGGUAGGUUGCGACAGCUUGGCGACUCCGCUGAAGACUUGGUUUUAAACCUUAGAGGACUUAGGCCAAAAUUAAUCUUGUUCAAAAAUAUUUUGUUUGCCAGCGAUAACUUCAAGUAUGUCCCUAACAUUAAAGGUGUCAAAUGUUUUUGCAAAAUUGGAGAUAUAAGGGGAAGUGUUUGCUCACCUUUGUCUUGCAGGAAGGUGUAGGAAUGAAUAGUUUAUUUAUGCAUGAAGUGCCAAUUUGUUUAUCAAUUGUCAUGCAUGUAUCUCUUGCAUUGCACUACACCAUAGACACACAACCUGCCGCCGGACCUGGGCCGCAUAGGAUCACCUAGGAUGGUGUUGAGGUGGAUACCACUCCGACUACAACCGCAUAAUACGAGUCACCCACCUUAACCCCAAAAUUUCUUUCUUCAUGUUGAAGGUACCCACCCCGAUCUGCAAUCGCGCGACACGGGUCGAUUCUUUAACGAAGCUAGAGUUAUGGGUAACUCAACCUAGCCGUGACCUUGCUGGUUUAGUCCAGUGAUCCCAUGGCUCCAUUUUGAGCUAUUUAGAGUAGAAAUUGAACCACCAUCCAUGCGUAUGUUUAUGUCAUUGGCUUUGCUACUCAAUGAGUAGGGUAAGAUUUUCGAAUUCUCUCAUUCGUAAUUUACUUAUUCGCUUUCCUUUUUUGGUCGGUUCAUGGCAAAUUAGGUUGACCGUAAUUGUGAGUAGUACACGAUGGGGAUACCCGAGCUUCACAUCAUUGCUGCCCUGAAAGCCGAGCUUCGCACAUUGUGGGAUACACUAGACCUAACUGGCCAUGAUUGGGUGCGAUCCUAUGUCGGACGAUUACUUCCCCUCUUAAAAAUAGAAACUCAUUAUAGUGUUGUACGAGCGUUGGCGCAUGUCUAGUGUCUCGAGACUUGCACGUUCAUGUUCGGUGACCACGAGCUCACUCCAACCCUAAAAGAAUACAUUAUUGCCAUGGAAAAGCCCUUGGUGUCGGAGUUAAUUGGCCCAUCUGUAGGGAUUGAGCAUGCAUCGACCUUAUUCGAUUUCCUUAGAGUUAAGGAGGAUAACAUGAGGAAAGUUUUGAAAGCUAAUUGCAAGACUUGCCCGUUUUCAUUCUUAAACGAGCUUUUUCAAAAUGCCCUAUCUUUUCAAAAGAAUAUGAUCUUCCUGUUAGCUUUCUUUGGGUUCGUAUUAUUCCCACAUUGUACGAACGCUAUUAACCAUUCUAUGGCAUGGGUAGUUCGUGAGGUAUAUAUGAGAAAGGGCUUUGUUAACGUCAUCCUGACUGAAACUUUUCUUUCUCUUACUCGUUUUAAAUAAAACAAAAACAAAACUUUACAUGCUCCUCCUGAACUCUUGCAAAUUUGGUUAUUCUCUCACGUUAAAGGGUUUGGUAGCUUAAUGACCGUGAACGACAUCUCUAACUCUAGCCACCCUAUCCUGAAGUUUAAAGAUAGGAAGACGUUUGUCCCCGAUUAUCAUUAUUCUAAGCGGUUAGUUUUCAUGACCAACCCUGGACCCGAAGAUUUCCAAUGGCACGCCAAAUGGCUUCGAGUUCGAGAAGCGCAGUUUGUGUGUGGGCUUACUGGACCUGUUCCUUUGUUGGGAAUUACCGAAGUCACUGAGUAUUAUUCGACCCGGGUCACCCGCCAGUUCCAAGAGGUUUAACAACUUUCACCGACGAUUCAAGAAGACCUGCUCAGAAUAGACUUCCCUGACAAAUGCUAAGAUCACGAAGACCCCAUCGCGUUAGUCAAGUCGAUGUGGGAUAUGUGCCACCCCCGGAAGCUGAUAUGGGAUAUGUGCCAUCCCCGGAAGCUGAUAUGGUCCGAAGAGGAGUUGGAAGGGCAAGAGAAGACCUACUAUGCCUCGAUGGAAUACAUCCUUAGGCAUAAAAUCCUAGAGAGCCUACGCCCGAAAAUUCCCUUUGUGCCAUUAAAGACCACCCACCGAGCUGAGAUCAAGCACCUCAAAAGGAAGCUUGAAGAAGCCGAGGAGUGUGCCUCGAAGUUGACUCGAGUUAGUGGGGCUGUCACAAGCAAAAGCUGUCAUUGUUAGUUAGAUUGAGUCAAAUGCGAUAUGUAAUGGGCCCAUGCCCACAUAUCUUUCAAUGUUAAAGAAUUUGUCUCGUGUCGCAUUAUCAGGAGAUAAAAGUCAUGAUUAGCUUCGUUGUUUAGGGGUUUUAUUUCAUGUCUUCUCCUGCGUUAUGUAACAACCCUGCUUUCAAUGAAACGAACAAAUUGGGGCGAUUAGAUGUUUGUCAUGAACUGACCGCCUAAUCAUUACUCCAUGCUUACAUAUGCUUAUCUAUCAUUGUUCAGGUACUAGUCGAUCGAUUAUCUUUUGCCGAUCGUCGACAUGGCCAAGCAGAGAUCCCCAAUUCGCAUGCGCGCGAAAGUUAGAAUGGAGAACGAUGACACCAACGUACGCAUGGCCAAGAUGGAGGACCAAUUGGCCCAACUCACCACAAUGAUGCUUGAAAUAAGCCAGAAGCUCAAGGAGCCCCCUACUGUAGCUGUCACAAGAACAUCCACUCCGGUGUCGACGGAAGGCACACACGUUGUUGAUCCCCCCGGGAAAGAAACUGCCGGGGAGGCUCCUUUUGUUACGCCAAUCAUCGUCAACUUGGAUCCUCCUCCGAAGGAAAAUCUAACACUCCGCCUAAGUGAAGAGAAUGAAAAACGUUUAGCAAAAAUGGAGGAGCGACUGUGUGCUUUGCAAGGUUACGAGCUGAAAAGAGCUGAUAGACUGUCUCUAUACACCAAGCCAAACUUUCUUGAGAACUUCCAAGAGCUUGAGUUCACAAGAAAAUAUGACGGACGGGAUGUCCCAAGACCUACCUUAGAUAUUACAUGAGGAAAAUGGCUCACUACAUUGACAACGUGCCAAUUCUCAUACACACAUUUCAAGAUAGCUUGGAAUGCAUUGCCCUGACGUGGUUCAUUGCACUGGACAUUGAAUAAUUCACUAGUUGGAAAGAUUUAACUAAUAAGUUCUUGCAGCAAUACCAGUUUAAUACUGAGCUCGCCCCCACAGGGGAAGAGUUGACCCGUAUUGAGAAGAAGAGAAACAAGUCAUUUAAGGCCUUUAUGCAAAGGUGGAGGACUAUGGCCUCACAAGUGAAGUCAGUCUUGAAUGAGAGGGAGAUGAAACAAUUGUUCCUCAAGACAUUACCCCCUGAAUACUUCUGGACAUUUUCGCAACUAGUUGAGGUAGGUGAAGGAGUCGAAUGGGCAAUGGUUGAGGGAAAGAUUUCAAUCGGAGGCACGAAGAAAUUCCUAGCAAGAAAAGAUAAAGAGGCUGCAAGCGCUUGUGCAGGAGCCACUUUUCCCUCGACCGUCCUCAACACCCGCACAUAAGCCUAUAGUGGUCCAAGGUAGCUCAUCAUGAGCAUAUGAUAAUGGCAAGAGGCCAUUUCGAAAGGAUUUUUCUCCACUACCACGCCCAUUGUCAAAGCUGUUGCCCAUGCUCCUCGAAAAAAGGAUGGUCGCAAAAGAAGUACCUAGAGACAAUCCCCAGAGGUUCGCUGGGUUCGAUAUGAACAAGACCUGCAAAUACCACAUGGGAGAAAGGGGGAAUGAUGUAGAUGAGUGCAACGUGCUAAGAUACAACAUUCAACAGCUUCUAGACAAGAAGAUCUUGACCUUCAGGGAGGCUCAACCUAACGUGCAAUAGAACCCGCUACCAAAUCAUGCAGAGGGAGUGAACUCAAUUUCCAAGGAAAUGCGGGCAAGUCAACAACCUCUAAUGGUGGAUACUUCUAGGUUGUACAAGUCCCUAGUGCUAGCGAGAUACUAUGAAAGUCAGGAGGAUGUGACCCCAAAAGAGAAGCUUAACCGCGUCCGUAGGAUGGUAGCCAUGGGGGUAAUCCGACGUGGCGAAGAGGAAGAGAGGGUCAUAUCCAUGGUAAUGCCAUCGUCAUUCCGCUCAUCUUUCUGCAAGUUUGCUUGUAUAUCUUGAGCAAAGAAGGUUAUGUCUGGAAUUUUGAAGACCCCAGCUUUGUACGAUAAAGGAGUGAUAGCUAUGAUAACCCCAAUGGUAAUUGAACUACCUGAUGAGGAGCCCGCCGAAGAUAUCAAGAUGGAAAUCCAUAAACCCAUGGUGAUCGACCUUAUGGUUGAGGAGAUGUCGGCAAUCGAAGUCACGAGAGUGAACGCAACGCCAGUCACAAUAAAACUGCCACCCCGGGAGAAAGAUGGAGUGAUAGUGUUGGAGAAUCCUCCCAAAUUCGAUCCCAAAGUUGUACCUUGGAACUAUGGAACAAUUGAGGUAGACGCUGUCACACGAUCAGGCCACUGUUACGCCCCUAAUAAAGGAGUAGAAAAGAAGGUCGUGACCAAGGAGGAGGCAAAGCAAUUCUUAGGUACUAAAGUCUAGUGAGUCUAAUGUGGUGGAUCAACUACGGAAGCUAUCGGCUCAAAUCUCCCUACUAGAAUUAUUCAAAUCUUCCAAGAAACACAGGGACAUUUUGCUGAAAGCCCUUAAUGAGGUGCACGUGCCAGAAUCAAUCGAUGAAGUCUAAUUGGAAGAGUUUGUUGGGGCCGUUCUACUGAAAGACCAAAUCUCCUUUACUGACGAAGAUCUCCCUCCCGAUGGCCCUAAUCAUACCAAAGCGCUACACAUCUCGGUGAUGCAUGAGAGCACCCUUAUUUGCAGAGUGUUAAUUGAUAAUGGUUCGACGCUCAAUAUAUGCCCGUUGGCUAUGCUCCAUCGUCUCGACAUUGAUCUUGGAAGAAUUCGUACUAGCAAGUCAACUAUGCGGGCUUUUGACGGGAUGAAGAAGGAGGUGAUAGGGGAAAUUGAACUUGAGUUGUUGAUUGGCCCUGUACUUUUCCAAGUCCCGUUCCAAGUAUUAGAUAUACCAAGCGCUUUUAAUUUUCUGCUAGAGAGGCCAUGGAUCCACAUAGCGAGUGUUGUUGCCUCCAGCUUUCAUCAAAAUGUAUGAUUUGUGGUGGACAACAGGCUUGUCAUGAUCCAUGAAGAGUCUGACUUCAAGAUCUACCACGAGACAGUCAUCCCUUAUGUGGAACACGAAUGUACCGAGGAAUCCAACUUUCAAACAUUAGAGCCGGUGUCCAUGAUUCAUGUGUCUGCGAGUUCUUUCAUAAAGGCCCUUGAAUUGUCUAGGCUAGCUAUAGCUGCGGGAAGGAUCAUGCUAGUAAGCGGGUAUAAUCCUAGGGAGGGUCUUAGAUCGUGUGGCCAGGGUGUACGAAAACCCAUUGAAGCUCAUAAAAACUUCAAAAUAAGAGGCUUGGGAUAUGUCGAGAAGCGAAGAAGCCAUAACAAACAAAGUGGCCAUGGCAACCGAGGAGGUUGUGGAAGGCAUAAAGACUGAGGUGCCCAAGGAGGCCGAGAUGAGUAUAGCAACUAGAGUGAACGCGUUGUCCAAACUAAAGAGGACGAGGGUAAUCAAAGCCUGUGUCCCCUGUUGCUGGAAGAGAUGUUUCCAAGACCCCUAAGGAUGUUGUUCAAGGAAGAGAAAGAUAUCUAUGGUGUGACCGAGCUAUUUGAGGAAGACGUCAUAUGCACCAUCUUGGCGUUCGAGAAAGCCGAGACCUCUAAAGUUGUGGUUGUCCCUCCAGAGUAUGGCGGCUUUUGUUUAGCCUAGUCUUUCAUUUUGUCUUUUCCCCUGCUCGAGAUCUCGUAGUUUUUCUUUCUUUAUUUCCUGUUUUUGUCAUUUGUAACAUGAACUAUGGUUAGCCUCGAUCUUGAGCCGUUGGUCGAGGGUGGUGUGUGUUAAAAUACGACCUUAUUUUUCUCCAUUCAAUAAAAUAGACACAUGUUUUAUUAAGGACAUGUGGAAGCACAUCAAACUAACCCUAUGAUGGUCGCUGAGGCCUAGGCCUCUACAUGCUCCUUUAUUUGACUGUUUUGCAAGAACAAGGAAAUCCGAGGAUAUGGGAACGAGUUCUUGAAAUUUUCACAAAAAAAUACUUCAAAUUUUUUUUGAAAAUGACAUGCAUCGUCUUUGUUGUUGACAUUACUCUAACUCAUCUCAUCGCAUCUCAGGCAUUACAUUAUGCAUAAUCAUGAUAAGGACACAUGUGACUCAGAUGUGCAUGAAGAAAGUCCCUCUAGUUCCAAUGACACCGACAAUGACAAUCAGAAGGGGAUCAAGCGCGAAUGGAAUCGACACAAAAAAUCGAAGCCGUUGACUGAAGAGCGAACAGUCAUUAAAAAUUUGGGGGAUGCAGAGAAUGUCAGAGAAGUAAAAAUCGAGGCAUGUCUCUCAGAGUCAGAAGCGGAAAGGAUGAAUAAUCUUCUGAAAGAGUAUCAAGAUGUGUUCACCUGGACAUAUGCCAACAUGCCAGGAUUGGAUACUGAAAUUGUGGAACAUGCUUUACCAACGGAUCCCAAUGUGCCACCCAAGAAGCAAAGACUCAGGAAAACUAAACUAGAGUUGUCCAAGAAGAUUUAAGAAGAAGUGAUGAAACUACUAAAAGUAGACUUUAUCGAAGUGAUUCGUUGCAAAUACCGUGCCUAUAAUGAAGAAAGAUGGGCAAAUCAUGGUGUGUGUUGACUAUCGUGACCUAAAUUGAGCUAGUCCCAAGGAUAACUUUCGCUCCCGCAUAUUGAUGUCUUGGUUGAUAGUAGGGCGAAUUCGAGUUAUUCUCCUUCGUGGACGGUUUUACUAGAUAUAACCAAAUUCGUAUGAAGGAGGAAGACAGGAGCAAAACAUCAUUCAUAACUCCUUGGGGAACUUUCUACUACAAAGUGAUGCCUUUUGAUCUAAAGAAUGCUAGGGCAACGUAUCAGAGGGCCAUGGUCACAUUAUUACAUGACAUGAUGCACAAGGAAAUCGAAGUAUACGUCGACGAGAUGAUUGCGAAAUCGAGACGUGGUGAAGAUCAUGUUAAAGUCUUGCGAAGGUUGUUCCAACGUCUUCGGAAAUUCAGGUUGCGCCUCAAUCCUGCAAAAUAUGUUUUUAGAGUGAAAUCUGAGAAGCUAUUAGGAUUCAUGGUUAGUAGUAGGGGCAUAGAGAUUGAUCCAUCAAAGGUUAAAGCCAUUUGCGAUUUAUGACCCCCAAUUACCGGUAAAGAAGUCCGCAGCCUGAUGGGACAACUUAAUUAUGUGGCGAGAUUCAUUUGUCAGUUGUCUGAAACGGUGAAGCCAUUCUUCAAGCUCCUAAAAAAGAAUGCAAAGAUUGAGUGGAAUGCUGAGUGCUAGGGUGCAUUUGAGAAGAUAAAACAUUAUCUCACUCAUACACCGGUCUUAGUGCCUCCACUCCCUAAAAUUCCCCUGAUUUUGUACUUAACCAUACAUGACGAAUUGCUAGGAGCCAUGCUAGCCUAGAAAAGACCAAAUGACGGGAGAGAAUGCGCAAUAUACUACUUGAGCAAGAAGUUCACUAUUUCUGAGAUGAACUAUACAGAAGUUGAGAGAACUUGCGUAGCCUUAAUUUGGGUCUUGCACAGGCUGUGGCAAUACACAUUUCAUCACCGAAUCUUGUUGGUGACCAAAAAUGAUCUUAUCAGGUAUUUCUUAGAGAAGCCGGCAUUGGUUGGCAAGUUGGCCAAGUGGCAAAUCUUAAUUUCUGAGUUUGAUGUUCAAAGCUUGGGAUGGAAGUCUGUUAAAGGUCGAGCCAUAGCAGACACGUUCACAGAAAAUUUCGAGAGGUCCAGAGCAUCUGAUGAGGAUAGUGAUGCAGAAGAGCGAAUUUUACUUAUAUCAAGUGACAAAUGGACAAUGUACUUUGAUGGUGCGGUUAACUUAGCUAGGUCGGGUACUAGGGUAGUUCUUAUCUCUCCGGAUGGACAGCAUUACCCCGUUGCUGCUAAAUUGACGUUCCCUUGCACGAAUAACAUCGCUGAAUAUGAAGCAUGCAUUCUCGACCUCCAAGCUACCGUUGAUAUGAAAAUUCGAAAGCUACAAGUUUAUGGUGAUUCAGCACUUAUCAUCUUACAGACUAAAGGCAAAUGGUGAACACAUGAUUCUAAAUUGAUUAUGUAUCAUGAGUUCCUGGGAGAGUUGACGGAAGAAUUUUAAGAAAUAUCAUUCGAAUACUUACUAAGGUCUCAAAAUCAGUUCGUUGAUGCCCUAGCUACCUUGUCUUUGAUGUUGCAAGUAGCUGGAGGCUUGGACCUUGAACCGUUGAGAAUUGAAAUCCUUAGGCACCUAGCUUACUGCAUGACGGUUGAAGAGGAACCAGACGGACAACCUUGGUAUCAUGACAACUUGAAGUAUCUACAUGAGGGUGAAUUCCCCAAAGGAAGUGAAGUAGUAGACAUAAAGCAUUUGAUAAAGCUAGCAUCAAAAUUCUUCACCGGUGGAGAUGUCCUCUACAAAAGGUCCUUCGACUUGACAUUGCUAAGGCGUGUCAAUGCUAAAGAAGCCGAUCGUUUGAUGAAAGAGAUACAUGAAGGGGAGUGUGACCCCCAUAUGAAUGGACACCUCUCGGUGAGAAAGAUCAUGCGACUCGGUUAUUAUUGCCUGACCAUGGAGUCCGACUGCAUUCAGCACAUACGACGAUGUCACCAGUGCCAAAUUUAUGGAGACGGGAUAAACGCCCCUCCAAUUGAACUUUACCAAAUGUCUCAACCCUGGCCUUUUUCAAUGUGGGGAAUUGACGUAAUUGGGCCCAUUAACCCCAAGGCUUCAAAUGGGCAUCGAUUUAUCUUGGUGGCGAUAGACUAUUUUACCAAAUGGAUCAAGGCCAACUCGUAUGUUAAUGUUACUGCCAAGAAUGUGGCAAUAUUCAUUCGUCGCGACAUUGUCGCUCAUUAUGGGGUGCCGGAAGUGAUCAUUACCAACAACAGCACUAAUUUGAACAACAAAGUCAUGGAUAGUUUGUUUAGUGAGUUUCGAAUUAAGCAUUUAAACUCGUUACCGUACCGUCCUUAGAUGAAUGGAGCAGUGGAAGUGGUGAACAAGAACAUAAAGAAAAUCUUAUCAAAGACCACUGAAAAUUAUCGUGAUUGGCACGAGAGACUUCCUUAUGCACUAAUGGCAUACCGAACUUCUAUCCUCACCUCCACAUGGGCAACUCCUUUCUCACUCGUGUACGGGAUGGAGGCAAUCUUGCCUGUUGAAGUUGAAGUCCCUUCUUUAAGAGUCCUUUCCCAAUCCACGCUCGAUGAGACUGAGUGGAUGCAACAAAGGCAUGAGCAGUUAAACAUGAUCAAUGAGAAGAGAUUGCAAGCUAUAUGUCAUGGUCUAUGCUAUCAGAGAUGAGUUGUAAAAGCCUUCAAUCGAAAGGUGCAUCUCAGACACUUCGAAGUCAACGACCUGGUGUUGAGGAAGGUGCUUCCAAUCAUACUAGAUCCUCGUGGCAAAUUCACCCCUAAACUACGAAGGGCCGUAUGUCAUUAAGAAGAUUCUUCCUGGUGGUGCCAUGAUUUUAGUUGAAAUGGAUGGCAGUGAAUUGCCUAAACCUGUAAAUGCGGAUGCAGUCAAGAAGUAUUUUCCAUGAAUGAAAUCAAGGCCGAGGGAUCACUUUAUGCACAAUUCAAGUCGCAUAGCAUCAUACAUAGCAUUGUAGAUAUCAUGCAUAUGUUGCAUACACGCAUAUCUAUUUGUGUUUCAGGCACCCUACCGUCUGACAAGAAAAUGGCAGGGGAAAGAACUGACUCAAGAAUCCAUCAAGUCUUCGCACAAAUGAUUGAAUGUCUCUUUUGAGAGGCAAGUUGAGACAAUAAAAAAAGGGGGGGCAAAACAAAACAAAACAAACAAACAAAAAGAAUAAGGACAAAAAAAAUGCAAGACAUGCUUCGCAUGACCUAUUCUCUAGUGUCACUAUGCACACUUCACGUCCACGGCCCUCAAGAAAAAAUGGCAAGAAAAAAUGACUUUAUUCGAAUAAAAGAGUGAAACGUAACCAUGCCAAACAAGAAGUACUUAGGAUGAAGAAAGGCAAGCCCAUUUUCAGACCAUCCUUCAAACACUUUUGAGAGUUAAGUAAAAAGCGACAUUCUUUUAGGACGAAUGAUUCAUUCGUAUUGAGCACAAAGACCCUUCAAAGUACCCCUAUCAAGGAUGACCCUACAAUGGGGCAGCAUAGGAGGUUUUGGUUGCAAUGUAAAGCAAAAGGUUGAGAAAGAUUCUAUUACUUUCACUUGCAUCAAUCUUCUAGUGAUAGCUUCAUAGGGAUUCUCAUUAGAGCUUGACUCAUCCCAAGGUGAAGAAGAGCAUUUCAUUUCUACCCAAACAUCGAUACCCGUUGCUUUAACCAAUUUGGGCCUGACUCUUCAUUUCUAAACCCCGAGCGGUGAUCAUCUCCCUUCACUAGGGCAAGGCAUAAAGAUUGACCACAUGCAAUUGACAUUUACUAAAAAACAUGAAAAACAUCUCAAAAGUCAUAAGAGCUCUAAAAGUUCAAAAAAGAGUUUGACAAACUAGGGGACAUGAAAAAGCAGUAUGCCUGGUAAAAGCAAGGCCAAUGUCGAUGAAAAAUGAAAAAAGAAAGAAAGAAAAAAAAAAGAGCCAAACGGCUACAUCUUAUGUGAAAGAAAAAAUUAUCAAACUCCAAGUGCUUGCGCAAAAAAAAAAAAAAGUUCAUUGCAAGAGCAAAGGACAUUAGAAAAAGGAGCAAGGCUCCAUGCAUAAAUAAUUAGUCAAUGGACUUUUGAGAUGCGCUGUGUUCCAAAAGUCAAAUGAUUUUGAAAGAUCAAGUGACCUGGUCACGAUGCCAUGAUGAUCACCGACUCUUAAAAACCUUCUUGAAAAUUUUAAGCCUUUCGAGCCUUUCCCAAACCAACAUUACAACCCUCUUUCGAAGUCUCUUCUGAUUGGGAUAAUUUGAGUGAAAAUGGGAAUACCACCAAGAAGCUACUGCUUGAAGGAGUGGAAGUAAUUUUAUUUUAUCUUAUCUUCCAAGUUCUCGACUUGUGAACCCAUUGAAGAUAGUGACAAAUGUUCCUUUCUCGACCUCAAAGCAAUAAUUCAUUUGUGUAAGCCCUAACCGAGCCUAUAUUGCGGUCUUUUCAAAAGACAUUUUUGAUCGAUCAGAUUGUGCUCAUUGCGAAUAUCUCUAAAAGCCUUUGACAUGGAUUAUGUGAGAUACCCUCAACAAUCUAUUACUGAUGGGAUCAAACAGCCAUUUUAUCGAGAGUGUGUGAAAAGUCCUUUUUGACUAAGAAGCUCUAGUUUGACAUGCUUAAUAAGUAUUUGGGAUAAGUGUUCCAAAAGUCCUAAAACUUGUCGCGAAAAUGCAUUUCAGUCCUAAAACUUGCAAAAAGUGCAUUUAAGUCCUAAAACUUGUCAAAUUGUUUCAAACGAGUCCUAAAAUCGACGCCGUUAGCAUUUUCAGUUAAAAAAGCUAACAUGGCAUUUUAAAUAAUUUUUUAAUUUCCGCAUUGAUUUUUUAAUUAUUUUUUAAUUAUUUUAAAAAAAAUUAGAUUUAAAAAUUAAAAAGAUUAUAUUUAUUCAUUUUAUCUUAUGUUCACUAAAAAACUAAAAAAAAAAAGUUUUAAAAAUCUAUUUUUUAAAAAUUUGAAUAAAAAAUAAUUAAAAAAUACACGUGGAAAAUAAAAAAAAUUAUUUAAAAUGCCACGUUAGCAUUUUUAACGGAAAAGGCUAACGGCAUUGAUUUUAUGACCCAUUUGAAACAAUUUGACAAGUUUUAGGACUUAAAUGCACUUUUUGCAAGUUUUAUGACUGAAACACAUUUUCGUGACAAGUUUUAAGACUUCUGGAACACUUAUCCCUAAGCAUUUUUCACAAAUAAAAAUUGUUUUGAUAAGAAAUUGUCUCCUAGAGGAUUUGAUGAUUAAUGGUACAUCUCCGAACAAGAUGACAGUUUUGUGACACAUGAUGUUGAUUGACAUUGAGUGUUUUUUUUUUAAAAAAGCAGUCGGACUUAGCUUGAUUAGCUUGUUCAAUUAAUGCUGUAAUAUCGUUAAUACGUCUCUUGAUGACAUCUCUAAUGACAUUUGUUCAAGUUGAGUUUGAUAGGAUUCCCCAGUGAAGCCAUGCGGUUUUCAAGUGAUUAGCGGAUGCUUCCCUAAAGACAACAAAGGUUCAUAGUCAACCUUAAAUCAUGUCAUCUACAAAAGUUCAUAGGUUUUUCUCAAACCAUGUAUUUUCAACCCAGUCGAAACCCGUUGUUACACGGUGAGACUUCAAUCAUUCUCCUCCUUCUUAUGACUCGGUGGGCUUUCCGUAGCCCGGAGUACUUCUCCCUCUUCCUAUGAUCUAGUGGGCUUUCCAUAGCCCGGAAUCCUUCUCCUCCUUCUUAUGACCCGGUGGGCUUUCCGUAACCCGGAGUCCUUCUCCCUCUUCCUAUGACCCGGUGGGCUUUCCAUAGUACGGAGUCAUUCUCCUCGUUCUUAUGAUUCGGUGGGCUUUCUGUAGCCCGAAAUCCUUCUCCCUCUUCCUAUGACCCAGUGAGCUUUCCGUAGCCUGGAGUCCUUCUCCUCCUUCUUAUGACCCAGUGGGUUUUCCGUAGCUCGGAGUCCUUCUCCCUCUUCCUAUGACCCGGUGGACUUUCCGUAGCCCGGAGUUCUUUUACCCUUUCUUAUGACCCGAUGGGCUUUCCGUAACCCGAAGUCAUUCUCCCUCUUCCUAUGACUCGGUGGGCUUUCCGUAGCCCGAAAUCCUCUUACCCCUUCUUAUGACCCGGUGGGCUUUUUGUAGCCUGGAGUCCUUCUCCCUCUUCCUAUGACCCGGUGGGCUUUUCGUAGCCCGGAGUCUUCUCCCUCUUCCUAUGACCCGAUGGGCUUUCCAUAGCCUGGAGUCCUUUUACCCCUUCUUAUGACCCAAUGGGCUUUCCGUAGCCCCAAGUCCUUCUCCUCCUUCCUAUAACCCAGUGGGCUUUUCGUAGCCCCAAGUCCUUCUCCUCCUUCCCAUGACCCGGUGGGCUUUCCAUAGCCCAAAGUCUUUUUACCCAUUCUUAUGACCCGGUGGGCUUUCGUAGCCUAGAGUCUUUCUUCCUCUUAUUGACAAGACGCGUUUUCAUAGUUAUGAGUCAUUUCCAUCGACGUGAUACGUGCAUAUGCACCUAGGGUUUCUCUACUGCCGAAAUAAUUUAGGUAUCUUUUGUCUUUGAAUGCAACCUCUUGGAGGCUAUAUUCAAAGAGGGGCAGCUAUUGACACCUAAUUUUUUACUUAAAUUGAUUAAUUUAAAGUAGCAUUAAAGGUUAGGAAUUAGUCACAAAAAAAUUAUUCAAAAAAAAAAGAGUUAAUUUUUUUAUUAUUAAAAAAAAACGAAAAUGGUCAAGUCGGGCCGGAAUCGACCUUGGCCCGACCCGCCCCUUUUUUUUUCUUCCCCUUGCGCUAGGCCUAGCCCAAACUCCUUUCUCCUUCGGCGGCCCAGCCCUUCUUUAUUCUCUUCUGCUGGUCUUCGCUCGAAAAUUUGCAAAACCUGCAGAAAACAGAGGGGAUGAGCGGCAAUAGAGAGAAGGGGGAUCGGUGGCAGGCGAGCGGCAUGAUCCACAGGUCGGGGAGCAGUCCAGCCAACAAGCUGGGAAUUGCAAAGGCCAUGCACACUUGCUAGGCAAGCAUAAAACCAAAGGAGAGGACAGAGAACAAGAGGGAUCAGCACACAAAAAAAAAAAACAAAAAAAACAAGCCGAGAGCAUGCGAGAGAGAACACACGAAGCAUAGAAAGAAACACAGAGGGAAGGAGAGGAGGAGAAAACCCACCUUUAGCCGUCAAUCGUUGCGGUUGAUCGCCACUAGAGGUGUCGACUGUCUCCAACUCCACCGGAACUCCAGGAGGCAGAACAAAUAGAACAGGGGAGGAUCGGCGAUAGAGGGAGGCGAAGAGGGAGUACAAAGGGGAGAGACCAAACCAAAGGAACGAGGGAGCAACUAGCCAUCGCCAGAGGCCCCUCUGCCUACCAUCGUCCGUCAUAGCCCUUCCCAAACAAGGUAGGUCCCCUGAAACCCCGUUGUCGUGUUUCUGGAAAACGCCGAGCUGGAGCUUGCGGCUGACCGGUUCACAUGAGCUCCAACCCACGUCGCCUUUGUUCUUUGCUCCCGUGUUCCUUAUACAUUGUACCCCAAGACCCUUGAAGUGUAUUUGGCGCUCGAUUAAGCCGGAAUCCUUCGAGUUCGGUAGUGCAGACCAUGUGUUCGACAAAAUUCCUCAAAGAAAACCGAGGAGUAGCUUGCAUUUUAAUACCGAACCCAUUCAUUUUUGCCCCCAUGCUUGCUUAAUCCUUGUUGCUUUGCCCAUAUUUGCUAUGUUUUCGAACGGUUUACACGAGAUAUUGGCAUGUAGUUGGAUCAAAGACUCGUUCCAUCGGAAAUAGAUUAGUGGUUGCCGGAAUAGGUAACCGGCGCCGGUCAAGGGGGACAACUAGUGAGCGGCAAUGAUCCGGCGACUUCCUUAGGGCGAUCAGAACUUGCGGUGUUGUCAACGCCGGACCGGCAAAGGAGCUACAGAAGCUUCGGCAUGUUGCGGAUGUGAGAGAAGAAGACCGAAGGAGACGACCUAAAAAAAGGGGCAUAAUAAAAUACAAAAAGAAAAGAAAGCACAAGAAGAUAAAAAAUAAUAAUAAUAAUAGGAAAAGAGAAAUGGGCUUAGUUUUGGGUUGGUUUUUAUUCUAUGGGCCGUUUAGGUUGGGCUGGAAAUAGAAAGUUAAAAAUUAACCCUCAAAUGGGCUAGAAAAUUGAAAAUGGGCUUUGGGCCGAGAAUCAUCCCUAUCUUUAAAAAAAAAAAAAAAAGAUUUGUGUGGUUUUUUUUAGGGGGCCGAACCCGGGUCCAGUCUCCGAUGGGACCCAACCCGCUCGACCCGAUCCGACCCCUAAAAAAUAUAUAUUUUUUAAAAUAUAUAUAUUUUUUCCGAAAUUUUUUAAAAAAUUUUAAAAAAUUUUAAAAAAAUUGAAUUAUCCAAAAUUGUUGGGUUGGUUGGAAAUUGCUAUGUAUUUCCGUCUUAAGUGUAAUUAUGCAUUUAUUUGCUCGUAUGUUGAUUACAUUGCAUGUUUAGUUUGCAUAUCUCGUUAUUUUUAAUGGUAUGUGUGUAGUGUUAUGGCAAUUAGGACAUUGUUAGCUAUGAUUAUUAGUUUAAUGAUUGCGCACCCGCAUAAUCACCUCACAUGUUAGUGGAUCGAUAUAAAAUCAACCCAAACUGCCUGUUAAAAAUCAUUUUUGUUAAAAUGAACAAGAUUAGGUACCGAAAUGGCACUAAUUGGUCAAUUAGUAUAAUCAAGUCCCCUACCCUAAAUUCUCUGGUUGCGUAAGAAGUGAGGUAUACUCACAUGUCUCACUUGGUUUCUAGCCAACUCCAAUAGGCUAGUGGCAACUCCUUUUAUGCAAAAUUUCUUAUGAGUAUCCCAACGUCACGCGGGAUAUGGGCUUGGGAGAGCGCGCGCAUAAUCAUGGGUCUUAGGCCCAUCCUUUAGGCAAUACCUCUAAACCUAUUCUCUCCUCCCGAAGGUAGGUCGCGACAGGUAUGUAUAUCUCAUAACCCUUCAUUGAGUUCACACCCAUUGAGCAUAAAUAACCAUCCUUUAAUACCAGAAAUCCAAUCCAUAAAUUAAUAUCAUAAACCAAGAAAAUAAUUUUUUGCAAAAAGGCCAUCCGCCAUUUCCUACCAAUUUUUCCAAUCAUAAUAAAUCUUUCCAUAAACUAGUCGCAAAGCAAUUUUCAUAUAUAUUAGUUCACACACUUUGUAUAAUACACUUUUAAAACAUUCAUAAUCAACCAUAGAAUAGCAAGUGCUAAAUCUGGCUUUUAUACAAUAAAAAUGCUCUUCUCAAUUUAAUAUAUCUACACAUAUACUUUAAGGCAUGGUUUUAUAAAACCAAAGAAGAUAUAAUACCACUCACCCUAUCGCCCACAACCAAACAAUAAGCGAUAGUUGAACUUGCGAUCCUAUCAAAUAACCUAUGAAUAAUGUUAAAAUCAAAUAAAAAUUUACCUCAACUACAAAAUGACUAAACUACGUCUUAACAUACAACUUGAUUACGCCAUAACUUUCUCCUCCGAAUCCCAUUCCAAAUGCAUUUAUAGUCAAUAGAAAGCUCUUCACACAUACUAGAAGAAUCCCAACUUGAUUGUCCCAAAAUCAAGCCAAAAAUCAACAAAAUACGAGCCCGAAGCUGCUGGACGCACACUGUUCACUGCGCGCAGAAAACUUCGAAAUUUUGUUUCGGGCAAACCGUAAGCUCAAAUCACGAUCCAUAAAAUCUCACAGCUUCACAACACCCUAAACUAUUAUUUUGAUAAAAAUACGUGGCUUAAUGACUCAAAAAUCAGACUUCGCCACUCAAUUUUCCUAAAAUUCCAAAUUUGAGCGCUAAACUACUUCGAUUGGACAAAGGAGGGGCUCAAUCUCUUACCAAGCGUUACGUUACUAAGUGGAGUCAGUUUGGAUGGGCAUCUGCAGUGUGCACAUGCCAAAUCCCCUUUCUUCUUCUUCUUCUUCUUCUUCUUCUUCUUCUUCUUCUUCUUCUUCUUCUUUUCUAUUUCUUUACUUUCUUCUUUUCUCUCUCUCUCCCGAAGUGGUUCGUGCUUUUAAAAGUGAGCGACCAUUGUUCACCCCUUUUUCUCUUUUCUGUUUUCUUUCUUUCUUUUUUUUCUUUUUUUUUCUUUUUUUUACUGUUCAAACCUUCUUUUGUUUCCGUUUUAAAAACAAAGUGAACCCCACCACCAAGGGAAAAGAGAAUCCAACUAUUACAUUAUACCCACCUUAAAAGAAAUUUCAUCAUCAAAAUUUGAACUUACCUCAACUUUCGAACAAGUGAGGAUAUUUGCAUCUUGCUUCCUCCUCAAGUUUCCAAGUGGCCUCUCUCUCAGUACAAUUUUGCCAUUGUAUUUCACAUAAGGAAUACUUCGUUGUUGCAACACCUAAUCCUUCUUAUCAGCAAUGCAAAGAAGCUACUCCUCAUACGUCAAGUUCUCCCGUAAUUUCAAUGGAGUAAAGUCUAGUACAUGUUUAGGAUUUGGCACAUAUUUCCGCAAUAAAGGAACAUAGAACACAUUAUGAAUACCUGAUAGCACUGCACCAAUAUUCUCUAAGAUCAAGAAUGGUCCCAUGUAUCUUGCACUUAACUUCUCACAUGUGUCAAAUCUCAUUACACCCUUCAUAGAAGAAACUUUUAAGAAUACGUGAUCCCCCACAAUAAAUUUUAACUUGCGUCUUUUAAGAUCCACAUAAUUUUUCUAAUGAAUUUGAGCCGUUCUAAGACGUUCCCGAACCAACCUAACUUUCUCUUUUGACUGUUGAAUGAACUCUGGGCCAGUUAGUUCAGAGUAGUAGCAUUUUUUAUUGGUCCCUAAUGUACCCGACCUAGGUUGCCAAAAGUAUAUAAAUAAGAAAGAAAUGAAAUUGCUUGGUUUCGUAUUUGCACGUGUGCGCUGGCUAACGCAAUUACCAAAAUCUUUCACUUUUUAAGCACAUUGAAGCAUAUAUGGAUAGAAAACGACCCAAGACAAAUAAAACCCAAAGAACACACGUGGAAAUAUGAAACCACGCAAUUUCAUUUCUUUAUUAUUUAUAUAGGUAGAGUACAUUGGUGUCCAACCGAAAAUGAUGCUACUCCAAACUGUACUCAAAAUUCCAUUAGCCAUACCACUCCGACCAUGAUCUCAUCUAUCUACAAGGUCGCCUAGUACGUCCAAACCCCACUACCUAGUCUUUCAAAAAAUGCUAUCCUUGCCCUCCUGCCCUCAUCCUCCUUGAUCCAGUUACUCCCAUUAUCAUCAUCGUCCGAGAGUGGGAGUAGUCCCACCAAACACCCAUCGACGUAGGCAUAGACGGCAAUGAACCCAACUAGUACCGAGCCCGAUGGUUAGCUAGCGUCAACCGUCAAUAUCACAAUGAUCCGAAAAAGGUGACUUCAGGAAGUUGGGGUCAUUCAACUCAAUUUGGUGCCACGUGAAGUCUAUAGGGGCACCAUAGAGGGUCAUAGGGGACGUAGGUAGUAGUGGUAUAACUACUAAUCUAAAAAAUGAUAAUCAACCACGAGUGAGUACAAAACUUAGUAAGUAACUACCAACCAAUCUACACUACGUAUGUCAACAAUGGCACAUGUGAGGAAGUUUGAAUAUAAAAUAUAGAAGAUUGCUUUAAAAUUAACUUGCCUGAGAACCGUUUUUAAAAUUAGCAUAUCAGAUGAAAAACAUUUCCUAUGAAACCAGUAAACUAAUAAAGUUUAAAUGAAAUUUGAAAAUGCCAAUGGUACUAUCUAUUGUGAAUUAGCUACCCCAUCUUUCGAGAGACCCCACUACCCUCCGGGCAUCUCCCAUCCAUCCAGCAUUGCGAGGACAUAUGGGGGAACCAUUUUAUACCCUCCAGGCAUCUGAAGGAAACGAGUUACCCUCCAACCAUCUCUACUACAACUCGGGACAUCAUCAUCCCAAGGACCGACAACAUUCUCAAAUCACACACUCAUACCAUGGUACAAAUUUCAAUGAUUCAAUUUAAAAAUGUCAUCUACUGGUUUAAUUGUACAGAAAUAGUUUAGUAUCCACCAUCAACUAUACUUGGUAAGCUAGAGAAGUGAUACAGAAUGGUUAGUCUAUGCUACCAGUUCAAAAGACGGGUUGUGGAAAAGGAGUUUAUUCAAAAUCCAAAAUCGACAGUAAAAGAGAGCAAUUCGCCUAUCUAUAGAAAUCACCAGAAAUCGACAAGUGAAUCAAUUUCCAAAAAUUACUAAACUUAAUACAAUGUGGAUGAGACUCCGGGGAACAUUUUUCGAACUCAAAACCCGGUUCAGCUUGUACGGGCCCCAAUAAUUUAGAUACGUCGAAUCAAAAAUAGGGCAGAUUUCCAAAGUAAAACCGAUCCAAAAUUGGGUGUUUCAAAAGCCUAAAUGAGUUCUAAAAAUUAUUGAAAAAUUACAUGUUAUAUAUUUUGAAGUGUGGUCUAAAACUUUCAUGGAGGAUGCUAGUCCAAAUCUUUUGUCAAAAAAUCUGUGGAAAAAAAAAACCGAAUAAGGAUUAGUGAAAUUUCGAGAAAACAGAUUUAAACCCACUUAAGUUUUCAAAAAUAUUUUGAUCAUAAUAAUCCGAAAUUAAAGUAUGUUAUAGAACAAAAUAUAAUGAGCAACUUUCAUGAAGAAAUCCUUACCAUAUUCGUACAAUGAAAAUCGGUAUAAAAUUGGCAAAAUCAAGUCAACCAACCUCAAAAUAGUCGCGUUCCCGGAUUUCGUCCACAAUUUGUGUCGUCAUUCAAGUUCAAACCAGCAUAAAUCUCAACAUCUAGCAUUCAACAAGACAUCCAUGGACUUGAUGAACUAAAAUUUCAGCAAUGCUCACCAUAUACGUUUUCCAAAGUCGUUGACUAACACAACUAUGCACGAAAUCAACUGAGAUGAUUAAAAAUCGAGGAAAUCAACCUCGAUGCACAGUAAUCAAUUUACGUAGCAUAAAAGGAAAGUCAGUUUACUUGUCUUCUGGCGAAGUUGCGAAAUUCUCGCAUUGUGGUCACGCGAAACAGAAAACUUAAAGAGGGGGUGUUGUUGAAGUGAGGAGGAAGAGGGCGGAGAGAGAACGGAGGGUGCAGGGGAACGAAGGGGAAGGGCUGCUGGGUUCUUAUAAUCUUGCUUUUCCCCUUCUUUGACCGCCUGUGUUGUUGACUUGGCAGCACAGGAACGCACCAGCUGGUGCGGAAGAAGAAAAUGAGGGUGGACGGCUGUCUUCUUCACAUUUCCCUCACCGCUUGGACGAGUUGAGGCACGGUUUGAGUGCCACACAAUGCAAUUGUUGGGGCCACUUCUUCUCUCCCACUGCUUGCCCCGCCUGCAUGAAUAUUGGGCACAAAUUUGUGCCACUUUGCCAACGUUGGCAGCCUAGAAAAGGCGCCAACUGGAAGGCACUUGGCUAGGCCGGGUGGCGCGGCAUGCCGUGCCUAGGUGGCGCAACGAAGGGUAGUGCGCAAUGUGGUGGCGGUAUAGUGACGAAUUUGAUGGCGCAACGAUAACGGCUAGGUACUCAAGGGCUCAUGAUUCCAAUGGGCAAUGGUCAGGAUGUCAUAUUUCGAUCCUUCUAGGUCCCAUAAUUUCCUGAAUUUGUCGUCAUUUACCUAAAAUGAUCGUAAGAUUGGUUGCGCAUAUAGGUAAAUUAACUUUCUGGGUCUUAACUCGCUUGUAACAAUCGUAACUUGUUUACAACCUAUUAUAAGUAACUUACAUUUAUGAACAAUCAUAUGCCGUUUAAGUUCACAAAGUGAAUAUGCCAACUCUUUGCUAUUAACCAAUAGCAUAGUAAAAUAUCCCAAACUCUUGUAAAUGACGGUAGUCAUGAUUAGUAAUUAUCCUCAAUAAUUCUAAUUUUCUUAUAAAGAAAAAGGAAAUUACCAAAAAAAAAAAAAAAAAAACCGGUUGCAUAUAUACCAAUUAAGUCAUAAACCUUUCAAUUUGAUCAAUUUAAUCUUAAACUUGUUGGCAAUUUGCCAAUUUAGUCAUUCCGAGCAAUUUUGGCUAAAAAUUGCUAAUGUCGAUACUGGUAGGAUGGCUGACAUUGAUAUUGACAAUUUUUAUAAUUCUUUUAAAAAUUUCCAAAUAUUAUUAUCAUUUUUUUUCUAAGAGGUCUCACAAGGGUGGCCAACCAACCCUCACUAGUCAUAGGCAAGGGUUGGCCGAUCAUCUGAUCCUCGUUAAUCCCACUCACCUACACCCCUCGCUAGGCUUAGAAGGAAAAAAAAUUAUAAUUAUAACAAAAAUUCAGAAUGUUUUUUUUUAUAAAAUUGUCCAUUUCAAUGUCAGUUAUGUUACAUAAAACAAUCGGUAUCCAUGUUAAUAAUUUCUAAUCAGAAUUGCCUAGAACAAAUCGUCCCAAUAUUUAAGAUUAAAUUUACUAAAUUAAAAUAUUUAAAACUAUAUUAACAUUAAUAAUACGUGUUAUAGGAGGGGUGGGGGAAAGCAACCAUACAGUCCAUCUAAAAUAUCAAGCGGCGGUGGAAAGCGACCAUACAGUCCAUCUAACGAGGGGGGGGGGGGGGCGGUGGGACUCGCAAGCUUAUGCAGGUGGGUUUUCCUGUGAACUUAUUUUUUCCUGUGCAUUUCCUCUUGACUUGAACAACGUUCCGGUGCUGACAAGAUUAACAUCUGACAAUUCUGGGAGACUGCUUUACGUUGCUCUCACUGCAUAAAUGUCUCUCAUUCUCAUCUUGAGAAUUUUAUGGUGGCUGUGGUUUCGGCUUUGGACUUGUCUGGUGGAUAUUGAAGCAAACUAUCAAUGAUNNNNNNNNNNNNNNNNNNNNNNNNNNNNNNNNNNNNNNNNNNNNNNNNNNNNNNNNNNNNNNNNNNNNNNNNNNNNNNNNNNNNNNNNNNNNNNNNNNNNGGCUGGUUAAAGUUCUUGCCGCAGCGCUCAAUCCAGUCGACGCCGCGAGAAUGAAGGGGGUUAUCAAGCUCCCGGGCUUUUCUCUACCGGUAAUUUGGUUGAUAUUUUAGAUGGACUGUAUGGCCGCUUUUUUUUCCCCUUAUAACAUGUAUUAUUAACGUUAUGCCCCACCUUUAUGCAUUAGGCCGUGCCAGGUUACGAUCUCGCCGGCGUUGUGGUGAAGGUGGGCCGCGAAGUGAAGGAGCUCAAGGUCGGGGACGAGGUAUAUGGAUUUAUGUUUCACGCCAAGAAAGACGGGACGCUGGCUGAGUACGCAGCCGUGGAAGAGUCGUUCUUGGCUUUGAAGCCCAAGAAGCUGCGUUUCGGGGAGGCUGCUUCUCUGCCGGUGGUCAUUCAGACCGCCUAUGGAGGCCUUGAAAGAGCUGGCCUCUCUCAUGGCAAGUCCCUCCUCGUCUUAGGUGGUGCUGGUGGCGUCGGCACACUCAUAAUACAGGUACUGUUUUGUUUCCUUCUCUGUUUUCUUGCGAAUCAUGUCUUACGAUUCU